GCAUCCACUUACAUGGAGACUUUUAAGCUGCUCCAAACUUCUAGCUUGUGACAACGUGAAGAUAUAUGUCAACUUGUUGCACCUAUGCACAUUCAAUUCUAUAAGAGUUUGGAGACUGAUCACAUGUUGGGCCGGCGCCUUCCAUAUCCACUUCAGUUCUGGUAAGUCCCACAUAGAUAACUCUGCUAAUCUUGAGAGACUCUUUCCAUGCGGCGACUUAGAGGCUUCCAUUAUGCAUUCUAAAUCUUCGCAAUCACGGACAUCAAGACAAGUUAACUCAUUGAAGCCCCUUUCAUCUAUGCUUGGCACAAUAUUGUAACAACCUAUAAUCCCACUUAAAUAAAGAAUUUCCAGUUCUUGAUACAAUGCCGAAAAAAUACCGAGCGAGGUCGCUUCAGGAGGGUCGUUACCAAUCAUUAAGAUCCUUGCCUUAUCACCUUCUUCCAUUUCAUCAUCAACUCCUUCACCUUUACGGAUGAUGUAUCUUUGCAAUUUCGGGAAUGUAAAGUCUUUUGGAAGACAUACAACAGAUCCGUCGACUUGGGAGUUCAACUCAGCAAGCCUAGCAUUACUUUCUUCUGAACUCAUCCCUUCAACCUCCCAAUUUUUUAUCCGACCAUAAAAUUCUUCUAAUUGAGGAAAGUUUUUUAUCGUAAUAGGAGAAACAGAACUGGUAUCAAUAUAUAGAAGUUUCAAUCUACUAAGUUCAUCCCCCAAUUCUUCUGGAAUUUUAAUGGGAGACUUCUUGAGAAAAAGAAUUUGAAGCCUCUUCAACUUUCCAAGGAAAGACGCAUCACUCACCUUACAUCGAAUCAACUGCAGAACCUGGAGGUUGGUGAGGCUCUGAAGCGAUUUAAGUGAAAGAACUCCACCUAUUAUAGUGACAACUUUCAAUGCUGGCAUCCCUUUAAAAAAAUGUUCUGGCAUUUGCAAUUCGUAAUUAUAUACGGUGUUCUCCAAUCGCAGAAUAUGAAGCUUAGGGCAUAUCAAACUACUAGGAAGCUCUUCUUCUUUUUUAUCUACGACCAAAGACAUUCCCCUGCACUGUUCCAGGCCAUCUUCCAUCGCCCGUUCCACCAUUUCGAUGCCAGUUAUACUAAAAAAUCUCUCCUCUUCCUCUUCCUUCUUUUUGCUUAUCCAUAUGGCUACAUCACGGACUACGUCAUGCAUUUUCACAGAUCUGUCAUUGCCAGUGUCUAACAGCAAUGAAGAAGCUUUGACCUCUUUCAUCGUUCCACUCAGUAGGCUCCUGACUUUUUCAAUUGACUCAGCUCGAUACCAUCUCAACCCCACUGCAUAUGCAACCAAAUCAUCCAAAUAUAUCUCAUAAUCCUCUGGAAACAAAGAACACAACAAGAAGCACGACCUGGAAUCCUCACCAUUCAAAUAAUCGUAACUAAAUUUGAGACAAUGGUAAACGCCUUGGUCUUCCUUGCCAACACCUUCUAUUGUAUUGAGUUUUGCAUCUCGUAGUUUAUUUAGAGCUAGGUUCCACUCAUCAAAUCUUUUAUCUCUUAGUGCACUUCCAACAGCUUUAAUAGCUAAAGGAAGCCCCUUACAUUCAUCAGCAACUCGUUCUGAAACACCAAUCAAGGUUGAAUCAGCAACAUCAAUGCCGGCAUGCUUUCUUAGUAAAGCCAAUCCUUCUUCUGGCUUUAGAACACCUAAUUGAAUCCGCUUGUCACAACCCAUGCGAUCACAAACUGGCUGCAGGCGAGUGGUUAGAAGGAUUUUGCAACAAUUGUCUCCAUCACCAACAGGAAUACCCACUGUCUUCAAGUCAAGUUCAUUCCAGACAUCGUCAAGUAUUAUGAGUAUCUUGCUGCUUUUACUCUCAGAAAACAUCAAGCGCAAUCGGUCUGCUCUCUCUUUUUCAUCUUUCUCCAUUAAUUUCCAGCCUAACGAGUUUGCCAGCUCACCUUGAACCUUUAUUAUAUCUGGAUCCUGAGACACAGUGGCUAUCCCCACCUCAUCGAAAAUCUUUUCUUGCCGAAGUUGAUUGCCCACAAAGUUUGCCAAAGUCGUCUUUCCGACACCACCGACACCAUACAAUCCCACCAUCGUUGUGCUAUCUCUUUUUAGUGCUUCAAUAAUCUGAUUGCAAGUCGAUUCUGUAGUCCCGAAAGACAUAAAAUGUCUUGGCAUAUGCAAUUCUUUGUCUGAUGGUAGAGGUUUAGGACCGGCAACUGAGCUGAAUUUGCAACGAUGUUGUAGUUCGGACAACUUGCUACUCUUCUUUGAUGCUUUUCUACCCAGCCAGUAUCGCCAACCCCAAUUAGGACACCAUCCAUUAAGACAACUCUUCUUUUCAUCUAUCUUUGCUUUCAAAUUUCGAACGUCGGCCAUUUCUUUGUCUACAUCCUCAAGCCAUGUCUUGACACCUUCCUCGACUUCUAUAGCACGGUGUAUUUGUCGUUCUUGUUCUACUCUUUUAUUGAUGCCAUCUUGUGCCUCCUUCAAUUUGGUUUCUUUAACCUUAAGUUCUUUAUUUAUGCUGUUGAACAGAGCAGAUAACGAGCUUGGUUUAUGGUUGCAUCCACCAACAACUCUCCAAGCUUUGAUGCAACACCUGACAAAAUUUCCAUGCUAUUUAUCUGCAAUUAAUAAAGUUGAUCUCAGUAAGCUAUAAGCAAAACAAUGAGGCUUGAUCACAAGAUCGAACGAGAAAGUUUAAUUACCUUUUUCCUAUUCUGUGAAUGCACGUUUAUUGAUACUAGCUUUGACCAGUAAGAGCAAAAUGCAAACGCCGAACUUUAAGUGGCCAUUAGCUGCAAAACAGAAGAGAGGAAAUAAGGUAAUUUAUUAUUAUUAUUAUUACUUUUAAGGACGGAUAUAGGUUAGCUAGCUUGCAGACAAAUUUACUAAAAUCAAGACAAACCUAAGAGUUUUCCUAAUUUGUUCAAACAUGGAAUAAGCGUUUCACAACAGUAUAUCCAUAAAGGCCCCAGCGAACGUAAUAUGUGCUGGACUAUAUUGAAAUUAGAUUAUUUUAGAAAAUUUUAAAUAAAAAAUAUCAAACAACAAAGAAAUCUAAUAGAAUCUGGAUAAAUAGCAUGGGAGAAUAUGGUAAAAUUGAUCAACUUGGUUCAAAAAUUACAAUUCUUUUUUAGAUUUGAACCAACGAUUUUGACUAAGGUCUCCUAAGCCAUAAAGCAUAACUCUUCCUACUAAAUUACACGCAUUUUGUUACAUUUAAAUGUGGUCAUAUUCUUUUUAUUAUAUUUUUUUAGAAGGACUCAUGGUAUGCUUAAAAGAAAUAAUAAUGAUUUAGAUGGGGCUGAAGCCCACUCAUGAAAAAAUUUAAAGGUUUUCAAGAUAAUUACCGAUUUUUUUCCAUCCAAUAUUCUAAUAGAAUGGUGCCAGAAUUCUCAAAUAAUAUCUUAAUAUUAUUCAAUUAGUUGGCACCCACCUAUUGGAUGAUUAAUUUAAUAAUUUGUUAAAUUAUUUAAUACUCCAUCUCACUAUCUAAUGAUGUAAAUGGUGGAGAAGGAUCGUCUCCUAGACUUUUUUCUCUCACUAAUCUCUUAGUGAAAUAAGUGGCCGAAAUUGAAUUUUAAUUUUUGAUAUUGACAAUUAAAUUGGCUUGUUUCACAUUAUUAACAAUUAAGCCAACUUUUUUCUCAUUUUUUCAAUUAGAUUUGGAAGGCUAUAAGAGAGUAGGAGAGAAAAAACACUAGAAGGAGAUCUUAAUCCAUAAAUAGUACCUUAUUUGGGAUGGUAAAGAUUGAGAUAAAUUUCCUCUUAGUCUCUAAAGUUUUGGCCUAUGCCCAGCCAUAAUUUUAGUAUUUUUAAAAAGAAUGAGAUUAGUUACAUUCUAAAAUUUAUUUUAAAUACUCUUUUACUCAACACACUCAUUCAAUAAAUAAAUUUAAAAAAUAAUUUUUACUUUACACACUAUUUCAAUUGUCAAAACUAUCCUUCAUUAGGACCAUUUCAUUAACUAAUUAUUUUCUAUUGACACCCAUAAAAUAUUCAUCAUUCUUGAACCAUGUGGCGUUAAUUAAUGAUUCCGAAGCAUUAUCAAGAUUCAAGAUUUAUGUUGAAAUUCUUUCAUCUGACAUUUGAACCCAGCCACUAGCUAUAUACAUAUAUACUUUCAAAUGCAGCUCUGGGAAUAUUUUGUGACUGAUUUUAUAAAGUGUUUUAGUUACAUUAAUGCAAUGAAACAAUAAAGAGUACGCGGCUUGCUGAUUUCCAAAUCAAGUUGCGGGGAAAAACAGAGCAUUUUUCUUUUAUAAUGGAUUAGAUUAGACGAUGAAGGAAAAAUUAUUAGCGAUUAUUAGUACUUUUGUGUGUGUUAAGAGUAAUGAUAUUAUUUUAAAUUAUAUUAAUGCCUUUGGUAGUGAAUUCAAUUAGGGUUAUUUUAGUAAUAUAGAUUUUCAUUAAAAUUAAAGUGUCCAAAUUAUAAUUUAGAUUUUUCAAAUGUAAAAUAAUAUUUUUUUAUCUGAUAUAAAUUAAAAUUCAAACAAAUGUAUAAUGCAACAAAUGAAAAGUAAAGAAUAUUAAUUAGGUUUUAAUAGAAACAAAUAUAAAUAGAUGUUUUGAGCAGUUAAUUUUUGUUAUUUUAUGCUAUUGGUAGUUUGUGGAUUAAAUAAUUUGUAUAAGGAUAAAUGGGGGUUUGUAUAAUUUAUACGAAGAUAAUCUCCAAAAUAAGCUUAUAUGUCGAAUUUAAAAGUGUUAUAUAAGUAGUAAUAGUAUAUGCAUCAAUAUUUUUAAUAAAAUUUAUUUAGAAAUUGGCCAAUUGGGUUUUAUGAAGAAAAUAGACGGGCAAGUAAUUAUGUAACAAGUAAUUUGUAGGUUGUGGUACUUCUCCAUACUUCAAAUCACUUUUAUCUAAUCAAUUGAUAAAUAUUUUUUGGGCACCAACAAAAUGAAAAGAAAAAGUUAAAAAUAAUUCUGAAAUUAAAAACGUUAGGUACUGCCUAUAAGCUAUACAAUUUUACCUUUUCUUCUAUCACAAUUAGUAUUAGAAAUAAAAAUAGUUUCGAAAUAAAUGUAAUUAGGAGGUAAUAUUAUCUCAACAAUACCUUAUAGGGAAAAAGACAUCUACAUCCUAAAGUUUGGAGAAAUGGUCUUAAAGACCCUAGGUUUUCAGAAAGGGAUAUCAAGACCCUUUUUUUUAACCGUAAUACCCUUUAAAUCUAGUAAUUAGAAAAUUGACUUUAAGAUUUUUUAAUUGACAAAUUUAAUAUAAAUAAUAUAAUCUAUCUAGUAGAUUAAUAAUAUUAACAAUAAAAAUAAUAUUAAAAUUUAAAUUCUUAUAUUUAUUUUAAUAAUAUAUUUUUAUUUAUUAUAAAGAUUUUAAAUAAAUCUUUGGGUUAAAUUGGUUUUCUAGUUAACAAAAUAUACCCCUAUUAAUAAUAUUGAAAUUACUUUCUACAUAAUAUUUAAAAUAAUUAUAAUUUAUUUAUUUCAAUAUUAUGUUUCUAUUUAUUUUUAAAAAUUACUUUAUUAGAGUAAAUUUUUAUUAAUUGAAGCUUUAAAAUCAAUUUUCUAAUUACUAAAUUAAAAGGGUAUUAUGGUCAAAAGGGGUCUUUCCUUUUUGAGUAUUUUGGAGUAUAGGUGUCCUUUUCCCUACUUCAUAUAAAGAUAUUCCAUAAGGUCUUAUAAUAACUUAUAUUAUAUGAAUUUAAUUAAAAUAUCAUUAAUACUUAAAUAAUAAUAAUUAUAGAAGACAUUGUAAAAAUUAUUUGAUAUAUAUUAUUAAUGAUACUAUAUAUAUGUGUAUAUAACUACAUGAUGGCUUGGAUAUAUAUUGUUAGUGUUAAUAAAUUUUUUUAAAAAAAUUUAAACUAUUGAUUUCAUGUAAUUCAAUGGUGGAUGAUUUAAAAUCAUAAAAUAUUGUUUUGACUUUCAAUAUCAACCGUUAGACUGUGAGAAAUUAAUUGCUCAAUAUUUUGUGUUAAAGUUUUAAAUUAAAAUAUCCCAAACCAUUUGUUUUACUUAAAAUACAAAAAAUAUAUAAAGAAAAUUUCUCAUUAAUUUUCAUAUUUUUAUUAGAGGUAAUAUUUUAUGUAUCGUCACCAUUAAUUGCCAUCAUUAAAGUAGUGACUCUUAGUAAUAUAAAAUUUUAUAAUUAGUUAAUUGCAAUCAAAGGAUAUCAAUAAAUAUUUCAUAAUUCAUAAAUUAAAGCUAAUUAAGAAUAUAUGAUAGUUUUAACUUUUAUGAAAUCAACUAAGUGAUAUUAGAAAAUAAAAUGAAAAUAAACUAGUGAAACUUAAAUUUUAUAAGGUUUGAAUAAUUUUCUACCAUGUAAGAAUAUUAAUUGUGACAUAAACCAUAGUUUCAUGGUAUACGUAUGCCGAAUGGGGUAACAAAUAAUAUAUACUUCACGAUCAUGAUAGUAUAUAAAGUAGUGGAUAUUUUAAUAUAUAACAUAAAAUUCUUUUAAGACAUAGGUGGUCAAUUAUAUAUAUUUUAGGACAUAGACAAUCUCAAUCAAGAGUUUAUUGAUGUGAAUAGAUGGCAUUCACUUAAAUGUAUGCACUUAAUUGUGUUGUUUAUUGGUAUUAGAUAUUCACUUAAAUGUAUAUACUUAAUUGUGUUGUUUAUUGGUAUUACACGUAACAAAAUUUUAUAUUAAAUUUUAAAGUUUUAUAUUGUUGUUUCUAUUGAAUUUAUAAAUACAAUAAAAUUAUGGCCAUCAACAAUCACAACCAACUGCCACAACAAUUAGAUUCUCAUAUCCGUUGACGACAAUUUUUUAUACUAUUGGAACUCCAAUCUUUGAAGCUACACAAUAGUUAAAAGUACCGACAUCAAUAGAACUUCCGUUCAUUGUAGAUCUAUAGUCAAAGUUUCGAAUCUUAAAAAUUUGACAGCAGAUUUAUGUCAUAUGAAAGCUUGUUACUAGUAAUUCUUAUACAAUUAUGUUGUUAUAGUUAUAAGGAUUCUAAUGGUACUAAAAUGCACUCCAUUAGACAUAAAGAUCCGACGACUAGUGGCGACAAUAACUAUCAUUAGUGACUUGGAGGUAAUUGCCGUUAAUAAAUUAUUUUUAACAUAAUAAUUAAUACAAACAAAUAAAAAAGUAAUUUAAGGAAAAUUAAUGUAAUAAAUAAUUGAAUUAAAAAAAAUAAAACCUAAAUUCUCGACCAUUUAUCCGUAUGUUUCGAAUCCAACGUUCAAAAUUGGAAUAAAACAUAGUAUAGCCAUUGGAAGUAAAACAAACAUUAAAGAGACUGGGAAAAAAUAUCUCAUACCUUCUAUAAUGAUACAUCCUCAAUCACUGCAGAAAGCUCCAAUUAAAAAGUCGCACAAGUUCGGAGAAAAUUACCUAACAACACAAAUAAACAUCAAAUCAAAGCAACAUAGGAUCCAGCUAACUAACAUCAUAAGUAAGUCCUUGUUCUCAGUCAAAUCUUGCAUUCUUAGGAUAAAAAAAAAAAAAAUUGAAAGAAUAACGGUAACUGGAAAGUUUGACGACAUAAAGAUCUAGCUAAAUUUUAAGAAGCAAAAGUAAAUAAUGAAAGCUCAAUAAAAGAUCAUCAGCAUUAACAUACCGAAAUGAGAGCAGCUCACAGAACUGGUAAUUUCCAAGAACAGGAAAAAUAAGUGAGCUGAUAUUGAGGACAACUAAAGUAGUCAUGGAGUAAUUUGCUAUUGAGGACACCUAAAAUAAGAAAAUUAAUUAACAUUGCUCUAUACACCAUUUCAAUAAUUUGACUAUUAAAAAAAAAUCCUAUCUAGAUCACGAUUUCUCAAAAUGAUGCUUUUUCUAAUUAAAUAAAUCAAAAUGCUUGCUUCUUUCUUUUUCAGAAAAGAAAAAGUGGCAAUGGCAUCAAUUUUUUGCUAGAUUAUUAUCACCAAAAGCACAAGCAAGAAAUAAGAAUACUCUCUGAAACCAACCAUGUAAAGAGUAGAAGUAAGUGGUCAAUUGUAAAUUAGUCUUUCUUUUUUCUUUGUUAUUUUUUCAUUUUUUGAAUGUGAACUAAAUAAAUUUAAGGGUGAAGCUAUUACACCUUGAAAACUAUAACUGAACACCCAUUUUUUUUAAUUAAAUUUUUAUUACUAAAAUAACCAUGGAGUAAUUUGCUACUAAGGAAAACUAGAAUAAUAAAAUGAAUAAUGAUUGCUCUAUACACCCUUUUCUAAGUCUAUCGUCUUCUUAAUUUCAUAAUUUGGCUGUCAAAAAGUAAUCUAUCUAGAUCACGAUUUCUCAAAAUGAUGCUUUUUCUAUCUAAAUAAAUGAAAAUGCUUGUUUCUUUCUUUCUCGAAAAGAAAAAGUGGCAAUGGCAUCAAUUUUUGCUUGCAAGCACAGCGAGGAAUCAGUAUACUCUCGGAAACUAACCAUAUUAAGAGUAGAAAUAUUUAUUGGGUUAUCACGAAGUAAGUUAGAAAUCAAUUAUAAAUGGUCUUUUUUUUAUUUUUUAAUGUGAACUAUAUAAAUUUAAGGUGAGGUUAUUUACACUUUGAAAAACAUUCUGAAAACCAUUAUUUCAUUAAAUUUUUUAUUACUAAAGGUCCGUUUGCUGCCCCAAACGCUCUCUAAAAUAGCCAUGGAGUAAUUUCUUACUGAGGAAAACUAGAAUAAUAAAAUCAAUUAUCAUUCUUCCAUGAACCCGUUUCUAGAUGUAUCUUCUUCUUGAUUUGGUAACUUGGCUGUCAAAAAGAAACCUAUCUAGAUCACGAUUCCUCAAAAUGAUGCUUUUUCGGAUGAAAUAAAUGAAAUUGAACCUACAAUCUGUCACAAACACGUUAUAAUGAGCCUAAUGAAAAGCAGUAUGAGAAAUUUUGCUUCCAUGUUGUUUCUUCCAUAUGUAAAGGUAGUAAAAAGAAAUUUAAGUCCUAGAAACAAAUGGAUGAAGAAUUAUCAAUAAUUAAAAAUUAAAAAAAAAAAACAGAGUUAUAAAAGAAUCACAGUUCCACCAAAAAUUAAGAGUUAUUUUAUUUGGUGGUUUCCUAUCCCGAAAGCAUUACUUGUAAAUAUGUGCUAACAAGUAAUAAUUAAGAAAGUUAAGGCCAAUCAUUUAGAAGGGAGAAAAAUGGAAACAUCCGGAAUAUUGUUAUGUGUUUUCAGUGCGUAUCUACCAAUCAAUAAUGAAAAAUUAAAUACGCAUGUUACGAAAAUUUAAUAAAGAGAACUGGAGGUGACAAAAUUUUUAUUAUUCUAUCUUUCUCUCCUCUGAAACUUCCUUAAUUUGGUUGGGAAGUGCUUUGUCUUAGGCAGCGGAUCUGUUAUAAAUACCCUAUCCUAAAGUUAAUAUUUUGAUUGAAGAAAAAAAUAGAGGACAAAAUUUUUAUUAAAGUAUAACAGAAUUUGGUAAAUUUAGAAUUGAGGAGAGAAAAUGAGUCUAAAUUCGAAAAUUUUGGCACUAUUUACAUAUCAUUAUUUGGGCAAAAAUUCAUUUCUCUGCUUUCAUAUGAUUUGGUCUUUCAUUGUUACGGUGCCAAUUUUUUAUUUGAAGAUGUAAGAUAGUGGUACUAUAGCUUAGAUUUUCCGUAAUUACUAUAUGGUAAGUACAAAAUAAAAUACCAGUUUAAAAUAUAAAAAUGAAAAACUAUUUUUAUAACCAAUAUUCAAUUAAAUACACUUGAAACUCUAUUUUUUCUUAAUAAAAAAAAUUCUAAUUUAUUUUCUCAAUUUAUCUAAACAACUUUACCUAAUCAAGCUAAAUCUACAUAUUACCCUAAACCUUAAUUCAUAAACACCCAAUCAAUCCAAUUGUUAAAUCCGAUUUCAUAAUUAAAAAAGCUAAAUUCUAUUUUAUUAUUUAUGGUGCAAAGUAAAAAAUGCCCUUGAAGUUAAGGGUAAAAUUGAUAUUUUAUUUAAAUUUUGUUAAUAUUCUAAUAAUGUUAAUGUCUUAGUGGUUAAUAAAAUCACAAAGUCAAACUUUUGUAGUAUUUUUUAUAAUAAGGUAAAGAUAUAUGUUUGAUAAUUUUCUUACGUCUUUUUACGUUAAAUUGAGUCUCAAGGGAAAAAUGGUUAAUUUGCUACAAUUCUGUCAGUUUUCUGAUGGAAGAUAAUUUUGAAACAUAGAAUGAAAGAAUAAGUCAAAACUAGAAUCAAACGUAGAAUUUUGAAAUCCAUACGAACUCUAACGUAUUAGAAUGAAAGAAUAAGGACGAUCGAUAAACUAGACUCAAACAAAAACAUGCCCAGUUAAAAAACGAAGGUAAAUAAAUAAAAAUGGUAUAAAAUUGCGAACAAAAUUAAUGAAAUGAAGAGAAAAUCACAGGAAUUCUAUGAAGAGGAAGGUAAACGAAACCUUCGGGAGCUGAGAAGAUGCCUUUUUUGUUGAUGUUUGUGCCUAUACAUACAUUUUUUUUUUAAUUUUGAAGAAAGUAUUGGUUAACAGAACGAACUAUUAAUAAUAGAUGCUGACAAUUUCAACAAGGACAAUCUUCGAUUCAAAUGUACCCCUAUGAUAAAGAAAAAGCCAGCUUGGCUAAAUUUUGAGCUCCACAUUACAAGAUCUAGGUGUAUGUUUAACUAUGCAAAAUGAAACAUCUAUUAAUUGUAAGUCCCUUGACCUCUGGAACCAGACAACUAGUCUCUUUCCUACUAGACAACCUUCCAUCGAUCAGACUAAUAAUAUUUACUAAAUCAUGUUCUACAGUUAAUGAUGGUUGUCGAAGCCAACAAAAAUAAAUUCCUACUCUAAAUAAAUUGUGUGUCGUGAUUGAGCAGGGUCGUGUUCACAGAGAUCGGUAAUUAUUUAAAUCCUUUUAAAAUGCAAAACAUAAAAUGGGGGAAUUGUUGACAAUAAUAAAAAUCAAAUUAAAAUAACAAGAAUGCAAAUUAAAGUUGUAAUUCAAAUUGGAGAAAGCUCUGGUUGAAGGAAUUAACUCAGCUUGAUUCGACUACUGAUCAUUGAUUCAAAUAUAGAUUAUUAUUACUUAUGAAUAGACCGGUUAUAGCUAUUGAGACCCUCUAAUAGCCAAUCUCUCCUUAACUAGUCGAUAACCAAGGUACGACCGUUGGAUAUUUCCCUAAUCAAUAGACAACCCUAGAUACGAUCAUAGGAUUUAAUCAAUUGACAGCCUGAAAAAUCAGAGAGACCCAAAUCCUAAUCAACACAUAUGAUGAUUCAUUUAAAUUAGAUUGUUUAUUCUCAUAACACAACUCACUGCUGUGUUAUUUGUCACAAACAUUAAAAUCUUCAUACGAUGAAUCCUUUAAUUGACAAUAGUUUAAGUUGAUAAUUAAAUAGUGGCCAAUUACCUAAUUAACAAACAUAAUCAUGAAACUAAUUCAGAGAAUAAACAAAUACCCAAAAAGUAAUAAAACAAUUAAAGCAUAAGAAAGAUCUCACAGUAGUAAUGAAUCAAAGCUUCAUUAACCUUCAAUCAGAAAAAUAAGUUUAGUUCUUCAUAGAGAGAAAAGAAAAAUUAGAUCUAGGGUUUCUUUCUUUUUCUCCAAUCCAAAAUCCCCUCUUUUCACAAUAGAUUCCUCCCUUAAAUACUCUCUCUCUUCUCUUUUAGAGUUCUAUUUAAAAUAAAAUACUAAUAUCUGAAAUAUUAAAUUCGUAAUUACAAAAAUAACCAAAAAUACAAAACACGUUAAACUAAAAACUGCAGGUCCGCAGUUGACAACACGCGCCCACGCCUUAUCAACAAAGUUCUUCUGACGCUCAUAAUUUUUCCAAGAGAACAAUCAUCUUUAAACAUCAUCUUAUAGCUCAAUUUUAUCACCAAUCAAUAGAAUUGCACCUACAAAAGUAAAACACAAGUAAAUCACUAUUAUUAAGUGCAAAACAUCCAUAUUAAGGGAAGUAAACAAUGCAAAACUAAUGUAUAAAUUGCACUCUAACAGUUAAUGAAGUUGGACCCAAGGCAAUGUCACAGGCCACUCAAAUUUCCCGUAAUUGGAGGAUAAUUAUGUGCACAUGAGUUUGCUUAGCAAAAAUCCGUCUAGGCGUGGAGUGCGCUUAAAAGCGGGAUGCACUUAGAAGUGGGAUGCGCUUAGCAAAUCAUCGAAGCCCGACCCAAGAUCUAGAACUCUCUGCAAAUUAUAAAUAAGCUAAAAGUUUCUAUGUUUCUCCACAUAGUUCCCUAGGAUAUUUAUGGAAGUUGCUAGGAAGUUUCCUCCCCAAGAACUCUAAUACCUAUAAAUAGGGGUGGGCCCCCUCAUUUGCCCAUCAACCACACCACACACACAAACACUUCAGCACACACACAAGCUCUCUAGAUUUUGUAAAAAGCUCUCUUGUAUAUUCUCUCUUUGAGAGUAAUAAAAUCAUAUUCAGCCAUAUUGCUCUACUUCUCUCUAGCAUUUUCCGCAAGUGUUCUUGCUUCGCUAGUUUGAGGAGUGGUCUAGGCUUGCUUAGCAACUUGUUUGCUACAAGGACAUCUUGGUCACAAAACAUGGACAUGCAAGGAAAAAAAAAUAUUGAUACAUUCUAAAAAUAAUACGCAUUCUUCUACAGUGAACCAAAAAAUUUAGGCUAAUGGUAGCAAGUGAAGGAGUUGUGAUUUCACGUGCAUUUUGUUGACAUGAACCUAAAGAACUUUUUUAUAGUUUAUAUUGUUUAAUAUAACAUUUGAAUUGCAAAAUAUGGGUACAAAAUGGAUACAUGAAGUGAUAAAACUAAGCUGAUUCUGAUAAAGAUUGAAUUAUAAGAUUUACGUUUAAUCAUAAAGACAUAAGUGGCGCACAAAGUCACGAAUUAUCAUCCAUGAUGCCAUAAACAUUAAAAUUGAGGUGCAUGUAAUGGUUUUCGACUAUCGGUGUAUAUCAAGAGGUCAAUUGAAAGCACAUGGAGAUAAGAGGUCAAUUGAAAGCACAUGGAGAUAAGUUAAAUUUUUAGAAUUCAUUGUCUCUAGAAUAUCUAUACAUACUAUAUUCUUUAGUUUUGCUUCAAUUGUUGAAAUUCCCGUGAUAAACAUGAACAACAACGGGAUUCCGAAAAUCGAAAUCAACACAAGGUCUGUAACAUUCUUUAUGUUCCACACGCUUCGAUGGCAGCAGCCACCAGCCAAUAACAAAUGAGGAUCAGCAAAAUUUCGGAGCGGCUACCAGAUUAUUAAAUAAGUUUUUGCUGUUAAUUAAGGAAUUAAUUGAACAACGUUAAAUUAUGGAGAAAAUCUUUCGUGAUGCAAGCACAUGCUUUUGCCCUCCAAAUCAAACACUCACCAUUGUAGGCCCCAAUGUCGUCUUUAUAGAUUUUCCAUCUUUAUGAUAUGUGCUCUUCUUAUCAGGAAAAAAAAAAAAAUUUCCAGCCGCAAACAUCGCCGAAAUUUCACAUUAUUAAAUCUAAAUUCAUUCAUUUCUUGACAAGGCAUAUCUCCUGCCUCUUCAACUUGCUUCUUGCAUCUAGCCAGCUAUAUAUCAACAAAAUUUACGCCUCGAAUCCGUUCCUAUUAACUACAAAUCCAAAAUAAUAAUAAUAAUAGUAAUAAAAAAAAAUCUUGAAGUAAGAGAGCGUAAAUACUAUUUUAAACAAUGUAAUCCAAUGUUAUUCUCUUAAGAACAUGAUGAAUAUUUGUUAGCACGGACAAUUUUUUUUUAAUGAUUAUGUUGAUGUUUCCUAAAACAUUGAGGGGCAGCUUGAAAUUAACCUUUUCGAAUACCCUAAACCCUCAACUCAAACCAGGUCCAGUUGUGUGCUUUGUUCCCUCCAUCAGUCUUAAUUUUUAUUUAAGUGGUACUGUACCACUGUUGCAACAUAGCUGAAUCCAUUAUAAACACCUGAAGUCAAAGUUAAUGUUUUAAUUGUUAAGAAAAGUUAGAAGAAGAAAUUUUUUUAUAAGAGAAUUGGGUUUAAAUUUAGAAUUCUUUGGAGGAAAUGAGUCUAAAUUCCAAUAAUAUAAUUCAGCACUAUUUAUAUAUACCAUUAGUUGGGUGAAAAUUUAAUUUCUCUCCUUUGAUGUGAUUUUCAUCAUUUAUUUUUAUAUGAUGGUAAUUUUUUGUUUAGAGUGAAGUUAUUGGCACCCUUUCAUUAUCCUUAUAAAAUCCUACUUCAAAUAAAAUUACACUUAAAGACAAUAGAAUUAAAUAACAUAGUUUUUUUUUCAAACAAAUUACUCACAUUCAUAAUUUUUUUUCUUCUAAUUUUCUGCAGGUUGCUUUGUAUCUAACUAAAAUAAAUUGUAUAAAUUUAGAAUAAUCUAUUAUUCUUUUUAAAUUCCUUAUUGAUUAAAUAUUUGUGUGCUUAAGAUAGCUUUAAAAUUAUAAGAUAAAAUAUAUAUAAUUUAAGCCAAUGAUUAACAUUAAAAUACUUAUCUCUCAUAAAAGUUUUUAAUUUGUGCAUAGGAUAAUAAUAAAAUUGCAAAAGAAAUGAAAAAUAGCAUAGCACUAUUUUGAGUUUAAACAAUAAAAAAUUAAAUGAAAAAUUAGAAGUGUAUUUAAAAAAAGGUUAUUUUUGAAAAUAAAAUAAAUAUAAUUAAAAAAAAAAGAGUUUCAUGAGGGGUGCAAUAGUUCAACUCUUUUGUUUAUAAGUUUUAAGAUGUUGGUAUCCGUAGCUUAGCUUUUCCCUAAUUAUUAUAUUAAAAUGUAACAACAAUGAUGAUCAACCCUAAUUUCAUGGAGGUCAAAGAUUUUGGUCAUGCCGCAUGAAUUAGUUGGUGGGAAACACUUUAUAUAAAUUUAUUUACAUUCAAUAAUUUGACUAAGACUGGGUAAGGUGCUGCCUGGAGUCAUAGAAUUUUUUAUGUCAAAAGCGCGUUUCACUUCAAUUAAGCCAUAAAUGUUGUUUAAUAUGCUCAUUUUGUAUUUUUUUUUUAAAAAAGUUUUAUUAAUUUUUUUGUUUUUAAAAAUAUCAUUUAUUUAUUUUUUUUAAUUUUUUUAAAGGUAAAGAAGUGGGUAAAGUUCAAAUUUAAUUUUUAUUCCUUACGUCAUGACCCCUAAGAUUUGAACUUAGGUGACCAAAUGUAUAAUAAUAGGCAUCUCAAAUUUCAUUUCUAAUGAUAUGCAAUUUAUUAAGAGAUUGUUAAUCUUUACAAGAUUCGAGUGAAUUAAUUGUAUUAUUUCACUAUUAAUUGAUGAGUAUCAUAUUAUUUGGAAUAACUUUUGAAUAAAAAAAUUGUGAUGGAUGAAAUAUUCUUUUGAGAAUUUAUUGACUUAUCUCAUUUAAGUGAUAUUGCAAAUAAUAUUAUUGUUUUGACGAGUAAGUUUGGAGUAAAUAUUACAUAUGGCAAGUGUGAGGUUUGUUAUUGCAUAUAUUUUGUGGAUCCAUUUUAAAGCCAAAAAAAAGGCAUUUUGAUUCAUUAUGAUUCUAGAUAAUUUCAAGCCAUAUGUCAUUAUUGGGAUAAAAAUAAAGUAAAAUGGUUAAAACUAUUUUUAUGUAAUUUAUAAAAAUUAAUGAAGCAACUACAAAAUUUUUUAACACAAAAAAAAAUUGAAAUGUGUGUGGAAAAAGAAGAAAAAAAAUAAGGCAUUUAAAUAUCUUCUUAAAAAAUACGAUUGAGUAAAAUCAUUUUAACAGAAUGCUCUUCCAAAUACAAUUCCACAUUUUUUUUAUUGCAGUGGGAUAUUCCAAAAUUGGCACAACUCAUUAAGAAUUCGGCAACUCAAAUUUUAUUUAUCUCUCUAUGCAUUUGACAAAUUAAAAAGAAAAAAAUCCAUAUAUUUUCUGUUCAAAAGAAACCUUGGUAAAUAUUGUAAAACAAAUUACCAAUUUUUUUUUUUAAUAUAUGCCAUUAUAUCGUCGCUAUUUUCUCGCCCACUUUCUUAAAAUAGAAUCAAUAUUUAUUGAUAGGUUGGGUUCCAAAGUAAGCACCAAUUCAGCAAAAUGGUUUUAUAGCAGAAAAAGCACUUGUAAGACAUUAUAUGAGUGUGUAAUUUGUAUAUAUAUCCCCAUUAAUUGUUGAUAGUCCAAUGGGUAUAUGCAAAAGGAAAAAAUUGGCUUUCCUUUUAAGACAAAAUUGACUGUCACAUGAAAAUGUUUGUAUAUAUAUCCCCAUUAAUUGUUGAUAGUCCAAUGGGUAUAUGCAAAAGGAAAAAAUUUGUAUAUAUAUCCCCACACACACAAAGCUCUCUAGCUUUUGUAAAAAACUCUCUUGUAUAUUUUCUCUUUGUGAGUAAUAAAAUCAUAUUCAGCCAUAUUGCUCUACUUCUCUAUAGCAUUUUCUGCAAGUGUUCUUACUUCGCUAGUUUGAGGAGUGUUCUAGGCUUGCUUAACAACUUGUUCGCUAUAAGGACAUCUUAGUCACAAAACAUGGACAUGCAAGAAAAAAUUAAUAUUGAUACAUGCGUUCUAAAAAUAAUACGCGUUCUUCUACAGUGAACCAAAAAAUUUAGGCUAAUGGUAGCAAGUGAAGGAAUUGUGAUUUCACGUGCAUUUUGUUGACGUGAACGUAAAGGACUUUUUUUUAUAGUUUAUAUUGUUUAAUAUAACAUUUGAAUUGCAAAAUAGGGGUACAAAAUAGAUACACGAAGUGAUAAAACUAAGUUGAUUAUAAUAAAUAUUGAAUUAUAAGAUUUAGGUUUAAUCAGAAAGACAUAAGUGGCGCACAAAGUCACGAAUUGAUAUGAUCCACGAUGCAAGUUCAAACAACUGCAUAAUAAGUUGCCCUAAGCUAAACUAUUAAUCUAGUAACUAUUCUAGUUGAUGUGGGAUAAUUUUCCUAUCAUCAUCUAUCACGUGCAAGCCGAAUUUGUUGCUUGGUCCUUACAUGUGGUAAGGUAAUAUGAAUCCACUUGUGCAUAAAUUUGGCUCCGAUAUUAUAUAGAAGCCUAUGAUCCAAAAUUAUACUUAAAGGUUAUUUCAAGAUUUGAGGGUUGCCUCAAGCUAAUAUUAUUAUUAGCCUGGUAACCUUUUUUUUGUUUGUUGAUAUGUGAUAUUUUCCCUAUAACUUUUAUUAAUCUUUAUGCUUAUGUUUUGUCAUUUAUCCCAAAAUAUAACAUUAACAAAAGUUCCAAAAUUUCCUUCAAGAGAUAUAUUUGAGACAAGUAAUUUGUGCAAUAACUUUGUGAAUUGAUGAGCAAAUUCAGAGAAAAGAAUAUAUGUGCCAAACGUAACGUUUAUUAUUGUGUUUAUUUGUAGAGCUAUUUAAAGCCCAAAAAAAAAGCACUGAUCCGCUAUUAUUUCAAAUAAGUUCAAGCCCUAUGUCAUUAUUCGUACAAAAAUGUAUUAGAAUGGUUAAAAGCUAUUUUUAUUUAACUUAUAAACUUAGGAAAUUAUCAACUGUCCGCCCUUAAAUUGCAUUGUUAUAAAAAAUAUUAUAACAUUUUCAGGUUGUAUCAUUCAUCUACUAUAAAUUUACAAUCUGCAUCAUUUAUCCACCAAAUCAUUAACUUCGUUAAAAAGUGAUAGACAUCACAAGGGUAAUUUAGACAUUUAACACACAAAAAAAAUAAAAGAGAAAUUAUCUAAGCUUACCAUGUUAUCAAAAUUGCUACAAAAUUUUAAAUUUGUUCAAUUUUCCAUUCUAAGUUUAGACCUCCAAGAUGUUAAUUGCAGUUUGUAAUUAAUGAGUUCAUAAGGAUAAUUUAGACACUCAAUAUGCAAAAUAAAACAUAAAAUAAUGGCUUAAAACAUUAAAACAAAAAACUACUUUUUAUAAUUGAUAUUCAAUUAAAUACAUAUAAACUCUAUUUUUUUCUUAAUUAAAAAUAUUCUAAUUUAUUUUCUCAAUUUAUCAUCAUAAAUUUACAUUAAUAAACUAAAUCCACAAAUUACCCUAAACCCUAAUUCAUAAAUGCCCAAUCAAUCUAAUAGUUUAAUUCGAUUUCAUAAUUAAAAAAGCUAAAUUUAUUAUAUUAGUUAUGGUGCAAAGUAAAAAAUGCCCUUAAAUUCAAGGGUAAAAUAACAUUUUAUUUAAAUUCUAUAAAUUAUUCUAACAAUGUUAACAUUUUGGUGGACUGUUAAUAUAAGUUACAAACUUAAAAUAGAAAAUCAAAUAAAUUCAAAAUUUCAAACUAUUUAGGGCAAAUUUAGGACAUAUGGUUAAUAAUUUUCCCAUGUCUUUUUACAUUGGUUGGUAUAAGUUACAAACUUAAAAUAGAAAAUCAAAUAAAUUUAUAUUUUCAAACUAUUUAGGGCAAACUUAGGGUAUAUGGUUAAUAAUUUUCCUUUAUCUUUUACGUUAAAUUGAGUUUCAAAGGUAAAAUGGUUAAUUUAUUAUAAUUCUGUUAAUUUUUUAGUGGAAGCAAACGAUAUAAUGGAUGAAUGAUAUAAAUUGUAAAAUUAAGGUGCAUGAAUGAUACAACUUUAAAGUAUUGUAGUAAUUUUAAUAAUAGAACAAUUUAAGGGUGGAUUGGCAAUAAUUUAAACUUUAAGCAACCAAAAAAAUUUUUUUAACAAAAGAAAAAUAAUUGAAAUGCUUUAAGAAAAAUAAAGGAAUUAAAUAUCUUUAUAAAAACAUAAUUGAGUAAAAUCAUUUUACAAAAUGCUCUUUCAAAUGCACGUUCCACAAGCCAGGGAGAACGGGUGGCUAACAAAAAUCUCACUUUUUAUGAGUUUAUAAAAUCUCACUUUCGCAGAAUCAAAAAAUAAACAUUAUUGCUGUCACGACAUUACGCACUUUCUUUGCCAUCUAGAAAGGUAGAACAUUUUGAAGUUCCUCAAUACAAAAUGCGUGCUACUACUAAAUUGGCCCAAUUAAUGCCAUCGAAAAGGCCAUCAAUUUAGCCAUCAAUUUUGUCAAAAUUUCAACAAUUAAAGAAACAAUUAAAUCUUGAGAUACAUACAACAAAGCCUUGAAACUUUAUUCUUCACAAUUUUAGCUCCUUGCGCGAACUGAACAAGUUGAACGAAGCUUUUUUUUUUUUUUUGGAUUUUUGGAAUUUUUUAAAAUCAUUUAUGUUCGCUACCAUCUUUUUCUUCGCUGGCGUCUUCAUUGGCAUCUCCUCGUCUGUAGUUUGCUGUGCCUAUACAUCCAACCAAUAAAUUGGGCAUUAAAUACGAAUGAUGAAUAAAAUGAUAAAAAAAAAAACAAACAGAGAAAACUAUAAUAUAACACAUAUAUAUAUAUUGAAAGAGAAAUUUUGAUUUUAGGAUAGAUCAAUUAGCUAUCACAAACGAAAACAUGAACCAACUAUGUAUAGAGUCAAUUAACUAAAGUUCUCAAGAGUUGACCUGUGCUCCAGAAUUCUUGGACUCAUCUAUCUCCUUCUGAAUUUCCACGAAGCUUGGGACAAUUAAGAACAUCUUCAUUGGAUGCAGAUGGAAAUGGGAUCUGAUAACCCGCAGGCCAAAAAUUGGUGAGGUUUGGUAAACCAAACAAUUUCAAGUCCCGAAGUUCAUUCAUAACAAUUUCAUUGUAAUCCGUGACGUCUGCUCCAUCUUUAUGCCAGAAUACUUCUUCUAAUUCAUCAUUAGCUAUUAUCCAUAGGUACUUCAGUUUUUGAAGACUUGGAGCUACGCUGAUAUGAAAUAGAUGCUUUAGUUUGGGGCAAUAACCGACAGAGAUAACUGUGAGUUUUGGGAAACAAACAGGUUGGAGAUGAUCCUCAUCCUCAUCCUCAUCAAUGAUUUGCUCUAAUUCCAAGCAAUCUUGAAUUUCCAGCUUCUCCAAUUGCAACAGAUUUCGAGCAAGUGUUGAUGAGAAAAGACGUCUCAGCAUAUUGCACCCGUCCACUCUUAAAUAGGUAAGACUUUGCAGGCUAAAAUUAUGCGUGGGACCUACAGGUUGGAGAUGAUCCUCAUCCUCAUCCUCAUCAAUGAUUUGCUCUAGUUCCAAGCAAUCAUGAAUUUCCAACUCCUCCAAUUGCAACAGAUUUCGAGCAAGUGUUGAUGAGAAGAGACGUCUCAGCAUAGUGCAACCGUCCACUCUUAAAUAGGUAAGACUUUGCAGGCUAAAAUUAUGCGUGGGACCUACGUGAUAUAAUAAUACUUGCAGUUCUCGAAGAUCGCGCAAGCUCAAUCCCUUCAAACAUGGGAAUAGUUUAUUUUCUUGUCCCUCAGCGAUAAUAGCUUCCAAUUGAAAUACCACUUGUACUCUAAGUUGUCUAAUACGCAAAUAUUCCAAAUUUUUUAAUCCAUGCUUCAACAGUGCUGGAAUCGUGUCACUCAAAUGGGAACAACUUUCCACAUUUAGAAUUCUUAAUUUCUGAGCCAAAUAAAUAAAUAACUUGAUGCAAUUAAAAUCUAUUAGCAGCUAGGAUUAUCACAUGAUAAGUGAUGAACACCGCAAAAAACAAAAACAGAAAACAAAAUCCAAACAAAAAUAUCAUAAUACAUAUGUAAACUAAUAAAAUAAUUAAAAAGUAAUGGAUUUUAAAAAAAAUGAAAUUAGUUAAAAGAGAUCAUGUGAAGUGAUAUAAAUGUGACAUUAGAUUGUUUUAGAAAAAUUAUUAUUCUAUUAAUUUAUAUAGCUUGAUCAACUAUUUAAUUGAAUUUGAAUAAUAUUAUAUACACUUCAGAAGUAUUUACAUCAAUUCUUUCUAAACCAAAAUGAGAUAUGACUUUCAUUUGAAGAAUGGUUUUAGGCCCUAUAAUAAAGAAAUUUCCCUAAGAUAUCUGAGCAUUAUUAUUAUCAUUACCACAUCCACCACCACCAUCAUCAUCUCCAUAGGAUCAAAUAAUUAAUGGCUGAUCAUAAAAUUUAUUGCUAAACUACCAUUUUCAGUAAAAUUAAAGGAAAAGAGAAAAAAACAUAAAUACAAAUAAACAUACCUUUUCAAGAUACUGCAAAUUAGCUUCAAGUUCAGUACUGUUGACGGUCAAGUUGGGACAAUAAUGAAGCCGUAACUCUUCCAAUGCUGGCCAAAUUGAACAAUAAUUUUCUGAACAGAAGCUGGUGAGUUCUGGGAGAUCAUCAAGUGUUAAUUUUCUCAAUAAAGGGAGGGCGAGCAUCGUAUUUCCAUCUCCGACACUUAUUUCCCCUUCAUUAUGAUCAAACUUUGCUUCGACAAUAUAUUCCAGUCUCUCGCAUCCACUUACAUAGAGACUUUUAAGCUGCUCCAAACUUCUAGCUUGUGACAACGUGAAGAUAUAUGUCAACUUGUUGCAGCUAUGCACAUUCAAUUUUGUAAGAGUUUGGAGACUGAUCACAUGUUGGGCGGGCGCCUUCCAUAUCCACUUCAGUUCUGGUAAGUCCCACAUAGAUAACUCUGCUAAUCUUGAGAGACUCUUUCCAUGCGGCGACUUAGAGGCUUCCAUUAUGCAUUCUAAAUCUUCGCAAUCGUGGACAUCAAGACAAGUCAACUCAUUUAAGCCCCUUUCAUCUAUGCUUGGCACAAUAUUAUGACAACCUAUUAACCCCCUCAAACAAAGAAAUUCCAGAUUUUGAUACAAUGCUGAAAAAAUAACGAGCGAGGUCGCUUCAGGAGGGUCAUUCUCAAUGAUUAAUCUCCUUGUCUCAUCACCAUCUUCCAUUACAUCAUCAACUCCUUCACCUUUACGGAUGAUGUAUCUUUGCAAUUUCGGAAAUGUAAAGUCUUUUGGAAGACAUACAACAGAUCUGUCGGCUUGGGAGUUCAACUCAGCAAGCCUAGCAUUACUUUCUUCUGAACUCAUCCCCUCAACCUCCCAAUUUUUUAUCCGACCAUAAAAUUCUUCUAAUUUUUUUAUCGUAAUGGGAGAAACAGAACCAGUAUCAAUAUAUAGAAGUUUCAAUCUACGAAGUUCAUCCGACAAAUCUUCAGGAAUUUCAAUGGGAGAAUCCUCGAGAUAAAGAAGUUCAAGUCUCUUCAACUCUCCAAGAAAAGAAGCGUCACUCACAUCACACCGAAUCAACUGCAGAACUCGGAGGUUAUUGUCUAGGAAUCGAAGUGAUUUUAGUGAAAGGACUCCAUUUAUUAUAGUAACAACUUUCAAUGCUGGCAUCCCUUCAAAAAAAUUUUCUGGAACUUGCAAUUUGUAGUCACAUAGAGUGUUGUCCAGUCGCAAAAUAUGAAGGUUAGGGCAUAUAAAACUACUAGGAAGCUCUUCUUCUUUAUUUCCCAUUACAGAGAUUCCUCUGCACUGUUCCAGGCCUUUUUCCACCGCCUGUUCCAGCAAUCCGAUGCCAUUUAUACUAAACAAUCUCUCCUCCUUCUCCUUCUUCUCUGUGCUUAUCCAUAUGGCUACAUCACGAACUAUGUCAUGCAUUUUCACAGAUCUGUCAUUACCAGUGUCUAACAGCAGUGAAGCAGCUUUGAGUCCUUCAAUUGUUCCACGCAGUAGGCUUCUGGCGUGCUCUAUUGAUUCAGCUUGAUACCAAGUCAACCCCACUACAUAUCCAACCAAAUCCUCCAAAUUAAUCUCAUAAUCUUCUGGAAACAUCGAACACAACAAGAAGCAUAACUUGGAAUCCUCACCAUUCAAAUUGUCGUAACUAAAUUUAAGACAACCAUAAACAUCUCGCUCAUCCUUAUCAAUCCCUUCGAUUGCAUAGAGUUUUGCUUCCCUUAGGUUAUGUAGAGCUAGAUUCCAUUCAUCAAAUCCUUUUCCUCUUAGUGCACUUCCAACAGCUUCAAUAGCUAAAGGCAGCCCGUUACAUUCUCCAGCAACUUCUUUGGAAACAUCAUUCAGGGUGGAGUCAUUUACAUCAAUGCCGGCAUUUUUUCGCAGUAAAGCCAAUCCUUCUUCUGGCGUUAGUGUACCCAGUGGAAUCUGCGAGUCACAACGCAUGCGUUCACAAACUGACUGCAGGCGAGUGGUUAGAAGGAUUUUGCAGCGAUUGUCUCUAUCACCAAUGGGAAUACCUAAUUUUUCCUUCAAGUUGAGUUCAUUCCAGACAUCAUCGAGGAUUAUGAGGAUCUUGGUGCUUUUGCUCGCAGAAAACAUCGAGCGCAGUUGGUCUGCUCCAUCUUUUUCAUCUUUCUGCUUUAAUUCCCAACCUAAUGAAUUUACCAGCUCAUUUUGAACAUUUAUUAUGUUUGGAUGCUGAGAUACAGUGGCUAGCCCCACCUUAUCGAAAAUCUUUUGUUGCCGAAGUUGACUGCCCACAAAUUUUGCCAAGGUCGUCUUUCCUACACCACCGAGGCCAUGCAAUCCCACCUUCUUUGUGCUCUCUUUUUUCAGCGCGUCAAUGAUCAGAUUGUAAGCUGAUUCUGUGGUCUUGUAAGUAGAAGAAAAAUAACUUGGUAAACUUAAUUCUCUUUCUAAUGGUGGAGGUUUAGCAAGGGCAGCUGUGUUGAUUUGGCUGUAGUAUUGUAGCAGAUCAAACAACUUCCUAGUCUUCUCUAAUGUUUUUCCGCCCAGACUAUAUCGGCAACACCAAUCAGGACACAAUCCAUGAAGACUACUAUCCUUUUCAUCUAUCUCUUCUUUCAACUUUCGAAUAUCGCCCAAUUCCCUGUCUACAUUCUUCAGCCACUCCGUUACAUUUUGAUCGACUACUAUGUCGGGGCGUUUUUGUCGUUGAUCUUCUAUUCUUUUAUUGAUGUCAUCUAGUGCCUUCUUCAACUUAGUUUUUUCAUCCUCAAGCUUUCUCACAAUGCAGUCGAAACAGAAUAGAUAGGAAGCUUGUUCUUCAAUUACAUUAGCCAAACAUUUUCCAAUCCGUUCUAAAAGUGGCUUUAGAAGUUCUUUUAAAAUAUCCAUGCUAUUUAUCUGCAAAUAAAAAAGUUGAUCUCAGUACGCUAUAAGCAAAACAACGAGGCUUGAUCACAAGAUCGAAGGAGGACGGUUAAUUACCUUUUUCUUUUCUAUGAUGCACGUCUAUUAACACCGGCUUUGAUCAAUAAGAGCAAAAUGCAAACGCUGGGCUUCAAGAGUUUUAGUGGCCUUUAGCUGCAAAAUAGAAGAUGACAAAUAAGGUAAAACGUUCCCAGCAAACGUGAUAUAUGGCGGACUUAAAAUGAUACCUUAUUUGCAUGAUAUGCAUGGGGUAGCUCACCCCCGCCUAGUGCCUUUGUCAAAAAAAAAAAAUGAUACCUUAUUUGGGAUGAUAAAGAUUGGGGUAAAUUUUCUUUUAUUCUUAAAAUUUUAAACUUAUUAUCAAUUAUAGUAUUUAUAUUUUUAUAAAUUAAAAAUCAAACAAAUCUGUCAUGCAACAAACAAAAAUAAUGUAAUAAAUUAUUAAAUGGUUAAUUUUAUUGAUAAAUUAUUAAAUUACAAGUAAUGAAAAUUUAAUCUCAAGAGUUAGUAGAAGAUCAUAGAUAAUACAUAAAAAAAAUAAAUUUUAAGUAAAUCAUAAUAAAAAAAUAAUUAUUCAAUCAAUUAAUAUUAGGUGUAAAUAAAAAAAAUGACAUAAACAAAAGUGUCAUAAAUCGACAACUUUUUUCUUUAAUCUUAUCCCAACUAAACCCAUGUGUAAAUUAGGAUUAUUAAUCUCAUGAUUUUAAGAUUAAACUCAAAUUUAGUCCCCCUUAAUUCAAUUAAACUAAACUUGCCAAACAUGGGAUAAAUAUUUAAUUCCAAAAUUAGUCCAAUCUCAUGCUUAGGACCAGUCCAGGAAUGUUGUACCUUUUAAAAUAAUUAUUAUUAACUGUGUGGUAGAAAUAAUCAACUGUGAAGAGAAUCAAAUAAAUGUUUGGUAAAUUUUAUUUUUAGAAGUACGGUGAGUUUUGAAAUCAGUUAUGAGAAUUUGUUAAAUUUUAUUAUUAAACUACUGAGAGAAAUCAAAUGACUAAAAUGUACAUUAUGUAGGAUAAAAUUUACUUAUACAUAUAAAAAUAUGUAUAUAUAAUAUUUUUAAUUUUGUACUUUAAUAAUUUUUACUAAAAAUAAAAUUUAUAAUAUAUUUGUUUUAUUUCUUUAUUUCUUUAUCUUAAAACAAUUGAUAAUUAAAUUUAUAAUAUGGUGAAACAAAUUUAAUAAUAAUUCGACCAACAAAUUGAUAUUAAUAAAUUUAUAUUGAUAAAUUAUAAUAAAAAUUUAUUAAAACAUUGAUUUUGUUUCCAAUUUGAAUAAAGAUAAUUUUGGGUUUAGAUAAUAAUUUUAAGGAUAUUUAUAGAAUUGUAUUAAAGAAUAAAAUUGAUUUUCAAAAUCAGAAUCUAAAAAUUACUUCUUCUCUACUUUUUAAAAUCAGUUAUGUGAGAAGUUAAUUUUGACAAAAUUUAUUUCAAUUAUUUCCACCAAACACUAAAAUUAAUUUUUAAAUUUUCAAAAUCACUUUUAAACCUCUAAAAAAACAAUUCCAAAUGGGCGCUUAAUCCUGGCAUCCAAAAUCCGUCUAAAAAGUUGCACUAAAAACAAGCUCGUAUAGCCAUUGGAAGUAAAACAAACAUCAAAUUAAGAGCCUAUGAAACAAUAAUAUCUCAUACCUUCUUCCGUUUAUAUCUUCAAUUACUGCUGAAAGCUCUAGCUAGAGAGUCGCACAAGCUCGGAGAAAAUUAAAAGCUGCAUCUAGCAAUAUAAAUAAACAUCAGAUCAAACCAACAUAGGAUAUAUCAAGCUAAUUAACAUCAUAUAUAACUCAUUGUUCUCAGUCAAAUCUUUCAUUCUUAGGAGAUAAAAAAAAGAUUGAAAUAAUAACUGCAAGUGAUAUAGGAAGCAACAGUAACAUACCAAAACGAGAGCAGCUAGCUCACAGAUCUGGUGACUUCCAAGACAAUGAGAAAUGAAUGAGGUUUAAUAGCAAGAUCCGAAUCAUGUAUCACAAAUUGCUAUUGACUUCGUGGCUUCACUUUUCUUUGUUUUUUUUCGUUUUUUUAAAUUCUAUAUCAGUGAGAAUUGAAAUGUGGAAAGUGGAAUGAUACACAUGCCUUAUCAUCUAUCAUGAGGGGUGAUUUGGUAAAACCGAUUUAAAAUAAAAAAGUUUAAAAAAAUUUAAAAAGAUGCUUUGUGUCUGACUGCUUGUAUUUGGGGUAUUUUUCGGGUUGUUGAGAGUGAGUUUAAUUAAAUAUAAGAUUUUCAUUUUUCUUAUUAUAUUUUUCUCUUUAGAAUGAAUUUAAAUCUCAUUCUUAUUAAAUUCAUUUUUUUUAAAUGAAAGUAGAUUUCUCUCCACACAUUUGAGAUAUAUUUUAAAAUUAAUGUUCAGUAUAUCUCUAAAUUAUAUUAUAAAUAUUUUUAUUCAAAAUCUUAACAAAUUUCAUAACACACAAAAAGAAAUACAUAUAUAUGUUGUAAUGUUUUAAUGAUGGAUCUCUAAAGUUAUCAAGUUAAAAAAUAAAUUAAAAAAUAAAAGAUACACACUUCAACUUAUUAUAUGAUAAAAUAUAAUAAAUUAAAGUGAGUAUUAUAUUUAUUUUUUAUUUUAUUUCUUAACUUAAUAACCUAAAAUAUAUUUAUUUAAUAAUGAUGAUAUAUAUAUAUAUAUAUUAUUUUUAAAAAAAUAAACAACUUAAGUGAAGCAAAGGACAUUUUAGAGGCAUUGCAAGACUACCAAUUUACCAUUUUGGGUUGCAAUAAAGUGAAAACUGUAGACUACCAAUCUACUGUUUUGGAUUGCAAUAAAGUGAAAAUAAGGUUAAUUUCAAAAAAGAAAAGGUGACAGUGAGUUGUCAAUUUCAUCCUUGUCGGCCAAUAAUACAUCAACCUUUUGCUGAAUUAUUAUGACCGACAAAAACAAAUUAUUGAAUCGGGUCCCGCUGACCUAAUGUAAAGUUACAUUCAUAACAAAUUAAUACUUGUCUUUAUUAUAAAUUGUUCUUUUAUUCAAAUAUGCAUUCAUUUCUUCAAUCAAGUCCUCAUAUUCGUUCAAUUUAUGAUAAGAUCCUUGUAUGGGAGCAUAUCUGCAUAUGUAAUAAUUAUUCUUCUAUUUCAGACAGUUUUUGUGAAAAAAAUACUUUUAUCAAUUAUUUAUGUUUACUAAUUCUUAUGUCUUUUUUUUAUUACUUUUCAUAGCUCUAUACAAAUGUUUGCUAUAAAUUUUGUGUUAUUUCGUUAUAAUAUAAUUUAUAUUGUAAACCUCUGUUCAUCUGUAAAUAAAAUGACAAUUUUUUUGUUUACUCCUAAAAAAUAUGAAAAUAUUAAUUUACUCUCAUAUUUAUUUAGAAGACAAUGGCAAAUAAGAUCGCAUUGAUAAAUUUUUUUAUUUACUUAUUAAUUAAUUAGAGUAAAUUAAUAUUUUCACAAUGAAAGAUACAUUGAAGAUUGUCAUUCUUAGUAGAGGGUAAAUUAAAAUUUACCUAAUUAAUUUAAAAUAUCAUUAAAAUUUUACAUUCUAAUCUGGAUUAGAUUAAAUGGGGGGGGGGGGGGGGGGAUGUCCUUAUUUGGAUUAGACUCAACUGGAAGAGGCAUAUCCUUAGCUGGAUCAAUUUGUUCAAGAUUGGAUGCAUCCAUCGGUUUCAAAUUAGUCUCUUGUAAGUAUAAUCGGAUUUCUUGACUAAAAUUUAGAUUAUCAAUCACAUCUAAAACUUAUUGAAUGGUACAUUUUAUUUCUAUAAAAUUGAGUUACUAUUAUCACCUCACAUCUUAUAAAUUCUAGAAAAUAAUCAAGGCUUGACAUACUUUUAUUUAUGCAAAAGCAUAAGAAAAUAAUUCAAAGUACUAAUUAGUGUACUAUUCCUCAAAAUUCUAGAAUAGAUUUGCUAGUUCUCUUUAGCCAUAGAUUGGUCCAUGAUUGGCACCGCAAUAGCUCAGAAUCACCUCAACGAUUGUUCAUGACACACUGUAAACUAAUCUAACAAGAACUUUAUGAGUGGCUUUCUAGCAAUAGUCUUAGAGAAAGCAUUUAGUAGUAUGAAGUCUUCUUUUUUUAACACAAAUGUUGGCAUGAUAUUCUUAAUAUAUUUGUAAAAUCACAAUAAAAUGCAUAGAGGAUGAUAAUUUUAUUUCAUAAUUGAAUUUUUUACAAAGAAAGUUUGAACAUGAGAGUGAUGAGAGGUGAGAAUAUUGAUGAUGGUGUGUACUUUAGAUGGAAAAAUAGAUUGAAAAUAUAUAUAGACAUAUUAAAAGAAAAAAAAUUUGGUCUAUUUCUUAAGAGAAACAAAAAAUUAUAAACGCGGGUGUUAAAAUGUAUUCAGAAUUUAUAAAUUUUUAAAAAUAAAAGGACACUGGGUUGCUAUCAAUUUCGACCGUGUAGGUUCAUAGCCGGGGAAGUAAUUGGGCACAAAUAUCUCGGAUGAGAAAUAACCAUUUUAUCCCGCAACCAUAUGUUUAUGGCCUCUAAAAAUUUUCACCUCUUUCACUUCUGGAACCCGUGCUACUUAAUUAUAGAGCGUUUUUAGAAUUGCAACGACAUGGUGCUCUUUGAUAAUUCAAAAAUCCAAUAUAAUUUAUAGAGAAUUACAGAAUUGUUUGGUGCGUGAUAAUUUGCUGAUGCAAUGAGGCGCCGAAAUUCUUAUACAUGUGAUUUAAGUUAUAUAUGUAUAGUUAAGUACUUAGCAAGCACUAGUUGGGGGUAUUUGUGUCCAUGGAAAUUUACAGCUGGUUGUUGGCAUUACACUGCGGGUGUGUAAUUAUUACAGAUGCAGAUAUUCUCCCAUGCGAGGAUCUUAUCAUAAAUUUAAAGGAUACGAGGACUUGAUUGAAGAAAUGAACGAAUAUUUGAAUAAAAAAAAAUUUUAGAAUAAAGACAAGUAUUAAUUUACUAUGAAUGCAACUUACAUAAGUUAGCGGGACACUAUUGAAUCACACGCAAAAAACAAUCUGUCUUCUUCUUGAUUUCGUAAUUUAGCUGUCAAAAUGUAAUCUAUAAAGAUUACGAUACCUCGAUUCAAAAAAUGAUGUAUCUGAUGAAAUAAAUGAAAAUUGAAUCUGCCACGAACACUAUUCAAUUAACCGUUUAUUUCCCCUUAAAUUUUUAAUUUCAAUGAAACAUAGAUCUAAUAGGAACUACAUAUAUAUAAAAAUACUAUAGAUUGAAGAAGUUGAAUUUUUCUUGUGUGUUAAGUAUUUUUAGUUAAUACGAAAGGAUUCUAGCAAGUUAAUACAAAAGUAUCAUAAAUUCAUAGUAGUACAAGAGAUUUUUUUUUCUUUUGAUAUUAAGAGUUUUCGAGAUAAAAAAAAAAAGGUGAAAGAAGAAGAUGAGAGAAGAAAAAAUAUUAAGAAUAGUUUUGACAUUUUGAUGCGCUUUAUAGAAUAAAAUCUAUAUUUUAUAGUAUAAAAUGGUACACCCAGAAUUUAAUGAUAAAAUUUUAAGAAAAAAUUGCACUCGUCAGAAAAAAAAUAAAGGCUCAGCUUAGCCCAAAAUUUUUUUAUUAAUUGUCUAGUCGCUAAUGUAAUCUCUUUUUAAUGAGAUUCUUUGGUGUUUUAAUUUAGUCCAUUGUUAGCAAUCUAAUAGUUUUUAUGUGAAAUAUGUUUCAAGCUUGAAUAAAAUCUGCGGGACAACUGGUAAGUAAUAAAGCUCAUCAUUUUUUAUUUUAAUUUUGAAAAUAAAAGGGAAUCACUUACACUUAGCAUGAUAUUAUUUUUGAUAAGUCAUUUUUUUGGUAGAUUAUUUUUUCUGACACGCUCUUAGAUUUAGUGAAAAUAAAUUGUAUACUUUUAAUGAAGAAAAGUAAAGAUCAACCAAAUAUUUUGUUGUUUUCGACAACUUUUGCGUUGUCAACUGCGCCGGGUACCUUUUUUUUUUUUUAAACUUUUGAGUUGUUGUUUAAUUUGUAUUAUAAUUAAGGAAAAAUAUCCACCGUUCACUUGAUUUUGUCUAUUUUUUUAAAAAUACACAAAUUUUAAUUUUUUUAGCUACACUCUAUCUGAACUUAUAAUUUUUUUUACAUUUCCACCUCCGCCUGUAAACCGUCAAUAAAACUAACGGAAUUUUAUCCAAAUUACUCUUUAACCCCAAAAAUAAAAAAUUACAUAUUUAUCCUAAAUAAACUUUAAAAUAUUAGCUUUGUGAGUAUUGUAGCCCUAAAUAAAGACUAAAAAUCUUUAAAUCCUUUCAAAAAUUUUAUUUUUUAAACAAAUAUUAUAAAAUCUCGCAAUCUCGCAACACAAAAGGACCCCACAUUUUCUCGGGAACCAAACAGGAACAGACGGAAGAAAGCGAACCUGCCAGAGAACGAUAGGAUUGGAAGUCCGCCUGGCGGGCUCUUUGGCCUCAAGCUCAAUCGGCGGCGGAAGAAUCGGACGCGUGGCGUCCGGAAACCUAGCCAAGCUCGGCUUCACACUCCUAGCAUUACCGUCAUCGGCUUCACUAACCGUUGACGUUUUGGCAGUCCCUUUAGAAACAACAGUUUCUUCUGCUUUCUUAGGUUGCUGAUUAAAGAAGAAAGGGCGAUUGAGUUGGAAUUUCGGCAACAGCGAGAGUAUGCUUUUGUUUUCUUGUUUUCUGGGACUGGAAGCAAUUUUUGUGUUUUCCGCCAUGACUACGGUCAAUCACUUUCAGAGUAGAAGAUUUUGGCUUUGCCUUUGCUUUUUCUUUCUUUUUUUUUAUUUUUUUAAAAGCAAGUUUUGAAGCGGCGGAGAAAGCAGUGUGGACUGUGGCGUCUUCAUAAUUAUUAAUUAUAUAAUUUUGUUUACAAAAACAAAUAAAAAUAAUUUAAGUCUAUUUUUGCCUACAUUAAAUUAUAUAUAUAACCCUUAAUAAUAAAAUUUUUAUUUGUAUAAAAUAUUAGUUUAUUACUGUUAGCAGGUGUGGAGGGCGUUUCUUUCAUGCAUGUGAUAUGUAAAAACAACAAUAAAAAUUCAGAAAAAAAGAGUUUAUUAUUUAUUGGUCCUCAGUCAUGCAUAAAGAACUAAAAUUAAUUAAUUGAUAAAGAAGAUUAAUCACCAAGUAGCGGGCAGCAGGAUUCUGCUCAGAAUCUUCAACCUCGAGCUUCAUCGGCGGCGGAGCAAUCGGCUUAGGAUCCGAAAAUUUCACCAUCUCUCGUUUCUUGCUUGCUUCUGCAGCUUCUCUUUCUUCACCUUCACUUUUAUUUCUCUCUUGCUUAUUAUUAAAUAUUGGAGCAGAAAAUAAUAAGUUUGUAAAGUGUGCGAACAGGUUUUUGGGUUCUUUUGAGUCUUUAUUUUCGCUCUCAAUUUGUGUGUCUUGUGCAGCCAUGAAUGCGAAUGUGGUGAGUAGAGACCAGAGAAUAAUUAAGCUUUGAGCUUCGAGUUUAUCAAAGCUUUUGUUUGGGUUCUUGAAACUGAAAUAACUUUUUUUUUUGCUUAUUACAGAUCUUAAACGACGUCGUUUUUUAAGCCCAAGUGAAAUUAUCAUUUUAGCCUUAUGACGUCAGCAACGUCUUGACGGUUUGCAGACGGAGGUGGAAAUGUGAAAAAAAUUAUAAGUUCAGGUGGAGCGCAGCUAAAAAAAUUAGGAUUUGUGUAUUUUUGAAAAAGUUGUCAAAAUCAGGUGGACGGUGGAUAUUUUUCCUUUUUUUAAUUAUGUCCUAUCUAUGAACUAAUUAAAUAGAAAAAUUAAUAUAAAAAUAAUUUUACUGCCGAUCAAAUUCAAAAUUAAAUAACAUUUAAAUAAAUUAAUUUUCUAAAUAAAGUUAAAAAUAAAUUCAAAAUUUCAAAAUAUAAUACACUAAAAAGAAAAAAAAUAUCAUUUGUUUAGAUCAAUAUAUAAAAAAUAACUACUUAGAAAGCUAUAUUUUUUAUUUAAUUACUUUAUUUUAUAUUAUUAUUGGAUAAACUAUAAUAAUGGUGUUAAUGUAACUAUAUUUUAACUUAUUUAUUUAUUAAUAAGUAUAAUGCCAUAUUUACAAGUUUAAUUUUUUAUUAAAUAAAUAAAUAUAUUUUUUUUACAGAUUCGCAGAAUUUUACGAAUUUAUAAAAGUAAAUUCAUAUCCAAUUCAUCAACUGUAGAUUUUUAAUUUUAAUCUAAUGUAAUCCAUCAAUCUAUAAAUUAGAUUUUUAUGCAUCAAAUUUCUACGAAUUAGCGGAUUGCGCGGAUUAAAUUAAAAUUUGAACACCUCCAACAUGAAGUUGCUGGCAGCUGCCUGCAAACUCUGAAUUAUUUCAAAACAACUUCCAGCCGCUGAUUGUACAAAGCAUCAAAUCCAGUGGUCUAUAUUUUUUUAAAAAUAUUUUAUUACAUGCGAUCUUUUAAUAGAUCCAGUGCAUGGCAGUCGUAGCCUUUGUUGUGGGUUUCCGACCACUUUUGCCUUGUAAGUGCACCUGGCCGACAUUUUUUGUUGUUUUAUUUGUAUGAUAAUUAUCAUGGACCUGCGUGCCUUUUUUUUUUUUUCAUUUAAAAUUUCUUAAUAAUUUAAGUAAGACAAAGAAAUGGGUCUCACAUAUAAUUGAUUGUAUAAUUUUUCAAACAAUAUUAUUUUAAUACCUGAGCGUUUUUUGUUGUUGUUUUAUUUGUAUGAUAAUUACAUGGACCUACGUGCCUUUCUUUUGCUUUUAAAAUCUCAUAAUAAUUAAAACAAGACAAAAAAAUCGGUCUCACACAUAAUUUAUUUAAAAAAUUUUUCAAACUAUACUAUUUUAAUACGUAGGUGACUUUUUUGUUGUUGUUUUAUUUAUACAAUAAUUACAUGGAUCUACGUAAGGAUGAAAAUUGCGCCUGCAAACUCACAAAUUCGUCCAAAUCUACCUGUCAAAUCCGCCCGCUAUGGAUAAUGUUACAGGUUGCAGGCGGAUUUGGUAUUACAAAUUGAAACCCGCACUUGGAUGAGGGUAGGUUUGGUAUUAGCUCAAUAUCUGGCGGAUACCCGUAUGGAUACCCACUAGACCCGCAAUAUUUUUUUUGAAAAUAUUUUUAAUUUAAUUUUAAUUAAAAAUAUUUAAAUCUAAAAAAUAUAUAAAGAAAAUAAUACAAUUAUGUAAGGUGUCAAAUAACUAAAGUGUUUUUGUAUGGUCUAUUUUCUUUUAACUUAAUGCAUGAAUUAUUUCAUUAUUAUAAUUUUUUUCAUUGAAUUAAUAUUUAAAAAGUAUUAUUCUUUGAAAAAUAUUAAUUUUAAUCAUUAGGCAUCAUGUUGGAUGGGUGUUAAUGGUGGUGAAUUAAAUAAAUAUCUUUCUCUUGGAGCUUGUGUUGAAUGAUAAUAUGAAAUAUAAUUAUUAUUUUUAGAUACUAGUUUGUGAUUUUUUUUAAAGGAUUUGUGUAUUUUAUACUUAAAUUUAAGAAUUUAUGUUAGAUUGAUGUUGGAAUUUUAAUUUUUCAUUUACAUUGGAUAAAUUUAAAAUUGAGUAUGUUAUGUGGAAUUUGAGGUUAUUAUUGUAAAUUUAUACAUUGAACAUUUAUAAUUUUAAAUAUAUAAACCCGCAAAAAAUCCGUCAUAUACUAUUGUGAGUUUGGUAAUUGCCAAAACCCGCUGUGGGUGGAUUUGUUUUUAAAAAAAUUAAAACCUGAUGUGGAUGAAUUUGGUAAUUUAAAUUUUGUGCGGGUUUAAGUUUGGUAAUGACAAACUUGCUGUGGAUGGUGCCCAUUGCCAUCCUAAAUCUACAUGCCUUUCUUUUGUAUUUAAAAUUGGGGAAUUGCCACUUUCCCCCAUACAGUAAUCAACAUAUACCAUGUAUCCCCCUGUUGUUUUCAUAAUGGCCAAAAACCCCCCUGACACCAUAAGUUUACAAUAUUACCCUUAUUUUUAGCUACUUUUUAUUUACAUUUAUUAUAAAUUACAUGAAUAGAAACUAAAUAAAAAAAUUAAGUAUUAAAAAUAAGAAAUAUAUGUUUUGAUAUGAGCAAAAUAAUAAUAAUAUUUUUUUUCUUGUAAUUAUUUAUUUUGUGAACAUUUUCUUAUAAUAAACAUUUUGUAAUAUUUUAAAAUUAAAUGUAAAAAGUAUAGGCAAAAUAUUUUAUUAUUUAUUUUAUAAUAAAUUUUUAUUUGUCAUUCAAGUUUUCUUAUAAUAAUUUUUUAUCAUUUUAUAAUAAUUUUCUUAUAUAUUUAUUAUAAGAAAUUUUCACAAAAUAAAUAAGUACAAGAAAAAAAUUUAUUAUUAAUUUUUUUGCUCAUAUCAAAACAUAUAUUUCUUGUUUUUCAUAUUUAAUUUUUUAUUUAGUUUCUAUUCAUGUGAUUUAUUUAAUUUAUAAUAAAUAUAAAUAAAAAAGUAGUUGAAAAUAAGGGUAAUAUUGUAAACUUAUGCUGUCAUGGGGUUUUUGGCCAUUAUAAAAACAGUAAGGAAGAAAAUGGUAUAUGUUGAUUACUAUAGGGGAGAAAUUGGUAAUCGCCCUUUAAAAUUUCAUAAUAAUUUAAACAAGACAAAAGAAAUAGUCUCACAUAUAAUUUAUUUUAUAAUUUUUUCAAACAAUACUAUUUUAUUACCUGGGUAACUUUUUUUUUGGUUGUUUUAUUUGUAUGAUAAUUGUGAUGGAUCUACGUGCCUUUUUUUUUUUUUGCAUUUAAAGUUUCAUAAUAAUUUAAAUAAAACAAAAGAAAUGGGUGCCACAUAUAAUUUAGUUUAUAUUUUUUUCAGACAAUAUUAUUUUAAUACAAAUGACCAAAACAAAUUUAAUAUUGACUAAAAUUAAUCAUAAAUUUCUAUAUUAUGACAUAAAAUAUAAAAAAAACAUUUGAAGAAAAAAACAAAGGCACCCUUAAAUUUGAAUUGGCGCUAAGUUACGUUUAAAGUAACUUGUGCCUCUCACAACAGUAACAUUGGCCCCACCUAAAACUGUGACUUAGGCCCUCCCUUAAAUUUGAUGUAGGACACUACAAGACUCUUUGACAAAGAUGUUGCGACCUAAAGCAUGGAAGGGUCUAAAGUUUUCGGGUGAACAUGGUCCAAACAAUGACACGACGUGUGUUACAGCUCCACGUCACUCAUUAAUAUGAGUAAUGGCAAUCUCUACAUUAAGCAUGCACUGCCUCAAAUUGCACGCGAAUACGAAAACACACUUCUGAGUUUUUUUUUUCGUUUUAAGUUAACAAUUAAUUUUUUAUUUUUAUUUAACACUUAAUUUUCAUCAAAUCUUAAACUGUCAUAAUCAAUUAUUUUUUUCAUUGCGACUCCUUAACUAAAUUUUGAUCUGUAAUAAAUAGAAUUUGGCAAUAUUUGUUCCUUUAAAGAUAUAAAAUAACCGUAACAUUGUUUUUACAUUUUGAAUUUUUCUUGCAUUGCUAUUUAGAAAAAUAAUGUUAAAUCAAUCUCAUAAAAUAUAUCAACCCAUCUGAAACCCGAAUAUUGCUUACAUUUGUUUUGUAUUGUUGGAAUGACGCCAAAGCAAUUGAAAAGAUAUUGAAAAAAUAAUAAUUGUAAAGAUUGGCUACGGGAUUUCACUGAAGCUAAGUUGUGACUUGUGACUGUGCAAAUGUUGCGUAACAAGAUAUGAUUAUUCUUGCAGCACAAAUCCAGUAGCAUGCAACAAAAACUACUCUCCAACACUGCCUGUGAAGAAAAUAAAACAAGAGUAAAAAGAGCAACCAUACCUGUGAAUCUCUUUACUUCUCCCCCUUUUCUGGGUAAACUCUAUCAAAUGAAAACGCAGCACGAUCACAUUGGUCACUGCCACAGUGCCACUGCCAUUACUUCGUCAACUGUGCCUCUUGCUGCAAGAAAUCUUCAACUGGAAGAUGGACUGUAUAAUUCAAGAUAAAAAAUACACCUAACCUGCAAAUGUUGCCAUCCACUAGCCUAUUAAAGACUCUGCUUUAUAUUUUCCUAGUUUUUUAAUCAAAAUUUUGCAAGAUUUAUUUUGGAAAAGUUCGACAAAGUUUUAUGUAAUAUACCGUAAAGCCAAAUACAAUCUUUUUAAUUCUCAGCAGCAACAUAUAUGGAAAAAAAUUGGAAGCGAUAUAAAUAUAACUUUGUUUGGUACAAGGAACAAUUAUUUCAUGCUUUCAGGUAUUACAACUUCCAGAAGUGCUAGCCAGAAAUUGUAAGGGAACUUUAACUAGCCACAGAAUAUGUCAAACAUAUUACCAGCAACCGUCUUUAGCACAAUUGUUCUGAAGUGGCUUCUGCAUCAGAAGAAUCCAGCUUCCAUCAAAGCACCACCAUCUUCCUUCUGGAUAAAAUCUGCAUCACUGGCAAGAGUUAUAUCAUCAACAUCUGCACCCUCGGUCCCAUCAUCCCAAUCAAGUGCUUUCUUCUCCACCUCUGGAUCAUAAGUCCACUCCAACCUCUUCAAAACAUCUCCGUCCUUCCAUUUGCCAACAACCGAUACGGCUUCCUUUCUUGCCUUCCCCAUUAAUAUAUCCCACCAAGAAAAACAAGCAUAAGAAAUUCUCUUCAAUGCCCCAUCAUUUAUGUCCCCCACAACUACCGUCUUAAGACACCUUAAAUUUGCCUCCAACAAAACCUCCACAAAAUCUGAAUCAUCCGACACAACAACCAAAUACUCAAUCCUUCUUUUGUGCGUUAUCACCAAAUGAUUCCUUAACAAAACAUCAGUAGCUUGUGGCUUAUCUGACGCUGUCCUGACCCAAAGCCCCCCUCUUUUCAACUCACCUAUCAAACCAUUACCCACUUCUGGAGUCAAAACUGCCCUUGCAGCCCUUUUAUAUUUCUCCAUCUUAAUUGAAUACUUGCCGACCCAAUGCACUCUCUUCCCUCUGGCUGAUUCUAUUUGAUUCAACAUUCAACCUCUUUUUAUGUUUACACUCAUAAAUUUGCAUAAAAUAAUUAACAAGUUUGACAUCAUCAUAAAAACUCCUUCCACAGACACCACAUACAUACGGCUCAGCAGGCCUAAUUACACCCUUGUUUCCAAUUGGUUAAACUAUUUUUUCUCUUCUCUUUGCUCCCUUACAACUUGAGGCACAUAACUAAAUGCAUGGCUAUUAGCAUAUGCCAUAAUGAAUUUAACAACCCCAAAUGAAGAUACUGAUUUUUCAGUUUAAUGGCCGCUUCAAAUGGGGGAACUGAAUUUGCGGGUUUGCUGUUUAAAUCCCGAAAAAUUCCACAUUAUGUUGGACAGUUUUUGGUUCUACAGUUGGUGAUCGGUUUUGUGAAUAAGGCUCCAAAAGAAAAAAAUCUAAACAAUGAGACAAAUGGGUUCUGGAUUUCUAAUCUUGUAAACAUUGUCCUGUCGCAUAAGUUAUGAAAUUUCUGAAGCAUCACUAUCCCGCAGUUCCUGGGAGAAAAAUAAGUCGAAGAACUACUCGUGGAACAAAAUUAAAAAGUUUAAACUAUGUUGAGAGACUUUCCCUUCGACUAAACGUUUUUAAAAAGAAAAAGUAUCAGAUAAGCAUUUUCAAGGGAAAAUGAUCAUCCAUUUGUUGUACUUAGGCAGGAAAAUAAAUAUAUCAACCCAACUAAACCCUCACAUCUACUGACUAAUAAUGCAUGGACUAACUUUAAGUAAGGAUGUAAAACUUACAAGAACAAGAAAACUACUGUUUAUUAAUUUCAAAUUUUACACAAAAUUACAAAUAAUUUUAUAAGUUGCACCAAAAAAAUAUUUUGCGGAUAGCAUAAACUAAUACUAGAAUAACCAUUCGUUAACGAUGCGGGCAGCACCAUGAAGCGGUGAGCCCCGUUUGGUGAAAACAAAAAAAAAAAAAAAUUAAAACAAAGCACUAUACAUUCUAAUCAAAUUGUUAACAUUAGCUAAAUACACAGCAAGAAGCCAGAAUAAAUUCGUUAUCUAAACCAAAUAAUAAAAAAAAAGAGGCAGUUUAGUCCCCAUCAUUUUCAGUUACAAACAAACUAAAGCACAAAUUAAGAACAAAGGUUGAAGCAAAGCAUGAUUGUACCUUGAGGUACUUGAGCUUAGUGUUCCCAUAAACGAGACCGAGCGAAAAAGCCGAAACCAGAGCAACCUAUUAUUAUUACUCAAAAAUUCAGAUCAGAAAAUAAAUGAUCUUUCAAUAACAAUUCAUAAGAACUCCAUCCCAUCGUAUAUAAAACAAAACAAAGAAAAUAUUGAAUUGAAAAAAAAUUACAUACAUGGAUUAAAAGAAGAUAAAAAUGGAAUUACCAGAGGGAGCUGGUGCCGGAGUAGGAACCAGGACGCAACGCCAUAUGAUGCUUUGUCAUGCUUUUCCUUCUUGUGGGUCUGCGCCGAAGUCGAAGAUAAAGAAAUAAGAAAGAGCUAGCAGCCUAGCACAUUGAAAAAUCGACUCAUAUAUUCGAUUCCGACUCGUAUGGCUAUUUUUAUUUGAUGAAUGAAAUAUUAUUUUACUCCCUAAUUUUUUUACAAAAUUACAAGUUUUGACUUUUGUUCAUAUGUUCUUUUUUACGGGAUCCUAUUCUAGGAGGAAUAACAAAUAGGCCGGAUAUGUGGCUAAGCCCGAGCGUGGUGUUGAUUGCCAAUUUUAUUUUAUUUAUUUUUUAUUAAUGAAGGGUUCACAAAGAGCUAGUGCAACACUAAACGAGAGUGUGAUCGUAAUUAUAACACUUCACUUUUAUUUUAAGUAUAAUUCUUAUAACACUUCACUUAUGUGAUCGUAAUUAUAUUGUACUGAAAAUUAUAUAAAGGAUAAAUAUGAAUUUAAUUAAACUAACAAGUCUUCACAAACUCGUGCAAACUUACUAUUUCUAAUCUUAAUAUGUGAUAUAAUUAAUUUUAUUGAUAAAGUCAAAAUAAUUUUUAACAAUGAAGAAAUAAAUUAUAAUAACAAUAAAUUUAUGACGAAAAAUGUAUACAAAAUUUAUUCUAAAUUAUAUGAAAUUUAAUUAAAAUUUUAUUGAAAUUUUAUGUCUUUUUUAAAAUUUUAUUAAAAAGUGGGAUUUCUUAAGAGUUUAAAAGGCGUGUUGGAGGCUUUACUCUUAUAUUUUUCUAGCUUUGAAUUUCAGUGGCCUUUACUUGGUUUAAAUUUUUGUUAUAAACCUGCAAGUAAGUGCAUUUAGGUGCAUUUAGGAUGCCUUUUGGUGAAGCUGGAUUGUAACAAUAAUUUUAUUUAUUAAAAUCAUUAAAAAUUUUAAUUAAUUAAAGUUUACGUAUCCUCUUGUCUAACCAAUCAAAUACUUUCUCUCAAGACAAUACCAGUGUGCUUAAAAAAAUGGUGAGAUUGGUUCUUGCCUAUUAGUUAAUGAGAAAAUUAUUGAAGAAAUAUGUAUCUCAUUUUCUUAUUCUUUACAAUAGGAUUACAUAAUACAUAUAUAGAUUCUAAACUACAUAACGUGCACAACUAACUGCAGACCAAGAAACUAGGAAACAAACUCUAUCAAAAAACUGAAAUUCUAUCCCUAUCUUUUUUUUUUCUAUCCCUAUCUUUUUUCCUUAAAAAUAGGAUAGAAAACAUGUGACUUUUCCACACUCCCCCUCAAGCUGGUUCGAAGAUAUCAAUCAUUCCCAGCUUGCUAGUUAGUGACUCAAAGCUUGAUUUAAGAAGUCCUUUAGUAAGAAUAUCGGCUAGCUGCUUUGUUGUUGGAACAAAGGUCAUGCAUAUCAAACCACUUUCUAUUUUCUCCUUGAUAAAAUGACGAUCCACUUCAACAUGUUUAGUUCUGUCAUGAUGAACAGGGUUAUGAGCAAUGUUUAUUGCUGCCUUGUUGUCACAAUACAACUUCAUAGGAACAUCAAUAAUAAUCUUCAAUUCUUCAAGUAGCUUAUUUAACCACAAAAGUUCACAAAUACCAUGUGCUACUGCUUUAAAUUCAGCUUCGGCACUGCUUCUUGCAACCACUGAUUGCUUCUUACUCCUCUAAGUUACCAAGUUUCCUCCCACAAAUGUGCAAUACCCUGAAGUUGACCUUCUAUCAAUAACAGAUCCAGCCCAAUCUGCAUCAGUAUAUACUUCAACUUGCAGAUUGUUAUUUUUCUUGAAUAACAGACCUUUUCCUGGAGUUUUUUUCAGGUACUUGAGAACCUUGUAAACAGCUUCCAAGUGCUCUUUACAUGGAGAGUGCAUAAAUUGACUAAUAACACUUACUGCAAAGGCUAUGUCUGGCCUAGUAUGAGACAAGUAUAUCAACUUACCAACCAACCUUUGGUAACUUUCUCUAUCCACUGAUUUUCCUUCAAUUGCAUAUCCCAAUUUGUGAUAAGGAUCAAUAGGAGUGUCUCCAGGUUUGCAUCCCAACAUGCCAGUUUCCUUGAGCAAGUCUAAAGUAUAUUUCCUUUGAGAGACAAAAAUGCCUUUACUGGAUCUUGCAAUUUCCAUGCCCAAAAAGUAUCUUAAGGAUCCAAGAUCCUUCAUCUCAAAUUCUCUAGCAAGAACCUUCUUGAGAUUUUCCAUUUCUAUUACAUUGCUUCCAGUCAAGAUGAUAUCGUCUACAUAUACAAUGACGAUCACAACACUACCAUCAGUGAAGUGUUUAAAAAACAUUGUAUGAUCUGCUUGACUCUGUAAAUAGCCAAAGCUAUAAACAGAUUUCGUAAAUCUGUCAAACCAAGCUCGAGGAGAUUGUUUUAAGCCGUAAAGUGAUCUCUUCAGCUUGCACACUUUUUCAAUACCAUAUUCAUUCUCAAAACCUGGUGGUAGAUCCAUAUAUACCUCCUCUUCAAGCUCUCCAUUAAGGAACGCAUUCUUAAGAUCUAACUGUUGUAGUUGCCAACCUAGGCUUGCUGCAAGAGACAACAAAACCCGAAUGGAAUUCAUCUUUGCCACGGGAGCAAAUGUUUCUUGGUAGUCAAUGCCGUAUGUUUGUGUAAAACCUUUCGCGACGAGCCUAGCUUUAUACCGCUCAAGUGACCCAUCUGCUCUGUAUUUAACUGUAAAAAUCCACUUGCAACCCACUGGUUUUUUUCCUUCUGGUAACUUGACUAGUUCCCAAGUUUUGUUUUUUUCUAGAGCUCUCAUCUCUGCAUACACAGCAUCUCUCCAUUCUGGAAUAGAAAGAGCAUCUUGUACAGAUUUUGGAAUUGCUAUAACAGACAGGUUAGCUGUAAAAGCUCUAAAAAAUGGAGAUAAUCUAUGAUAUGACACAUACUUAGAAAUUGGAUGAAGAGUACAAGACCUAGUUCCUUUCCGUUGUGCAAUUGGAACAUCUAGAUCAUUUGUAGUUUCUAAAACAGAUUCUGAAAUAGGAUUAGAAUGAAUGUUACCUACAAGUUCCAAGUUGCCUGUGUUUGGAUCCGAGUCUUGGCAGUGAGGAGAGGAAUGAUGAUUUAACCUUUUCGAAUUCCGUCGUGUGUAGACUUGAAGCUCUGGUUCUGGAACUCUCUCUAAUGAUUUUUCAUUAUUCACAAUUGAUGGCAUUGUAGAAGGAACAGGAGGUACACAAGACAUAAUAGGCAUUGGAAGAGAUAAUUCCCAAAAAUGAUCUUCCUGAGUAUGAUCCUCCCCCUGAAGAGAAGUUUUGGGAAGGAAAGACCUAUUUUCAAAAAAUGUAACAUCCAUUGUGACGAAGAAUUUUUUAGACAAUGGAUCAUAACAUUUGUAGCCUUUUCGAGUAGGAGAAUAGCCAAGAAAUACACAUUUUAAAGCCCUAGGAUCAAGUUUGCUUCUGUUCUGUUUAUGAACGUGAACAAAAGCAAUGCACCCAAAAAUCUUUGGUGGUAAAGAUGUGAAAACCUUAGCAUAGGGAUAGAAUUUUGUGAAAACAUUUAAUGGAGACUGAAAAUUAAAGAUUCGGGUAGGCAUACGAUUUAUCAAGUAUGAUGCUGUGAGAAUGGCUUCACCCCAAAACUGUUUUGGCACUCUAUUUGUGAACAUAAGAGAGCGUGCAACUUCUAAUAGGUGUCGAUUUUUUCGUUCAGCAACACCAUUUUGCUGAGGAGUAUCUACACAAGAGGAUUGGUGCACAAUGCCAUUUUCCAUGAAAUAAUGACCAAGGGCAGUAGCAAAAUAUUCUCUCCCAUUAUCAGUUCUAAAGACUUGGAUUUUUGCUUGAAAUUGUGUUUGAAUCAUGGUAUGAAAGGUUUUAAAAACUGUUGUAGUUUCUGAUUUUUCUUUAAGCAAGUACACCCAACAAACACGAGUGUGGUCAUCAAUAAAAGUUAUGAACCAUUUAGCCCCCGAAAUGUUUGUAACACGUGAGGGUCCCUAAAUAUCACUGUGUAUAAGAGAAAAAGGUGCAGAUUUUUUAUACGGCUGUAAAGGAAAAGAUGCACGAUGAUGUUUGGACAAUACACAAAUUUCACACUGAAACAAAGAAGGAUUUUUAUUCUUGAACAGUAAAGGAAACAAAUGUUGUAAAUAAGAAAAACUAGGAUGACCUAAUCGGAGAUGCCACAACAUUAUUUCAUCUUCAAUAGAGAAAGUUACUUUAUUAUUUGCUGCCUGAGCUUCUCCACACAAACUAACAUCCUCCUCGAAGUAGUACAAACCAUCUACCUCUCUAGCACUGCCAAUCUUCUUCCCCGAACACAUGUCUUGAAAUUCAAGAUAGGAAGGAGAGAAUUUAGCAAUGCAAUGAAGAUCCUUGGUAAUUUUGCUAAUAAAUAAAAGAUUACAAGACAAAUUAGGAACAUGAAGAACAUAUGUUAACACCAAAUUUGUGGAGAUAGGAAUAGAUCCUUUUCCUGCUACGGAAGAUAGUGAACCAUCAGCAAUUUUAAUUUUUUGACUACCAGAACAUGGAAUAUAUGAAGAAAAUAAUUUAGAAUGGCUGGUCAUAUGAUCGGUUGCUCCUGAAUCGAUGAUCCAUGGAUCUUGUUUCUCAUAAACAACUCCUAAAGUAGUGAAAUUAUUACCUUUUUGGGCUAAAGAACUAAAGGAUGAAGGAUUUGGGAGAGAUUGUGACUGAUUUAGAAACCUGUACAGUUGCUCUAACUGCUCUUUAGUGAAGAGUUGAGAUUCGGUUUCUCCAGUAUUGGUUGUCGGCUGAUUCUCCCCAACAACUUGGAAACCACGACUAUGUUUACCAGAGAAUUUAUUGUUUUUCAGAUUUGGAGGUUUUCCAUGAAGCUUCCAACAUGCAUCUCUGGUAUGUCUUGGCUUAUGGCAAUAAUCACACCAAACUCUAUCCUUCUCAUCACUCUUCUUCAGGCUUUUUAUUCCACCAACCAAUGGAGCUUCUGGUGUAACAGAGAUCAAGGCUGAGUUCUCUGCUGAAGAACCUCCCAUCAUCACAUUCUUUCUACUUUCCUCUCUUCUUACAUAAGAAAACACUUCCCUGGUAGAAGGAAGAGGUUCCUUGCCAAGUACUCGCCCACGAACUUCAUCAAGGUCUGAACUCAAACCUGCUAAGAAUUCAAAUACACGCUCUUUUUCUAACAUCUUCUUGUAUUUAGCACUAUCAGCAGCACAUUCCCACUCGCCAUCAUAGUACUGAUCUAACUCUUGCCAUAAGCCCUUCAAAAUAUUGUAGUAUUUAGUCACUCCUUGACUACCUUGUUUGGUUUCUCGAAUUCUGGUUUUUAGAUCAUAAAUCUGAGCAGAAUUUCCCAAAUCAGAAUAGGUCUCAGUGACAACAUCCCACAAAUCUUUUGCUGUUGGCAGAAACAAGUAAGUUUGACCUAUUUCUUGUUCCAUUGAAUUCACUAACCAUGACAUGAUCAUUGAGUUGUCAGCAUCCCAAGUUUGAAACUUUGGGUCGUCUUCAGUUGGUUCUUUAAUUGAACCAGUAAGGUAACCAAUCUUCCAUUUACCUCUGAUAAACAUCUUCACAGAUUGGGACCACUGAAGAAAAUUUUGACCAUUCAAUUUAUGGGUUGUGAUCUGAAGUGAUGGACUAUCAUUAGAAACAUAACUUGAUGGUUGUAGAUGCCGUUGCAACUGCUCUGAAGAUAACUCAGAAGUUUCUUGGUCGCUAUUCUUUGACAUUAGUAUUCAAAUAGAAUUGAAAACUAAACCCAAGAAUCAAAGAGCGGCUCUAAUACCAUGAGAAAAUUAUUGAAGAAAUAUGUAUCUCAUUUUCUUAUUCUUUACAAUAGGAUUACAUAAUACAUAUAUAGAUUCUAAACUACAUAACGUGCACUAGUAGGAAAGUAAACAACUAACUGCAGACCAAGAAACUAGGAAACAAACUCUAUCAAAACACUGAAAUUCUAUCCCUAUCUUUUUUUUUUUUUUCUAUCCCUAUCUUUUUUCCUUAAAAAUAGGAUAGAAAACAUGUGACUUUUCCACAGUUAAUAUACAUGUAUUAAUUCAUCAUUGCCUUUUAGUUGAAGCCAUUCAAUAGUGUAGAAGAAGAAGAAGGAGGAGGAGGAGGAGGAGGAGGAGGGGAGGAGGAGGAGGAGGAGGAGGAGGAGGAGGAGGAGGAGGAGGAGGAGGAGGAGGAAGGAGGAGGAGGAGGAGGAGGAGGAGGAGGAGGAGGAGGAGGAGGAGGAGGAGGAGGAGAAAAAUAUAUUAGUAUGGAAAGAACACAAGUUUAUUUAUAAUGCAGUCCCUCCCAAGUCCCUACAUGGGCACAAGCACUGAAGCAAACACACUGACACAACAUAUAUAUUACCAAGAAGAAAAGAAAUUAGUAGCCAGCUAGUAGCACAUUCAACAUACAUAUAUACAGAACUUGAACAUAAUUGACAACAUCUGGAGGGAGAGGGAUAUAUAUCGAUGCUGCAGCCUGCAAUUCAUAGCAUGUCAUCGAUCAUUUAAUUGCUUAUCAAAUGGUGUCCUUGAAUGUUUUGAUCAAGAAAACGGUGAUGAUGAUCAUUCUAAUGGUGAUGAUCUUCAAGGGGCCUGGGAAAUUUGUGAAACAACGCCCUAGCCGUAGUGUGUGUAUUUAUAACUUGAUGAUAGAGAGUACGGUGGUUGUCCAAAUUCACACAGUCACCAAACUUUUCCCAUGAAAUUAUAUGUUCGUAUAUGGCAGCAACCCUGCACACAAAUCAUCACAACCAAAAGCUCACGUUUUGCAUGCAAACGCCUGUCUAUAGUCAUUCACCAACCACAAAUUACUCAAGUAAGUACUCGUGUCGUCAACACUUACCCUUUACUCCAUCUACGCAAACAAGAAUUCAACUCGCUUAUUAGCGCUAUAUAUAUAUAAUAUAAUAUAAUAUAUUAAAGAGAAAGCAAACCAAAAUAAAUUCUACACUCAUGUGGACGUUUUGUUCACAAAAUCUGGACAAGAAAAAAUAAUAUUGAUACAAUCUCCAAAUAUAAAGCGUUCCUCUUGGUAAAACAAACAAUUCCUAUAAAUUUUGAUUAAUGGUGCCAAAUGAAAGAGUUGUAAUUUCAUGUAUAUUUUGUUAACAUGAAUAAGGAUACAAAAUAGAUUACGAAAUGACAAAAACAAAGCUAAUCACUAUGAAUGAUAGGUUUAGAGUAAACAUAAAGUUAUAAUCUUGGACAUAAGUGGUGCUUAAAGUCAUGAAUUUGAUAUCACCCAUGAGGGAAGUUCAAACAACGGUAUAUAAUAAGCAACAAAUGUUGGGAAAAAAAAUUCAUUGCAACACAACAUAAUAAAUUGUAAAGAAAUCCCAGUUUGCAUAAAAGAAAGGAAAAAAAUUAAGGAAAACAUAAGCACAACAAAAUUGGACUGAUCAUUAAAAAUGAGAAAUGAGUUAUAAUGAGAAUUUUGGUUUUGUAAUGAACUAAAUUGGGAAGUAUCAGAAGUUCGCAUGAAUACAAUAUAAAUGAUAAGAAGACGAAGGGAACAUAAUGAUAAUAAGCAAGCCAAAUAUUAAAAUGCAGAUUCUACGCUUCCACCCCCACACUUCAAUUUAGUGUCUCGCUGAUCAUUUCAGAUAUAUCAAUUACAAAGGGAGACCAUUUAUUUAUAUUAAGCGUACGCCUCUAAUGCUUUGCCAAGUGUCCAUUGAUAAUAUCACAAGGGCAAUUAAAUUGGUGUAUGUGCAUUACACCUCCAAAGUCAUGUUAAGAUAGUUAGUGAGCUGAUAAAAUUUGUUUCACGUGUGAGUUAGCUAAGUCUGUUAGAAAUGCAGACGUGUAAAGCUGAGUCAACAAGUUACUUAAGGUUGUUACGAAUGCUUAGAUUCAGCUCAUGUGUAUUGUAUGUAAUGCUUAGAUUCAGCUCAGAUUGUGUAUACAACUUUCUAAUAUUCUUUAGAUCUCAACAUAAAUACUUGUGAUCAACAAAUACAAUAAUAAGAAUCAUUAUUCUUCAUUUUCUCUCUGUUUCUCUCAUAUUUUCUCUGCAUCCAAACACAAUAUUUUCAGUUCUUGACUUGGUAUCACUACUACAAUAAACGAUAAAGAUGACUCUUAAAAUAAGUAUUAAAUGACGUGAUAAAAAAAGUCAUCUUUGUAACAGUCAUCUAAAGUGGGUAAUAAUAGAUGACGUCUUUUACGAGUUAUCUAUAUUGCUUUAUAGAUGACUCAUAUUAUAAAAUACCAGUCAUCAAAUUAUAUAUUUGUACUCCAUAAUUCCUAAAGAGAUGACUCUUUUUUAUUUAGCAGCUGUCAACUUUAUUUGAACAAAUGACUAGCUUUUGUAUUGGGAGUCAUCUUUGAAUAAUGAAUGUAAUAUUUCUGAAUUAAUUAAUAUCAUUUGAAACUAGAAAAUAUUUUGAAAUAUCUGAAUCUAUGAAUGUAAUAUUUCUGAAUUAAUUAAUGUCAUUUGAAACUAGAAAAUAUUUUGAAAUAUCUGAAUCUACUGCCUAAUUUUCAUAUUAAGCUAAUAUGGAUUAGCAAAAACUGCAUUAUCAAGCCUAUGGAGAAGUACAUAUAUUUAUUGUACAACAAAUAGUAUUUAAGAUUCAAAUUACUAGUAUUUCCUGUAUCACAAUAAAAAGUCUAUCAUUUUAACACAUCCCAAAUUGGGUAUCCAUUACAUUGUACAUUAAAAAAAAAUUCUUUACAACGAAAAUUACAUUCUUCACAAGCAUCAAAACUCCAUCUCCGAGGCAACUAUCAACAUUCUUAAUCCAGCAACAAUACUACAAUACUAAAUUAAAAUAGUUAAAAAUAAUGCAACAAUUAUGUGUGCACAUAACCAAUAUGAAAGAUACAACUAAAUAAAAAUUACUUAUAAUUUAUAUACAUAUCUUGCCAAACUCAUUGAACUAUCUGUUGAAUUUAGCCAAAACUAUUCUUCUAUAUCUACUUUGCUCGUUAGGUUGCUAUUGACUUUAUUAACAUUGUCUUGAGGUGCAAGCAUCUUAUCCAACCAACUACCUUAUACAAAAUAGCCAAUAUCAAUGGACACAACACUAUUAAAGUUUUCAAAACAUUUUAAAUAAAUACCUUAUCCAACCAAGUACAAUAUACAUAAAAGUGCAUUAUGAUUAACAAUAGAAUUAUUAAAAAAAAAAAAAGAAAAAGGGAUGAUUAGAACUUACAAUAAUACAAAGUUCUUCAAACAUUGGUUAAGUUCAUAAAGAGAUGUGCACUAUAUAUGUCAAAAUAUAAUAGCAUUUCUUUAUAACAAAAAUUUAAAUGCUAAGCAUAAUUAAUCAAAUAAUAAACUUGAUAUUGUUAUAAUGCGAUUUCUUGCUUUUACCUCUUAGAGACUAGACUUACCAAAUCCGAUAAUCAUUAGUAACCUGAAUUUAAUUUUUUCUAGUAUUGCGAAGUUAGUUAUUCAACUAGUCUCAUAAUUUUUGUUUCUCUUUUCAACUUAAGUGAUAACAAUGGCAUGAUAAAACUAUUCUUAGCAAGGAUUUCAUUAUCUCGAGAGUCAUAAAUCAUGUACUAAAUCAAAGUAGAUUUCAUUUGUAUGAAACUAUGACUACUUGCACUAAAGAAUCAACAUACGGAUUGUUAUAAUUUAUAAACAAUUAAUCAAUUUUUACUACAGUAUAAUAAAUAUCUAAAUAUCCAAUUUUCUCCUUUCCCUUUAAAUAUAUAUCCAAAUUUCAAUCAAUCUAAAUAAUAAUAAUUAUAGCAACAACAAUAACAAUAAUAAUAAAUGAAAAACCCCAACCUUGAAAUACCUGGCAUUUACUCAAAUUUUCAAAAUCUUCUAUUUCUAUUUCACUGUAUUGAUUCCAGAUCUAACAUUCAAACAUGAAUUAUGAAAAAAAGGAAAAACAAAGAUCUCAUUCACAUGAACUAUCCCCAAAUAAACGAAUCAUCAUUAUUUUUCAAUGAAUUAAACAAAUUAAAGAAAUAGAAAACACCUCAUUGUAAGGAUCCAAGCUUUUUAAAAACAGAAGUGUCAAAUGCUUUAUUCCUUUUCUGGAAGAUGUGAACCCAAACUUCCAAAUCUUCAAUUUUUGACUUGUUCUUCGCGGUUCGUGAUUGCGAUUGACUUCACGAUUUUCUCUCUCUUCACUCCCACUUUGCGUUUCUUCACUCUUCAAGAGCGGCGGCUGUAAAUUUAGAAUAAUAACUGUAGAAGAGAUGAAAUUAGGGUUGAUUAUUUGGGGACAAUUGCAAAAGGGUGGUAUUUUUAGUGAUAAGUUUGGAGAAGGAAUUUUGAGAAGAGGAAAAUGAAAGAGAGAGAGAGAGAGGUACAACUUGAAGAAAUUAGGGAUUUGAGGGAACUUAGGGUGAUUUUUUUAUUUAUACAUCUAUAUAAAAAUGCCGUUUUUUAAAUUACGAGUCAUAUGUUUACCUUAUAAAAUAUGACGUGUUUUUGUAUAACGAGUCAUCUUUUAACUUCCUAUCAAAUUAAAAUUAUCAUAGAUGACUCUCUAACUAUAGAAAAAGUCAUCUAAAAGAAAAGAUAACAAUUGUUUAGAUGUGAAUCGUCUAUUGAAUGUCAUCUAUCUCACUUACUGUAGUAGUGGAAUUUGUAUUUGAUGUUUAAUUAUAAUUUCUUGAAGUUUUUAUGUGUUUCAUUGAGUUAUAAUCUUUCUAAUGCCUUGCUUUCUUCUAUUUUAGAACUAGUUUUGAGAUGGAUACCCGUAUUGCAUCUGACAAAAUUUGAGUGUUGUUACAAAUACUUUAUUUGUGAAUAUGGUUUUGUAAUUUUUAUGCGUUGGCUUGCGGUAAAAUUACUAAUGUUAAAAUAUAGUGGAGAUAGAGUUCUUAAGAAAAUGUGUUGAUUACAUUUAUUGGCAAUAUAGUAACAUGUGAUGAACUUUUUUCUCCUUUUAUUAAAUUAGGCAAUUAAAUUGUCAAUUUUGCUUUCUUUUACCUUCUAUGUUCUUUUUUUCUUUGGGGCUACGAUAGAUAUUUUCAUUGGAUAGUUCAACUUAUAAAAAAAUAGCUAUGCACAAUUAUUAGACUGUAAACUAUUAUUAAGGUAUGCAUGUUCGUUCAUAGUUAAAUUGAUUAUUGCUCUAAUUCUUUUCUUGAACAUGAAUAAGAUGCAGAGUUACGGGACUAGUAUUCUAAGGCCAACAAUUGAGGGCAUGGCAAAAGAAUGGAGAGGCUGUUUAGGAUAUUUUGUGAAAUUUUGGGUUGUUGUUGCUUGAAUACCUCAAUGAUAUGGAUUAUAUGGUUAAAUGGAUAUCCAUGUUUUAUUAAUUGGAUUCUUUAAUUUUUUGUAUCAUAUUUUGUAUUUAUUUUAGAUUUAUAAAUUUAUUCUAAAAACAAAUUUUCUGAGAAUUCUAAUAAUAAUAAUAAUUCAACACAAAUAAUAAUAACAAUACAAUUCAAAAAUAAUGCUUUUAAGUAAUUUUAAUAUUCAGAUAAUACCAAUUUACAGCCAAAAAGUUUAAAAAUGCCAAAAAUUUUAAUAAUUUUAAUUUCUCAUUAAAAUAUUGUGUGACAGAUAUGUGACUGUGAAAAAUCAUCAUGAAUUCAUGAUGGAAAAUAUUCUGUCAUGAAUUAAUGACAGUGACAAAAAUGACAGAUAAUUUGUCUGUCAUACAUCCCCUUAUAUGACAAUUAUUUACUGUCAUCUAUUGCCUAUUUUCUUGUAGUGUGGAGCUAUCAACUCAAUUCCAAGAUCAACAAACCACCUAAUAAUGGUUUAAUUUAGAUAAAAAAACCACCUAUCAACACUUGGUGAGUUUAUAAUAAGUUGGUGGCAAUCACUAAGAUGGAGUCUCAUAUUGUGUAAGGUUUCAACAUGUUGUAAUCUCUUGAGCCUAGCAAAUUACUCAAUAUUUGAGUGUGGCUCCAUGGAUGCAGUGAAUAACGUAAAAAUCUUCUUGUGUACUUUAAAAGUUUUUGUCUUACUAGGAAUACAUCUUUGUAUUGGCUUUUGAAUUAAGGAUGUUCUAAUUUCUAUGGCCAAGUUUUGCAUCUGCUUUUGAUUUAGAUGUUCCAACUAUAAAAGCCUAGUGUAUUAAAAAAGAAAAAACUAUGAAGGCCUAAGAAUCUAAUUAUCUCGUUUAGAGUAUUGAUAUUUGAUUAUCUCAUUUUAUCUCACCAAACCCUAUUAAUGAUUCCAAUUUUAUCUUGUACAAAAAUACUAAAAAGUACAUAAGAUUUUUCUCUUUAGACUCUAUCAUUUCGCAAACUUAUAUAUAUUAUAAAUUUCAUGUCACCAAACAACUAAACUAUUUCAAAAGAAAAAAAUAACAAUUUUAUUCUUUUAGAAACAAUUUGAUCAAAUCUCUUCAUUGGCAGCAAACAAAAUCAAUUCCAUAUCCAAAACCAAAUAAAUGAUCAAGUUUAGAAAGGUCUAUCCAUCGCUUGGAUUGCUAAAAUCAUUCCCUUGAUAGCUUUUAACAAGAGAAAGAACAUUAUGGAGAUUGACCAAUUAGCAAAUGCAAAAGAUUAAAAUUACUAAAAGUGAGCAAUUAAGCUUUUUCAACAUGUGAUUUUUGCUUUCUCAUAUUGCUGAAACAAAUAACGUGAAACUGAGGAUUUUUUUCUUUUUUGUCUAAGCAUUUUUAUUGCAACUACCAAAAUGUUAGGACUUUUAUCAUUACAUCAGUGCGUCAAUAAUAUUGUUAUUUAUUUGUUCCUUGCAUUAGGGAUUUGUCUUGUCAUAGGUACUUAGAGAUUACUAUGUCUAUGGGUAGGAAUAUAGCAAGUAUAUUUAAUAUGUGGAAUGGGGUGAAAUCCAAUGAUCCUCUUUUAAAAAAGGAAAAACGCUAUGUUGGGAAAUUGAAACUUUAAACUGAACGUCGGUCUCAAAGUUUCACUGUGAGGCUGGCAUCAUCACUGUUGAUUGUGCGGAUGAUGCCAUGGGUUUAGGUGUUGUGAUGUGUGAUUGUCAUGGGUAUGUUAGGGUUGCUACUAUUUUUGCAAUUAGUAUUUUCUAAGUUAUUGCUAAUAUUUUACAACCCAUGGAACAACGAUAAGCUUUUCAAAUUCAUCAUAUUUUGUGUAAUUUUAAAUAGCUCAAGCCAUGUACUAGCCAAGUUAGCUCUUUUAAAUUCUGUUAUUUAGCUAGAUAACUUUUUAGAACGUUUGUGCGCACUUUAAUUAUAAUGAAGUUAUUGAUUGCUAAAAAAAAAGCGCACACAAAAGUUCUAAAUCUUAAUUAGAAGUAUUUGUUUUUCUUUUUUUCCUUUAUAACAUCAUUAUUAGGGUUAAAAGAAAAAUUAUUCGACCGGAUUUAUUCAAUAGUGUAUAAGUAAUUUUUCUCUUUUAGUAAUCCGACAUAGUAAUGAACUUACCCAUGUUUCAUAUACAUAUAUUUCUCAACCCUAGUAACUAAUUAGUUAAAUAUUUCUCGAACAUAGUAAGUAAAUAUUAUGAUUUAUUAUUACAAACCACCGUAUUAGUAUCUAUCUAUGAUUUAACAAUAGGUUAAUAUAGAUAUCGUGGAUUUAGUGAUCUUCAUUCUUCAUACUACCUUUCAGGACAUGGAGGUACAUCGUAUUGAUGUAAGUGGCACUUGUGGGAUAUAAUACAGUUCUUAGAAGAGGCAAAGAAAAGAGGAACUUAAAGUCAUCAUCAUAAUUCUCACUACCUAUCAGCCUAUAAAUCCCUAAUUAUUUCACAUAUCAUCAACAAUUUAAUAUAACACAUAAACCUGUAAUUCUUUCACAUAUCAUUUUCAAUAGUCACCAUAAAAACACAAGAAUCAUCAUUACCUUGUCUUUAACUAAAAAAUGAAAGAGACCAGCUCAAGAUGACACUAACUGAUUGAUGGAUUCAACUUGUUAUUUGCUGUGUGUUACAUGGUAGCUUCGAUUUUAUGUGAUUAGUAAACAAUCUAAGAGACAAAUCAAUAUUUCAGAGAGUGAUAGUAAGAGAGGUGAAAGAGAUGUUUGAGAUUUGAAGGAGGGAAAACGUAAUGGAUUUCAGCAACCAUUUAACAAGUAACCCGUUACUUUUUAUUUUUAAUUUAAUCUCAACCGUUGGACUCAUUUUACUUGAAUCCAACGGCUACAAAUAAAAAUUGGCACAAUGCUAGGCAUUNNNNNNNNNNNNNNNNNNNNNNNNNNNNNNNNNNNNNNNNNNNNNNNNNNNNNNNNNNNNNNNNNNNNNNNNNNNNNNNNNNNNNNNNNNNNNNNNNNNNNNNNNNNNNNNNNNNNNNNNNNNNNNNNNNNNNNNNNNNNNNNNNNNNNNNNNNNNNNNNNNNNNNNNNNNNNNNNNNNNNNNNNNNNNNNNNNNNNNNNNNNNNNNNNNNNNNNNNNNNNNNNNNNNNNNNNNNNNNNNNNNNNNNNNNNNNNNNNNNNNNNNNNNNNNNNNNNNNNNNNNNNNNNNNNNNNNNNNNNNNNNNNNNNNNNNNNNNNNNNNNNNNNNNNNNNNNNNNNNNNNNNNNNNNNNNNNNNNNNNNNNNNNNNNNNNNNNNNNNNNNNNNNNNNNNNNNNNNNNNNNNNNNNNNNNNNNNNNNNNNNNNNNNNNNNNNNNNNNNNNNNNNNNNNNNNNNNNNNNNNNNNNNNNNNNNNNNNNNNNNNNNNNNNNNNNNNNNNNNNNNNNNNNNNNNNNNNNNNNNNNNNNNNNNNNNNNNNNNNNNNNNNNNNNNNNNNNNNNNNNNNNNNNNNNNNNNNNNNNNNNNNNNNNNNNNNNNNNNNNNNNNNNNNNNNNNNNNNNNNNNNNNNNNNNNNNNNNNNNNNNNNNNNNNNNNNNNNNNNNNNNNNNNNNNNNNNNNNNNNNNNNNNNNNNNNNNNNNNNNNNNNNNNNNNNNNNNNNNNNNNNNNNNNNNNNNNNNNNNNNNNNNNNNNNNNNNNNNNNNNNNNNNNNNNNNNNNNNNNNNNNNNNNNNNNNNNNNNNNNNNNNNNNNNNNNNNNNNNNNNNNNNNNNNNNNNNNNNNNNNNNNNNNNNNNNNNNNNNNNNNNNNNNNNNNNNNNNNNNNNNNNNNNNNNNNNNNNNNNNNNNNNNNNNNNNNNNNNNNNNNNNNNNNNNNNNNNNNNNNNNNNNNNNNNNNNNNNNNNNNNNNNNNNNNNNNNNNNNNNNNNNNNNNNNNNNNNNNNNNNNNNNNNNNNNNNNNNNNNNNNNNNNNNNNNNNNNNNNNNNNNNNNNNNNNNNNNNNNNNNNNNNNNNNNNNNNNNNNNNNNNNNNNNNNNNNNNNNNNNNNNNNNNNNNNNNNNNNNNNNNNNNNNNNNNNNNNNNNNNNNNNNNNNNNNNNNNNNNNNNNNNNNNNNNNNNNNNNNNNNNNNNNNNNNNNNNNNNNNNNNNNNNNNNNNNNNNNNNNNNNNNNNNNNNNNNNNNNNNNNNNNNNNNNNNNNNNNNNNNNNNNNNNNNNNNNNNNNNNNNNNNNNNNNNNNNNNNNNNNNNNNNNNNNNNNNNNNNNNNNNNNNNNNNNNNNNNNNNNNNNNNNNNNNNNNNNNNNNNNNNNNNNNNNNNNNNNNNNNNNNNNNNNNNNNNNNNNNNNNNNNNNNNNNNNNNNNNNNNNNNNNNNNNNNNNNNNNNNNNNNNNNNNNNNNNNNNNNNNNNNNNNNNNNNNNNNNNNNNNNNNNNNNNNNNNNNNNNNNNNNNNNNNNNNNNNNNNNNNNNNNNNNNNNNNNNNNNNNNNNNNNNNNNNNNNNNNNNNNNNNNNNNNNNNNNNNNNNNNNNNNNNNNNNNNNNNNNNNNNNNNNNNNNNNNNNNNNNNNNNNNNNNNNNNNNNNNNNNNNNNNNNNNNNNNNNNNNNNNNNNNNNNNNNNNNNNNNNNNNNNNNNNNNNNNNNNNNNNNNNNNNNNNNNNNNNNNNNNNNNNNNNNNNNNNNNNNNNNNNNNNNNNNNNNNNNNNNNNNNNNNNNNNNNNNNNNNNNNNNNNNNNNNNNNNNNNNNNNNNNNNNNNNNNNNNNNNNNNNNNNNNNNNNNNNNNNNNNNNNNNNNNNNNNNNNNNNNNNNNNNNNNNNNNNNNNNNNNNNNNNNNNNNNNNNNNNNNNNNNNNNNNNNNNNNNNNNNNNNNNNNNNNNNNNNNNNNNNNNNNNNNNNNNNNNNNNNNNNNNNNNNNNNNNNNNNNNNNNNNNNNNNNNNNNNNNNNNNNNNNNNNNNNNNNNNNNNNNNNNNNNNNNNNNNNNNNNNNNNNNNNNNNNNNNNNNNNNNNNNNNNNNNNNNNNNNNNNNNNNNNNNNNNNNNNNNNNNNNNNNNNNNNNNNNNNNNNNNNNNNNNNNNNNNNNNNNNNNNNNNNNNNNNNNNNNNNNNNNNNNNNNNNNNNNNNNNNNNNNNNNNNNNNNNNNNNNNNNNNNNNNNNNNNNNNNNNNNNNNNNNNNNNNNNNNNNNNNNNNNNNNNNNNNNNNNNNNNNNNNNNNNNNNNNNNNNNNNNNNNNNNNNNNNNNNNNNNNNNNNNNNNNNNNNNNNNNNNNNNNNNNNNNNNNNNNNNNNNNNNNNNNNNNNNNNNNNNNNNNNNNNNNNNNNNNNNNNNNNNNNNNNNNNNNNNNNNNNNNNNNNNNNNNNNNNNNNNNNNNNNNNNNNNNNNNNNNNNNNNNNNNNNNNNNNNNNNNNNNNNNNNNNNNNNNNNNNNNNNNNNNNNNNNNNNNNNNNNNNNNNNNNNNNNNNNNNNNNNNNNNNNNNNNNNNNNNNNNNNNNNNNNNNNNNNNNNNNNNNNNNNNNNNNNNNNNNNNNNNNNNNNNNNNNNNNNNNNNNNNNNNNNNNNNNNNNNNNNNNNNNNNNNNNNNNNNNNNNNNNNNNNNNNNNNNNNNNNNNNNNNNNNNNNNNNNNNNNNNNNNNNNNNNNNNNNNNNNNNNNNNNNNNNNNNNNNNNNNNNNNNNNNNNNNNNNNNNNNNNNNNNNNNNNNNNNNNNNNNNNNNNNNNNNNNNNNNNNNNNNNNNNNNNNNNNNNNNNNNNNNNNNNNNNNNNNNNNNNNNNNNNNNNNNNNNNNNNNNNNNNNNNNNNNNNNNNNNNNNNNNNNNNNNNNNNNNNNNNNNNNNNNNNNNNNNNNNNNNNNNNNNNNNNNNNNNNNNNNNNNNNNNNNNNNNNNNNNNNNNNNNNNNNNNNNNNNNNNNNNNNNNNNNNNNNNNNNNNNNNNNNNNNNNNNNNNNNNNNNNNNNNNNNNNNNNNNNNNNNNNNNNNNNNNNNNNNNNNNNNNNNNNNNNNNNNNNNNNNNNNNNNNNNNNNNNNNNNNNNNNNNNNNNNNNNNNNNNNNNNNNNNNNNNNNNNNNNNNNNNNNNNNNNNNNNNNNNNNNNNNNNNNNNNNNNNNNNNNNNNNNNNNNNNNNNNNNNNNNNNNNNNNNNNNNNNNNNNNNNNNNNNNNNNNNNNNNNNNNNNNNNNNNNNNNNNNNNNNNNNNNNNNNNNNNNNNNNNNNNNNNNNNNNNNNNNNNNNNNNNNNNNNNNNNNNNNNNNNNNNNNNNNNCCUCACUCUCACCAUCAAAAUUUAGUAGUAGAAAGAAAACAUAAGUAUAUUGUUGAAACAUGAUCAACUCUCCUUGCACGUGCACAAAUGCCAAUUUCUUUUUGGUGGGAAGCCUUCCACACAACCUCAUUUCUUAUCAAUAGACUCCCAAUACAUACUUUAAACAAUCUUUCACUCUUUGAAAAACUUCAUGGUAGAAAAUCAUAUUUUAUUUCUUAAAACAUUUGGUUGUUCAUGCUUUCCUUUACUCAAACCUUACAAUAAACACAAGCUAGACUUUCAUACACAAAAGUGUUUGAUGAUUGGUUACAGUCCAAUUCACAAAGGUUACACAUGUUUGUCACCUACUGAAAAGACAUACAUUGCCAAGCAUGUACAAUUUAAUAAAUCUGAGUUUCUAUUUCUUUAACUCUUUCCUUCUCACAAGUCUAAUACUUUUGCAUCUUUAAUUUCACGGUCUUCUAAUCCUUUUAUAAUUGUCCCUAGUAUGUCAGUCAUUUAAGGCAGUAACUCUGCAUAUCCUUCUGUUAAUACUCUUGUUUCAUGUAUAAAACUGCUUCAAAUACCUCACCCUCACGUUCUAUUCCUAUUCAACAUACUAUAAUACCUGAUCAACACACCCCAAACAGUCAACACUCCCCAAAUACUUACUUUACAGUAUCUCAAUCUUCUUCACCUAAAUAAUCGCUUCACCUUGCUCAAAACAUUCAUCCAAUGGUUACAAGGUCUAAAGUUAGUGUGUUCAAGCUUAAAGACCUAUUUAGCUGUUUCUCAAGAUCUUGAACCAACCUCUAUCAAAAUGGCCUUACAUGAUCUAAAAUGGAGGGAAGCAAUGCAGGCUAAGUUUGAUGCUCUACAAGAAAAUUAAAAUUGGGUUUUGGUUCUAAAAGAAGUUGCACAGAAAAUUACUACACAGAAAAUUAUUGGCAAUAAAUGAGUGUUCAGAAUCAAAUAUAACCCUGAUGGUAGUAUAUCCAAGUACGAAGCUAGACUUAUUGCAAAGGGUUUUCAUUAGACUCCAAGUGUGGAUUUUUUUUAAACCUUUAGUCUAGUUGUUAAGCCUUGUACGAUCAGGGUAAUUCUAAGUCUUGCAGUCAUGAAUCACUGGUCCAUUACACAACUUAAUGUUAACAAUGCUUUUUAUAAUAGUAUUCUCACUGAAGAUGUGUUUAUGUCACAAUCUGAAGGAUUUCUUUAUCCUCAGUAUCCUUUUCAUGUAUGUAAACUUAAAAAGGCUCUUUAGGGACUCAAACAAGCCCUAAGGGCUUGGUAUGAUAAACUGAAAGGUUCUAUGCUGCAAUGGGGAUUCCACACUUCCAGAUCAAACACUUCUUUGUUUAUGCAACAUGUGGCAGGGGAAUUAGUUAUGGUUCUUAUAUAUGUUGAUGAUAUAUUAGUAACUGGUUCCAAUGCUAAACUUAUUGAAAGAAUUGUUCAACAGUUAAGGUCAGAAUAUGCUUUAAAAGAUCUGGGUGAGUUCAAUCUUGAAGUCACACCCACACAUGAAGGAAUUCAUCUCUCUUAAACAAAAUAUAUUAGGGGUUUGCUUAAGAAAUCUCAGAUGUUUGAGAGUAAAGGCUUUCAAACUCCCAUGAGCUCCAUUGAAAAAUUGGUAAAAAAUAAAGUUGCUGCAUUUAAGAAUUCUUAUCUACACAAAAGUAUAGUUGGAUCUUAUAAUAUGUAACCUUAACCAGGCCUGAAAAAUUGAAUUCACAGUCAAUAAGCUUAGUCAAUUCCUUGUUGCUCCUUCUGUAUUUCAUUGGCAAGCUUGCUAACAUAUAUUGAGAUAGCUCCAAUACACAACCAAUUAUGGAUUAUAAUUCCACAACAUAAGAUCUAUCACACUUACAGCUUUUUCAAAUGUAGAUUGAGGACCAGAUUUGAAUGAUAGAAAGUCAGUGGGAGACUACUAUGUUUACUUAGGUAAUAACCUUUUAUCAUGGUCAUCAAAGAAGCAGCAAUUUGUUUCAAGAAGCAUAGUAGAAUCUAAAUACAUAGCUUUAGCUUUGACUGCCUUUGAAGUGCUCUGGAUAAUAUAAUUUCUUAAAGAGUUGCAAAUAAAAUUGUUGCAAACCCCAAUUCUUAACUGCGAUAACAAGAGUGCAGAAACACUAACUAGCAAUCCAAGAUAUCACUCCAAAACUAAACAUAUUGAACUUGAUCUACACUUUGCUAGAGAGUACAUAGCAUAGAAAGAGAUCCAAGUUCAUCAUGUUCCAAGCUAUGAUCAAUUGCAAAUAUACUCACUAAGCCAUUAGCUCUAGAUCAAUUUAACUAUCUUAGAUCCAACCUCAAUGUUCUUCCCAAACCUUGAGCUUGAGAGGGCCUGUUAAGAUAGUUAAUGAGCUGAUAAAAUUUGUUGCACGUGUGAGUUAGUUAAGUCUGUUAGAAAUACAAAUGUUUAAAGCUGAGUCAGCAAAUUAGUUAAGGUUGUUAAGAAUGCAUAGAUUCAGCUCAUGUCUAUUGUAUGUAGUGCUUAGAUUUAGUUAAUGUAGAUUGUGUGUACAACUUCUAGAAUUAUUUAGAUCUCAUUAUAAAUAUUGUAAUCAAUAAAUACAAUAAUAAGAAUCAUCAUUCUUUAUUUUCUCUCUAUUUCUCUCAUAUUUUCUCUGCAUCCAAACACAAUAUUUGCAGUUCUUGACUAGUCAUAAGUGUGUGAUAUAGUGUGCUUUGAAUGACCAAGUGUAAAACACAAUACAAAAACCUCCAUUGGUGGAGACUGGAGAGCUAUAUUCACAAACAAGCUUUGAUUUAUUUAAAUUUUAAGAAAUGACGAGGAGCUUACAAUAUAAAUCAAUGGUAUUGGCCCAUUUUUCACUUAGCCAAUAAAAGAGAUGAAUGUGAUUGUGUGCUUUUAGGAGAUAUCGAAGGGCUCACUUCGACUAUAAUGAUAUAGAAGUUUAUGGACUUAAACUCAUACUCAAACUUUGUCUUGAGAUUAAUAGUUGCCUUAAGUUUAUAUUAUUAGUUCGAUAACUAUUUCAACCAAUGUUGGAUAAUUUUCCUAUUAAACCUCGUCAGGUGUAUGCCAAUUAUUGUAUGUUUUCUAAUGCUAUUGGUGUCAAUGUGCAAGUGUACACAACAAGUAAUAUAAUGAUAAAUAUUCAAGAUCGUCUCCACAUGGAUUGUUAUUAUAGGAAUUGCUACAACAAUUUUAUCAGUGCAAUUUUUAUUCUAAAUUAAAAUUAAAACAAAUUAUGAAACUAAUGAACUAAUUAAGAUAAAAAUGCAAUAAGAAAAAAAUACAAUAAAGUAAAUUAUCAUGGCAAAUAUAAGGAUGUAACCAAGGGGAAUGAAGUAGUUGAGUGAUUAAACUCACUUAGUGGUUUUGACUGACUAUUUCCCUAAUGUUUGGCUCGGUUGUUGCAGCAUCUGUUACAGCAUUGGGUAGAAUGCUUAUGUAUCCUCAGUUGUUGCAUGUUGGAUGUCUUAUAUCUAAAUGCAACAUAAUAGUGACCAAUCAUUAUACUAAUAUCAUAUAUAACAUUACACGUUUUAGAUUUUAAUUACCCUACAAGGUGAAUCUGUAUAUCUAGUUUAUCACUAAUUUUAUAUUAAACAUGACUAUUUUCGAAUCAAGUUAAACCUAACUCAGGAAACUCAAUCUAAAAUCAAGUAUUACUCUGAUAUGUUCCACUAAAACAGGCCUUUUUGAUGCUCUCUCUUAACUAAUAUCAUGAAAUAGGUGGUCAGCUAAAAUAAUGAAUUGAAAUAAAUAUUAUCAAAACAAUAUGCUAUAGCAAAUAUGCAGCAACAUAGUAUAUCAGUCAAUUAACCAUCAAGUUUGUUCAUCACUCAACCAUAAGUAAAUUUAGUUUAAUCCGCGAUAAAACAAGAAUCAAAAUAGUUCUAGCCAUCAAACAAUUCAUCAUAACGAGAUAAAAACAAGAGAACAAGAAGUAAGAGUUGAGAUCCGCUUGAUGUUCUGCUGGAAUCCUUUGGUGCCGUCCUCCAUUCUCUCUUUUGAUUUUUGUUUUCUCUUGUUUUGUUUCUCUAUUUUUUUCUCUAAUGACAACCUCCUCUUUCUUUGUGUUUGUGCUUCUUCUAUAGCUUAGAAUUAAGGCAACCGGAAGUUUAGGGUUCACAUCUUCCAGUUUAGGAAACUCAAUAUCACAAUCUUCAAAGUAUCUCGCGCGAAUUCUUCUCUAUCAAUGCUCCAGGAUUGCUAUAACAACUGUGCUAUACCAACAUUGCUACAAAAACAACUUCAACAUCAACAAUGUUCCAGACUUAUUUCAAUUCUUUUCUAAGCAAAUUUUUUCCUUAUCUUUACAAGCCUAUUACAGCUGCAUUCCUUCCUUGAAAUUUAAACUUCUAGUCACCUAUCUAAGCACAUAAUUUAUUCUAAAUCAAACAAAACUUAUUAAAAGUAAACUAAAAUGGAUCAUACAAAAUAUUACUAAAAUGCAAUAAAAACAUAUCAUUUACUCUCUAAUUAAUCAUGAUUUAAGUCUAAAAGUGUCAUGAUAACUCUCAUUUGAUAGAGUUAUCACCAAUCUUUUUGUCCAGUCCUUAUCACGCGGUAUGGUAAUGAGGACUUACUUGUGCAUGACUUUGGUUCAACAUCAUAUAAAAGCUCGUGAGGGCUAACUCUUUCUUAACAGCAACCUUAAGAGUUAAGGGUUGUCUUAAGCUUAUAUUAUUUUUAUCCCAAUAACUAUUCUCAAUUGUUAAGUGAUGUUUUCUUUAUUAAGAGAGUUCCGUGAAUAUGUACUGCCUUUAGCACAAUUGUUAUGAAGUGGAUGAUCUGCAUAAGAAGAUUCCAACUCCCAACACAAGCACUGUUAUCUUUCUUCUGGAUACAAUCUUCAGCAUUGGCAUGAAUUAUAUCAUCAACAUAUGCAUAAAAUUACACUUAAGGACAAUAAAAUUAAUCAGACAUAGUUUUUUCUCCCAAAUAAAUUAUUCACAUUCAUAAUCAUUUUUUUUCACUUUUUUACAUGUUGCUUCUUAUCUAACUAAAAUAAAUUGUACAAAUUUAGAUAAUCUAUUAUUCUUUUCAAAUUUCUUAUUGAUUAUAUAUUUUUAUACUUAAGAUUGAUUUAAAAUUAUAUAGUAAAAUACGUGUAAUUUAAGCGAAUGAUUAACAUUAAAAAAUUUAUCACCCAGAAAAGUUUUUAAUUUGUUUGUUGGAUAAUAAUAAGAUUGCAAAGAAAUGAAAAAUAGCACAACACUACUUUGAGUUUUAACAAUAAAAAAAUUGAAUAAAAGAUUAGAAGUGUAUUUUAAAAAAAGAUAUUGUUGGAAAUAAAGUAAAUAUAAUUAAAAAAAGGUGUUUCAUGAAUAAAUGAGAGGGAUGUCAAUAGUCCAACUCUUUUGUUUAAAAUUUUAAGAUGUUGGUAUUUGAAACUUAGCUUUUUCCUAAUUAUUAUAUUAAAAUGUAAUAACAAUGAUGAUAAACCCUAGUUUCAUGGAGGUCAAAGAUUUUGGUCAUGCCCCAUGAAUUAGUUGGGACAUACUUUAUGUAAAUUUAUUUAGGUUUAAUAAUUUGAUCAAGACUAUAUAAGGCGCCGCCUGGAGUCAUAGAAUUUUAUAUGUCAAAAGUGCAUUUCACUUCAAUUAAGCCAUAAACGUCAUUUAAUAUACUCAAUUUGUAUUUUAAAAAAAAGUUUUAUUAAUUUUUUUUAUUUUAAAAAUAUCAUUUAUUUAUUUAUUUAUUUAUUUUAAACUUUUUUAAUGGUAAAGAGGUGAGUAAAGUCCAAAUUCAAUUUUUGUCCAUUAAGUAAUAGCCCCUGAGAUUUUGAACUCAGGUGACUAGCUAAAUGUAUAACAAUAGGCAUUUCGAAUUUCAUUUUAAAAUGAUAUGCAAUUCAUUAAGUGAUUAUUAAUUUUUCACAAGAUCUUAGUGAAUUAAUUGUAUUAUCUCACUAAUCAAUUGAUGAGUGCCAUAGUAUUUGGGAUAACUUUUGGAUAAAAAAAUUGCGAUGGAUGAAAUAUCCUUUUGAGAAUUUAAUGAUUUAUCUCAUUUAUGACUUAUUGUUGCAGUUAAGUGAUAUUACAAGUAAUUUUUGCAAUAAUAUUAUUGUUUUGAUGAGUAAGUUUGGAGUAAAUAAUACAUAUGACAAGCGUGAGGUUUGUUAUUGUGUUUAUUCUAUGGAUGUAUUUUAAAGCAAAAAAAGGCACCGAUUCAUUAUGAUUCCAGAUAAUUUCAACUCAUAAGUAAUUAUUGGGAUAAAAAUAAAGUAAAAUGGUUAAAACUAUUUUUAUGUAAUUUAUAAAAAUCAAUGAAGCAACUACAAAAAUUUUUAACAUGAAAAACAAUUAAAAUGUGUGUGGAAAAAAAAAAGAAGGCAUUUAAAUAUCUUUUAAAAAAAUAUGAUUGAGUAAAAUCAUUUUAAGGAAUGCUCUUCCAAAUGCAAUUCCACCCUUUUUUUAUUGCAUUGGGAUAUCCCAAAAUUGGCAAAACUCAUUAAGAAUUCGGCAAUUCAAUUUUUAUUUAUCUCUCUAUGCAUUUGACAAAUCAAAAAGAAAAAAAGUUCAUAUAUCUUCUGUUCAAAAGAAACCUUGUUAAAUAUUGUAAAACAAAUAACUAAUUUUUUUCAUUUAUGCCAUUAUAUUGUCACUAUUUACUCGCCCACUCUCUGAAAAUAGAAUCAAUAUUUAUUGAUGGGUUAGGUUCCAAAGUAAGCACCAAUUCAGCAAAAUGGUUUUAUAGCAGAAAAAGCACUUGUGGGACAUUCAGAACCCAUUUUUCCAUUUUGUCUUUUGAAAAUGAGUCUUGAGUUUCCACAAGCCAAGAAGAAUGGCUAACAAACGAAUGGUACCAAAGAAAGAGAAACACACAUACAGAGACAGAGAUUAUUGGGGAGAUAUAAAUGUUUGUUUAAUAUGUAUAUAUAUAUAUCCCCAUUAAUUGUUGAUAGUCCAAUGGGUAUGUGCAAAAGGAAAAAAAUUGACUGUCCUUUAAGACAAAAUUGAUUGUCACAAGAAAAUGUUUGCACUCUUGCACACAACAAAAAUAAAGAUUCCAAGAACAAAUUUAUGGUACUCGUUUUUGUCCAAACUUAUGCGAUAAAAAUUAGUUUAAAUGACGCUUGAAAUACGUAGACCUUCACAGAAUUGAUUAGAUAUUUAUAGUAGGAUGGAGUGAUAAAUAGUUUCACAAAAUUAUUGGAAUUAACUAAUUAAUACAUGAGAUCUAUCUCAUUAAGAAUAAAAGAUUAAGAUGUUACUUCAAAAGCGUGACAUUGCUGGCAACAAAUUUAACACAAAAGUUUAAUUAAUUUUCCUAGUUGACAUAGUAAAAUCUCAUGUUGAAAAAAAAAAAAAAGUUUCAGGUUUGAUCCUUCUCAUUCAAGAAAAUCAAGCCAAAAUCAGUACAUCGUCCAGCAUAUAUCAAAGAUUUUUUCAAAGGCAAACUAAUAAUUCACGGGAGGAAAAAAAGAAAAAAAGAGAAGGAACAUAUGCUAUUCAAGACAUGUAUAGUUUGGACAUGAAGUCUAAGCCCAGAACAAUAAGCACCUAGCUGAGUUUUCAAUUUCCAAAACCCAACAAAAUCUUUGUCAAAAUAUCUGAUCUAGUCCCAUAUUAAGCACAUUCAUAGCCGUAUCAACAGGUUCAAAAUAUUUUCCCCAAAAAGAGAUAGAGAUUCCAUUGAGUUGUGAUUGUCCAAACGUUCUGUAACAAGUUAUGGGAGCCCCUAUGUUACAAUUAAUGUAACAUACACACUCAACAACAACCACACAAGUUAUGGUUAUUCUUGUAACACAAAUCCAAUAUUGCGCAACAAAAUUUUUUUUCUAGCUCGAUGGAUUAGUUUUAAAUUAAAAAAAAAAGAGUAAAAAGACCAACCAUGCCUGUGAAUCCUUUUUUUUUUAAUUUUUCUAAAUCUAUCAAAUGAAAAUGUAAUUAUAUGGUUCAGGAUACCAAUAUGCCUGAUCUGCAAUGGUUGACUUGCACUAUCCUAGAGGGGCUAUACUUUAUGUUGAAUUUCCUUGUUUUUUUUUUUAAAAAGAAAAAAUUACUAGGUUUAUUAUUGAAAAUCUUCGACACAUUUUAUGUAAGAUACCAUAAAGCCAAAUACAACCUUUUUUAUUCUCAGCAGCAACUUUUUUUUUCCAUAUAAAUAAUGUGGAAAAUAGCACCACCUUUUCUAGAAGGUGGUGCCCACCACUUUUGAAGAAGAAUGCGGUUGUUACUGCAUUCUUUGAAUCAAAGAAAAUGUUAAAAGUCAUGGCUGGCACCGACCAUCUAGAUGGCCAGUGCCAUGCCAUUCAACACGGCCCGCCAUUGUUGGUGGUGCUGUGUUGACUUGUUAAAAGAAAAGAGCCAAAAUUUUGGCUAUAUAAAGAGGGGUUCCUACCCUCAUUUUAGUAUCCAAUUCCGUGGGAGCAGUUAGUCUAUACAUGGCGAAUCCGGGUGGAGAGCAUUGGAUAGCUGUGAAAAUGAUUCUGAGAUACAUCAGAGGAACCUCAGAUGUUGCAUUAUGUUAUUGAGGAUCAGAAUUUACUGUCAGAGGCUAUGUGGAUUCAGAUUUUGCAGGAGAUCUUGAUAAAAGAAAAUCCACUAUUGGUUAUGUGUUUACACUUGCGGGAGCAGCUGUAAGCUGGGUUUCUAAACUGCAGACCGUUGUGGCUUUAUCUAUAGCAGAAGCAUAAUACAUGGCAGCUAUACAAGCUUGCAAGGAAGCUAUUUGGAUACAAAGAUUAUCGGGCACAAACAACAGAAAAUUUCUGUAUUUUGUGACAGUCAGAGUGCUUUGCACAUUGCAAGGAAUCCAGUCUUUCAUUCCAGGACAAAGCACAUAGGAGUUCAGUAUCACUUCGUUCGAUAAGUAGUGGAAGAUGGAAGUGUGGAUUUACAGAAAAUCCAUACGAAGGAGAACCUAGCAGAUGUUUUGACCAAGCCGAUAAAUGCUGACAAGUUUAUCUGGAGUAGAUCUUCUUGUGGCCUAGUAGAAACGUAGGCAACAUGACUAUGGCGAAGCAGAAAGGAUGGUGUGGAGAUUAAUUGAUUCUCAAUCAAAUCUCCAAGUGGGAGAAUGUGGAAAAUAGCACCACCUUUUCUAGAAGGUGGUGCCCACCACUUUUGAAGAAGAAUGCGGUUGUUGCUGAAUUCUUUGAAUCAAAGAAAAUGUUGAAGGAUUUGGUGCCGCCUAAAGAAAACUUUGACAAAGAAGAAAGAAAAAUCUGCAAAAGGUGGUUGGUACACCAAAUGAAAGAAAAAAAUAAUAAUUAAAUUAUUAUUUUAAUAGCCAAUUUUGGCUAUAAAAAUGGAGAGCUCCAUUUUGAUUUUGGCAUCCAAUUUUGUAGAAAGAGUCGAGAAUUGUGAGAAGUAAUUCUUGCAGAGCAGAGAGUUUUGUGUACUUAGUGUUUUGAGAGUUUGGGUGUAUUGGGGUUUUGGGUAGUGAGCUAAAAUACUACAAUACUUGUAACUACUUUUCACUAGUAUAAUAUUUUCCUUCUGUUUUCGUACGUGGACGUAGGCUAAAAGUCGAACCACGUAAUUUCUGGUGUCCUCUAUUGUGCUUGUUCUUUAUUUUCUUUCAAUUUUACUUUAGCUACGGUUCUGCUUAACCCACCAAUUUACUAACAAAUAACGCUUUAAACAUUAUUUGCAACAAGGAAGAAUUAUUUCAUGCUUUCAGGUAUUACAAACUUUCCAGAAAGCCACGGUAGCCAAGAGGAGCACAAAUCGGGAGUUUUUUGGAGGUACUAUAAAACUACUUAUUUUUCUAAUUAUGAGAUCGCCAACCAACUGUUACAAUUAUUAUUAUUAUUUGGCAAACCUCUACAUGACAAUGGAGAUUUAUUAGAUUUAAAAUGGAUAAUUUCAAACAUCUCAUAUUAUAUUGAUCCUUUCAAAAUCAAAUUACACGCAAAGCUGUUAAAAAAUUAAUAAUAAUAAGUAAAUCAACGGCAAAGAGGGAAAAUUAUACAUUUAAAUCAUUAAUUUAUUAUGAAAAUUUUCGUUUUACACUGCGAGUUAAGGAUGGCAAUGGAUCGGAUCUGACCCAAGAUCCAUAUGAUCCAAAUCCAAUUGGAUCGGAUUUGGGUUGGAUUAAAGUGGAUUUGGAUGGAUUUGGAUGUCAAUGCGUGGAUCUAAGGCGGAUCUGGAGCAAAUUCAGAUUUAUCUUAAUAUCUAUAUCCAAAUCUAUAUUCACUCACCAUUUAAUGUAAUUUUAUUUUAAAAAAUUCUUAACAAUUAUGUAAUUAUAAAUGAUGAUAAAAUUUAUUCAUUAGCAUGUAUUUAAGAAUCUUAAAACUUAAAGGUACUUAAUUGAUAAUAAGACAAAAAAUUAUCAAGUGUAAAAUAAAACUAGGAUAGCCUGCCCUAAUUUUUUUAAGUUUUUCACUCUACAAUUUAGUCUCUUUUUUCCUCUUUAGUUUACUCUCGCUUCUCCACUUCAUUUGAAUGAUUGGAUCAGUUCUUUAAUUGUUAGGAAAAUCCAUAGACUUGGGUUUAUUUUUCUACCAUUUUCUCAUAAUCUUAUUUAUUUUGUAUAAUCACUAAUCAAUGGUGGCUAUCAACUAUAAAAUAAUUAUGUUAAUCAUAUAUUUCGUUAAAUAUGAUCAUAAUAAAAAUAAUAAAGCACUGAAUAUAAUAAAUCAUUUUUAACUUAUAUGUUAUUAUUUAAUGAUAUAGGAAUGAUGAUGGUGUGCAGUGGAUAUCAAGAUAGUAAAGGAGACAUUAGAAUAUUAUAAUGAUCUUAUUCCUUCAAUUACUUUUGAUCGAUAUUUUAUUGUCUUUCUUAUUUAUUUAUUUUGGUGUAAAAGUAGAAGCUGCAAUACUUAUUAGAUUUUUUGUACACAUUAUAUAAUUUAAUUGUUACCAGUGCAUUUUAGUCUUAAAUUUUAUUUCUAAAAAAAUUGAUCUCUUAUUAUUGAGAUUUAGAAUUCAUGAUGGAUCUAGAGCAGAUUUGGAUUUUAAUUUUUCUUUUUGGAUUUGGAGCAGAUAUAGAUCUUUAUUUUUUGUUUCGGAUCUAGAUAUGGAGCAAAAAAUAUAGAUCCAUGACGAAUCUGAAGCAGAUAUGGAUUUUAAUUUUUAUUACGGAUUUAGAUCUGGAACAAUGUAGAUCCAAUCCAUAUCUGCUCCAUUGCCAUCCCUACUGCGAGAUAUAGCAUUCUUCAAUUAAUCACAUCAUACUUGUUGGAUGAGUUUCGAAUAACCCAAAAACGACACGUACAUUACUUCAUUGCAUUGGUAGCAGUUUGGUGCUUUGGGUUUGAAAAUGGACCAAGCUCGUGCAAUUACAAUUCUUUUAUGCCAAUAGGAAAACUAGACCCUAUUUUUAGUUAAAUGUACACAAAAUAGGAAAACUAGGUCCUAUGGUUUAUUUAAAUGUACACAGACAUCUCUCAAUUUUUUAAAAAAAUUGUUAAAUAAUUUUUUUCUUUUACUAUCAUAAUCUUUACCUAUGGCAACCAAAAAAAAAAAUGAUUUUAUCAUAAUCGUCCCAUGCAACACCUCUCUCAUGAUCACGCAUGUAAUGUACCUCAUCAAACCAAGCCACUUCACGCGUAAUCUCCGAACCUUAUAGUUUAUACUGCAUACUACGCCAGAUUUCAGUAGUCAUCACCUGAAAUUAAAACAAAUCAAAGCGCUGCAACACCCAAAAGAUGACACUACCAAGUUGACCUACCAAACAAGAAGCAUUAGGGUCAAUUGUGACAUCCCCAGUCAUCAAACCAACAUCUGAAAACUCUUCUUUAAACUCCCUGUACUUCUGAUUGCUAAGUGCCUUAAUCGGGGAAGUAUAUAUCACACGUUGCUUAUUCCGCAACGACAUAGCAAUAGCAUACAAUGCUACCACAGUUUUCCCAGCAGAUGUAUGGGCCGAUAAUGAAAGGCAAAUCCAUUUUUUUAAAAAAAAAAAAAACUAUUUUUAUUUUCACACAAGAUAACACUUGAUGCAAAAAAUUGGCAGAGCACUUUCUACGAAAGGACUUCCAAAUUCAAAUUAAAUUUUUUACAAAAAAUUAGAGCUUUAUUGUGUGCGCGCGGGCGCGCGUCCGUGUAUAUUUUAAUAAUAAUAAUAAUAAACGAACCAUAACGGACUCGCCGUUGUCGAGGCACUUGAUAGCUUCGGACUGGAAUCAUCUUCUGAAAUUAGUACAUUCCAUGCUUCGGAAUCAUCUUGCAUGAUUGGUCGAGAGUGAAAGGGAAUUCCUUAGCAGGUUUAGCGUCAGCUUCAGGCACUUGACCAAGACGCAUUAAACAGAAAAUGCGGCGUUUUCAUGGACUAGUACAUUCCAUGCUUCGAAAGUUUUAUGUUUUAGACUGAUUGGUUUGAUACAUUAUUUGUUUAUUGCAUUUUUCUUGCUUUAAAUAUUAUGUUGGAUUGAUAAGUUUUGUACACAUUUAUAUUGCUCGCAGUAAAUAAUUUAUUACAUUUAAAAAACUAUCAACCGUCUAUCAAAAGAUUUCUACUAUAAAUAUAUGUACACAACAAACUUUUAAUUUGGUCAAUUUGUUCUCUUAUUUAUUUUUGUUCUAUUUCUCUUUUCCUUUCAUUUCAUUUUAUUGUUUUAUGGUACAAAAAAAAAUAACCUUAAAAUUUAAGGGUAAAAUACUCAUUUUACUAAAUUCCGUUUAAUAUCAUAAUGCUGUCAAUGGACAAUGGCAAAGUACACGAGUGAUACAAAUUAAAAACAAAUAAAUUGAAAGUUUUUAUGUAUUUUCCUUUUAUUUUUUUAUAGCCGAUUGAGAUUUCCCUUCGUAUUCUUAAAUUCAAUACGUUUAGACCAUUUAAAAAAUUUUAAAUUAAAAAAAACCCGUGGUGUAAUAACAAACUCACAUCAAACCCUGUCCACUGUCAUCCCUAAUAAUAUUUACCACUUCAUACUCAAGAGUGAUAAUAACUGUGUAUCACAAUUGAUUUUGCAUACGGGUAAAAGUUCCAAGUCUGGAUAUUUAGUUAACGAAAUUGAUGAAAAGGGCACGAAAGAAAAUAAGAAAUUAAAUAAUACAGGUGGUAUUAAUCAUUACAUAUUUAGUUAAUGAAAAUUGAUGAAAAUAUUUCUGCAGACAUGAGCCGUAAUUAUAAUACCGUUAAGAAUGAAGCGGCAGAGUUUCCCCAAACAAGCUAAAACACGGCACCUGAAUUUAAAGAAUUUUUAUGUCACAGUAUCGGGACAAAAAGUUUAAUGCAAUAACAUACAUUAAGUUAAUUCCAUAAUCUAUCACCAAAGAAAGACAAACACAAGCUUAUAAGAUUAGAACUUUGGAAAACAUUGAAGAGUCGGACAAAAUUGUGUAACCUUCAGAGUUUAGAGCCUAGUUCAUCCAGGAAAGCAAAAGAAAAUAAUAAUAAUAAUGGUGGUUUGAUCUCAAAAGGUGGCAUCAAAGUGGUAACUUUGAGGUAUUGGAAGCAAUAACGUCUUCAACUUUGUCCUGAUUUCGAAGUCCCUUAACCCAUCCGCCAUCAAUGGAUUGAAUGCUUCCAUUCAACCCAUCAUCCACAAAAUCACCAACCCGUUUCACCUUCAUCUCCUACGCUUAACAGGGUACUUCCCAGAGAAGCUAGCAUAACAAAAAUUCUGAGAAUCAUUGCCUAACAACUUGUUCAAGAUGUCAAUCGGCAGAGAAGCAAGCAAAUCACACCCAAUAAACUCCCUGAUUUCCUCGACGCUCAUCCUGUUGGAAAUCAACUCCUCAGUACUCGGAGUGUCCACUCCAUAGUAACAAGAAGCUAUGAUUGGUGGGCUUGCAAUUCUCAUGUGAACCUCUUUAGCUCCAGCCUCCUCAAGCAACCUAACAAUUUUGGAUGAAGUUGUUCCUCUCACUAUCGAAUCAUCGACAACCACAACUCUCUUUCCCUCCAACACUCCCCUUACAGGAGAGAGCUUAAGCUUGACACCAAAGUCCCUAAUCUUCUGGGAAGGCUCAAUGAAAGUUCUCCCAACAUAGUGUGACCUUAUCAACCCUUGUUGAAAUGGCACCUCGGCUUUGGCAGCGUACCCAAGUGCAGCCACCACUCUAGAAUCUGGUACUGCAAUCACGACAUCACACUCAACAGGAGCCUCGGUAGCAAGUACUUCCCCAAAAUGAUUCCUCGACUCAUAAACAGACCUUCCAAAAACAACAGAAUUAGGCAAAGCAAAAUAAAUAUGCUCAAAGAUGCACUGCUUAGGUUCAGGGUGAGGGAUGAAACAAAGUGAUUGAACCCCAUCUUUAUCCACCAUCAAAACUUCUCGGGGAUGUACCUCUCUCUCGUAUGUGGCCUCAAUCAAAUAGUGCACAAGUCUCUGACGCAAAAACCACAGCACCAUUACUCCUCCUACCCAUCACCAACGGCCUAAACCCGUACGGGUCACGAACCGCAACAAGCUUAUCCUCAGUAACAAACACCACUGAAUAAGCACCCUCAAGCUUCUCACAAGCAUCCACAAUCCUCAAAAAGAACGGCCUAGCUUUCGAUAUCGCAAUCAAAUGGAGAACAACCUCAGUAUCAGAACUAGUAUUAAAAAUGGAACCAUUAUCUUCAAGCUUAGCCCUCAAAGUAUUAUAGUUAAAUAAAUUCCCAUUAUGUGCAACACCUAGAGAACCAAACCUGUACCCAGCAACAAAAGGCUGCACAUUCUUAAGCAUGCAGUCGAAUAUCUAACAUGACCAAUGGCCAUAUCGCCAGGCAAUUGAUCAAGUUUAGACUGAUUAAACACAUCAGAGACUAAACCAGCACCGGUAAUAGACUGAAGAACUUUAUUAUUCACAGCAACUAUAACUACACCUUCUUGGCCGCGAUGCUGCAGAGCGUGCAGCGCCAAAUAGCACAAACGCGAGGCCUCUGGGUCACCGUAUGAAACGACCCGCCCCGAAUCCCCCGGGCGAGUCAAUCUAGUCUCAUCAAAACGGAUUUGAUAAUAAUCUAAUUAGUAAGGAUUCUGCCGAAAAUUAGGCAAAGUCUCCUUUAUAUAUAUAACACUCCCAAUCUACAAAUAUGAAUAUAACACUCCUAAUAUAAUUCAAUAUACAACAAACUCCAGUGACCAACAUCCUCAACCAAAAUGCUGAGUUUUAUAUCUCUAGAGUCUCAAAAGAUAAUAUUAUAACUAAUAUUAAUAUUUUAGUUUAUUCUUAAUCCCAAAAGAAUAAUACAACAAAAAUUAUACAAUCCCAACAGGACAAGAUAAUCAAAAGAUGUCCUAACAAAAACAUUUAUAUCUUCUAACAUCAUCACGUGGCCAAGACUCAAAAUAUAUUUACAGUCGCUGGGUCGGUCUAGUGUACCUGCUACCUCCUGGUGAGGGGGAAAAAAUAUAAUAAAAACGGGGUGAGUUUAAAACUCAGUGAGAUCAGUGAGUGGAUAGUAGUUUUUGAAAAUUAAUACUUACUUUAAAAGAAAUAUUCAUAUAAUUUCCAAACACGAUUUCAUCAAAUCAUAUGCAAGAAACCAAUAGUAAAUCAUUUACAUUUAAAUCAGAUUACUAACCAUGAAAAGCAUAUAUAAUAUUGUACCAAAUAACCAUAGAAAUUAUAUUACAAUAUCAUAUAUAAUACACAAAUUUGAAAAUCAUCACCAAACAAGUACCUAGAGAAAUAAUCUCAUCAUAUCCGGACCUCAACGGACGGGCAAUGACGUUCUAUCUGGGUACCGUCAUGCCCCAGAGUUACACGGAUAGACAGGGAAAUAUCAUCUCAUAUCUCAUCAUAUCUUAUCAUAUAUGUGCGUGCAUAAUCUAGUCCCCAAAGGACAAAAGCGCCCAAGCACACGGCUCAAAGCCUCUGUGUGUACUCAGACGGGCCCCAAAGGCUUGUAUCUCAUCUGUAUCAUCUGUAUCUCAAUAUCUGUCUGUAUCUCAUAUCUGUGUAUCUGUAAUCAUCAUACCGCAUGCAUAUGCCCUCAAAAGGCAAAAACGCCCAAACACACGGGCCAAAGCCUCUAUGUGUGUUCAAACGGGCCCCAAAGGUCUCUCAUCUCAUCUCAUCUGUAUGGGUACUAUCUAGUGAUUUCAAAAACAAUCAUUAUACUCAUAUUCACAUACUUUUUUAACCAUAUUUUAAAUCAUACCACAUUUGAAUCCACUUUUCUUAUCUUUAAAAUAUUAUCAUGCUUAUUCAAAGUCGAUACAAAAAAUCAUUAACCAAACAUUUUAAUAAAAUACCAAUACGUGGACAAAAUCCAUUUCGAGGUAAUCAUUAAAUCAGAUCAUUUAAAAUACUUAUUUUGCAAACAUGCUUUACUAUCAUAAUUAACUAUGAAAAUAAGUUUUGUAUAUUCUACUCAUAGUGACGGUGUUCACGCUUGGUUAUCGUCUACGUCCGCAAACCGAUUCUUGCUCGUGGAUCCUCCUAAAUCAAGGAAAUAACAUAAAUAUUUUCCGUAAAACGGAAUUAGGACUAAAUUUAUGCAAUAAACUCGAAACGAAAAUCUAUCCAUAAUUUACAACUCCCGUGUCGAUAAAACUGCUAAAAUGUCCUCGAGUCCAUAAAUCAUUAAAAUACUUCGAAAUCGGAAAUCACUGAAUUACCCUCGGAAUCGUAAUUACACCAAUCCUCACUUCUAGGAAUUACUAAAAUAUCAAUAGGCUCAGAAAUUACAAAAUUGCCCUCAUAGUGUGAAAUUACCGAAAUGCCCUUGUCGAUCAACAGUCACUGGAAUUUGGUCAACGUUGGCCGGGAAGCACAAGUCUGAAAGUUCCAAUCAUGCUGAGUUCAAUGGUACCGGCGGUGAGCUCCAACGCGCGGCAACGACGUUGGAAUCUAGCUCGGCAACCGUGAAUUCCAACAAUUGACCGGCGGCGAAACAGUGACUCCCGGUGCCUAUGGAUGGUCGAAAAUGGAAGAAGGAGUCAUGAGGAACAAAAUCCAACCAGUGGUGUCACCCAAAACCGGUGAAAAUCCCGGUGGAACAAAAUGAAACAGUCGCGGGUUUUCAAGCUUCGAUCACCGGCGUUCCGGUUGGUUUUCGGCGGCGAUGGCAGGGGAACGACGGCUGGCUUCUAAGCUUCAGAUUGGUACCAAGCUCGGCCGAAACAGUGGCCGAAAAUGAAAGUUAUGGCCGGGUCAAUUUCGCAGGUCGUGUCGGGUUUUCCGGGUCAGUUGAUAGCUUCUGUUACUCUCAUACGUGUGUGUAUAAGUUCCAUGUUUCUAACUUAUUCUAUUAUUUUUAAUAAAGUCUUUAACCGCCUCAAUUUCAUUUUUAAUUCACAUAUGUUACAAUCCUCCCCCCUUAUAAAAAUUUCGUCCUCGAAAUUUACGUACCUGAUAAGAAAAGAUAGGGAUACUGAGCUCGCAUUAAGUCCUCGCGUUCCCAGGUAGCCUCUUCCUUUGUAUGAUUCUUCCACCAUACUUUUACUAAAGGAAUGGUCUUAGAAUGCAGAACUUGGUGUUUCUCUUCCAAUAUCUCAACUGGUUCCUUUUCGUAAGUCAAAUCUUCCUUCAACUGAAUUGGUUGCUACGAUAACACAUGACUCGGGUCAUAUAUGUACUUCUGGAGCAUUGAGACAUGAAAUACAUCAUGGAUUCUGGAUAACUCGGGUGGUAGAGUUAAUGGACCAAUGCGCUCAAUGAUCUCAUAUGGCCCAAUGUAAUGUGGACUUAGCUUCCCACGUUUCCCAAAUCGAAGCACCCUUUUCCAAGGAAAUAUCGGUAUGAAAACUCUAUCACCAACUUCGAAUUCAAGUUCCCGCCUACGCUUGUCUGUACAGCUCUUUUGUCUAUCUUGAGCCACCUUUAAUCUAUCCCGGAUCAAUUGUAUCUUCUCGUUAGUAUCUUGGACAAGUUCUGAACCGAAUAACCUCCGCUCACCAACCUCAUCCCAACAUAUUGGAGUCCUGCAUUUUCUACCAUACAAAGCCUCAUAUGGUGCCAUCUCAAUACUAGCUUGAUAGCUGUUGUUGUAAACAAACUCCAUCAGAGGUAAAUGAUUGUCCGAUUUACCUUUCAACUCCAUAACACAAGCUCGCAACAUAUCCUCUAGAGUUUGAAUAGUACGCUCUGAUUGUCCAUCAGUCUGUGGAUGAAAAGUUAUACUGAAGUUCAACUUUGUGCCUAAGGGAUUUUGCAAGCUAGUCCAGAACUUAGAAGUAAACUGGGAAUCUCUAUCUGAAACUAUAGACACGAGUACUCCGUGAAGUCGAACUAUCUCAGCCACAUAAAUACUCCCUAACUUGUCCAUCGAAUAGGUGGUUGAAUGGUAAGAAAUGAGCAGAUUUUGUAAGUCGAUCAACAACUGUUAGAGUGCAAUUUAUGCACUAGUUUUGCAUUGUUUACUUCCCUUAAUAUCGAUGUUUUGCACUUAAUAAUAAUGUUUUACUUGUGUUUUACUUUUGUAGGUGCAAUUCUAUUGAUUGGUGAUAAAAUUGAGCUAAAAGAUGAUGUUUAAGGAGGAUUUUUCUCUUGGAGAAAUUAUGAGCGUCAGAAGAACUUUGUUGAUAAGGCGUGGGCGCGUGCUGUCAACUGCGGACCUGCAGUUUUUAGUUUAACGUGUUUUGUAUUUUUGGUUAUUUUUGUAAUUACGAAUUUAAUAUUUCAGAUAUUAGUAUUUUAUUUUAAAUAGAAUUCUAAAAGAGAAGAGAGAGAGAGUAUUUAAGGGAGGAAUCUAUUGUGAAAAAGGGGGGAUUUUUGGAUUGGAGAAAAAGAAAGAAACCCUAGAUUUAAUUUUUCUCUCCUCUCUAUGAAGAACUAAACCUAUUUUUCUGGUUGAAGGAUAACGAAGCUUUGAUUCAUCACUACUGUGAGAUCUUUCUUGUGCUUUAAUUGUUUUAUUGCUUUUUGGGUAUUUGUUUAUUCUCUGAAUUAGUUUCAUGAUUAUGUUUGUUAAUUAGGUAAUUGGCCACUAUUUAAUUAUCAACUUAAUCUAUUGUCAAUUAAAGGAUUCAUCGUAUGAAGAAUUUAAUGCUUGUGACAAAUAACAUAGCAGAGAGUUGUGUUGUGAGAAUAAACAAUCUAAUUUAAAUAAAUCAUCAUAUGUGUUGAUUAGGAUUUGGGUCUCUCUGGUUUUUCAGGCUGUCAAUUGAUUAAAUUCUAUGAUCGUAUCUAGGGUUGUCUAUUGAUUAGGGAAAUAACCAACGGUCGUACCUUGGUUAUCGACUAGUUAAGGAGAGAUUGGCUAUUAGAGGGUCUCAGUAGCUAUAACCGGUCUAUUCAUGAGUAAUAAUAAUCUAUAUUUGAAUCAAUGAUCAGUAGUCGAAUCAAGCUGAGUUAAUUCCUUCAACCAGAGCUUUCUCUAAUUUGAAUUACAACUUUAAUUUGCAUUCUUGUUAUUUUAAUUUGAUUUUUAUUAUUGUCAACAAUUCCCCCAUUUUACGUUUUACGUUUCAAAAGGAUUUAAUUAAUUACCGAUCUCUGUGGACACGACCCUGCUCAAUCACUAUACACAAUUUAUUUAGAGUAGGAAUUUAUUUUUGUUGGCUUCGACACCCAUCAACAACCACCCAAACACUAUCAUGUCCUUUCUGAGUACGUGGAAGUCCUGCUACAAAAUCCAUGGUGAUGUGCUCCCACUUCCACUCAGGAAUAGGAAGCGGGUGAGAACACCCUGCAGGCCUCUGGUGUUCAGCCUUAAUCUGCUGACAGACUAAAUAUCGAGAAACAAAUUCUGCUAUCUCUCUCUUCAUACCCUGCCUCCAGUAAUGAUCCAUUAGGGUGCGAUACAUCUUCGUACUACCAGGAUGCAUCGCAUAUGCUGAACAAUGAGCUUAUUCCAUAAUCUCUUCUUUCGGAUCUUUAAUAUCAUGUACACAGAGUCUAUUACCCAUGACUAAGACUCCAUUGCCUCUCACCGUAAAAUCGGUUCGUAAACAUUUUUGCACAUCCUCUUUCAACUGCAUUAACUGUGGGUCCUGAGCUUGCAUCUGGUGAACUUUGUGAAUCAAAGUCGGCCUAACUCGAAAAUUAGCUAUCAAAGCUCCACAAUCGUCACCGUUCAACUCGACUCCCAAAGAUCUCAACUCGAUCAACAGAGGCAUCUAUUUCACUCGCAAGUGAGCUAUAGAGUUGGAAGACUUCCUACUGAGUGCAUCAACUAGAAAAAACAUACCUCUUUGAGAUACUGCAAAUUGGCUUUAAGUUCAAUACUGUUGAUGGUCAAGUUGGGACAGUAAUGAAGUUGUAACUCUUCCAAUGCUGUCCAAAUUGAACAAUAAUUUUCUUAACAGAAGCUGACGAGUUCUGGGAGACUUCGAAGUGUUAAUUCUCUUAACAAAGGGAGGGCGAGCAUCGUAUUUCCAUCUCUGACACUUAUUUCCCCUUCAUUGUGAUCAAACUUUGCUUCGACAAUACAUUCCAGCCUGUCGCAAUAAGUCACACUGAGACUUUUAAGCUGCUCCAAACUUCGAGCUUGUGACAACGUGAAGAUAUAUGUCAAAUUAUGGCAGCCAUACACACUCAAUUCUGUAAGAGUUUGGAGGCUGAUCACAUGUUGGGCAGGCGCCUUCCACAUCCACUUUGCUAAUCUUGAGAGCACCUCAUGAUUCCCACUCUUUCAAUGCGGCGACUGAGAGGCGUCCGCAUUGCAUUCUAAAUCUUCACAAUAGUUGACAAAUAGAUGAGUCAACUCAUUUAAGCCCCCUUCAUCUAUGCUUGGAACAAUAUUAUGGAGACCUAUUAUCCUUUUCAAAUUAAGAAAUUUCAGAUUUUGACACAAUGUCGAAAAAAUACUGAGCGAGGCCGCUUCACAAUAGUUAAUCAUUAAGCACCUGCUCCGUCCAAAAAAUUCAUCUUCUUUUUUCGUUCCAACUUCAAGUUUGUUACAGUUACUGACGAAGUACAUUUGCAAUUUUGGAAAUGUAAAGUCUUUUGAAAGACGUACAAUUUUUUGUUCAAUAUGUAAAGUCUUUCCAUCAUCAUCUUGGAUUUCAUCAUCGUCGGGUUGGGAGUUCAACUCAGCAGCCCUAGCGUAACUUUCUUCUGAACUCAUCCCUUCAGCCUCCCAAUCUUUUAUCCAACCAUAAAAUUCUUCUAAUUGAGGAAAUUUUUUUAUCGUAAUAGGAGAAAUAGAACCAGAAUCAAUGAAUAGAAGAAGUUUCAAUCUACUAAGUUGAUCCUCAAAUUCUUCAGGAACUUCAAUGGGAGACCCAUUGACACAAACAAUUUGAAGUCUCUUCAACUUUCCAAGGAAAGACGCGUCACUCACUUUACAUCGAAUCAACUGCAGAACUUGGAGGUUGGUGAGGAAUUAAAGCGAUUUAAGUGAAAGAACUCCACCUAUUAUAGUAAUAACUUUUAAUGCUGGCAUCUUUUCGAAAAAAUAUUCUGGAACUUGCAAUCGGUCGCCAUAUUUAGCAUUCUCCAAUCGCAAAAUAUGAAGGUUAGGGCAUACCAAACCACUUGGAAGCUCUUUUUUUUCAUUUCCCAUCAAAAAGAUUCCUUUGUAUUUUUCCACUGCCUGUUCCGCCAAUCCAAUGCCAACUUUACUAGUAAAAUAUUUUUUCUCCAUUGAGCCUAUCCAUAAGGCUACAUCACGAACAAUGUCAUGCGUUUUCACAAAUCUGUCAUUACCAGCAUCUAAUAGCAGUGAAGAAGCUUUGAGCUCUUUAAUCGUUCCACUCAAUAGGCUCCUGACUUUUUCAAUUGACUCAGCUCGAUACCAUCUCAACCCCACUGCAUAUCCAACCAAAUCAUCCAAAUCUAUCUCAUAAUCCUCUGGAAACAAAGAACACAACAAGAAGCACGACCUGGAAUCCUCAUCAUUCAAAUAAUCGCAACUAAAUUUGAGACAACGGUAAACGUCUUGGUCCUCAUUGCCGAUACAUUCUAUUGUAUUGAGUUUUGCAUCUUGUAGUUUAUCUAGAGCGAGAUUCCACUCAUCAAAUCCUUUACCUUUUAGUGCACUUCCAACAGCUUUAAUUGCUAAAGGCAGCCCCUUACAUUCAUCAGCAACUCGUUCCGAAACACCAAUCAAGGUUGAAUUAGAAACAACAAUGCCAGCAUGCUCUCUUAGUAAAGCCAAUCCUUCUUCUUGCUUUAGAACACCUAGUUGAAUCUGCGGGUCACAACGCAUGCGAUCACAAACUGGCUGCAGGCGAGUGGUUAGAAGGAUUUUGUAACAAUUGUCUCCAUCACCAACAGGAAUACCUAUUGUCUUCAAGUCGAGUUCAUUCCAGACAUCGUCAAGUAUUAUGAGUAUCUUGCUGCUUUUACUCUCAGAAAACAUCAAGCGCAAUCGGUCUGCUCUCUCUUUUUCAUGUUUCUCAUUUAGUGCCCAGCCUAACGACUUUGCCAGCUCACCUUGAACCUUUAUUAUAUCUGGAUCCUGAGACACAGUGGCUAUCCCCACCUCAUCAAAAAUCUUUUCUUGUCGAAGUUGAUUGCCCACAAAGUUUGCCAAAGUUGUCUUUCCGACACCACUGAUACCAUACAAUCCCACUAUCGUCGUGCUAUCUCUUUUUAGUGCUUCAAUAAUCUGAUUCCAAGUCGAUUAUGUAGUCCCGAAAGACAUAAAAUGUCUUGGCAUAUGCAAUUCUCUAUCUGAUGGUAGAGGUUUAGGAAGGGCAACUGAGCUGAAUUUGCCGCAUUUCUUUUGUAGAUCAGACAACUCGCUAGUCUUCUUUGAUGCUUUUCUACCUAGCCAACAUCGCCAACCCCAAUUAGGACACCAUCCAUUAAGACAGCUCUUCUUUUCAUCUAUCUUUGCUUUCAAAUUUCGAACAUCGGCCAUUUCUUUGUCUACAUCCUUCAGCCACUUCUCUACAUCUUUCUCGAUUACAAUGGCUCGGUGUAUUUGUCGUUCUUGUUCUAUUUUUUCAUUGAUGCCGCCUUUUGCCUCCUUCAAAUUAGUUUCUUUAUCCUUAAGUUCGUUAAUAAUGCUGUUGAAACAGAGCAGAUAACGAGCUUGGUUUAUGGUUGCUUCCACCAACAAUUCUCCAAGCUUUGAUGCAACACUUGAGCUAAUUUCCAUGCUAUUUAUCUGCAAUUAAUAAAGUUGAUCUCAGUAUGCUGUAAGCAAAACAACGAGGCUUGAUCACAAGAUCGAACGAGAAAGUUUAAUUACCUUUUUCUAUUAUGUGAAUGCACGUUUAUUGACCCUAGCUUUGACCAAUAAGAACAAAAUGCAAACGCCGAGCUUUAAGUGGCCUUUAGCUGCGCAAAACAAAAGAGAAGAAACAAGGUAGCUUAUUAUUAUUAUUAUUGUUUUUAAGGACGGAUAAAGAUUAGCUAGCUUGCGGACAAAUUUACUAAAAUCAAGAUAAACCUAAGAGUUUUCCUAAUUUGUUCAAACAUAGAAUAAGCGUUUCUCAACAUUAUAUCCAUAAAUGCCCCAGCAAACGUAAUAUGUGGUGGAUUAUAUUUAAAUUAGUUUAUUUUAGAAAAUUUUAAAUAAAAAAUGUCAAACAACAAAGAAAUCUAAUAGAAUCUGGAUAAACACCGAAGAGUUCCUACAUGGGAGAAUAUGGUAAAAUUGAUGAACUUGGUUCAAAAAAUUGCAAUUCUUAUUGAGAUUAGAACCAAAGAUUUUAACUAAGGUCUCCUAAGCCAUAAAGCAUAACUCUUACUACUAAAUUACAAGUAUUUUGUUACAUUUGAAUGUGGUCUUAUUUUUUUAUUGUCUGUUUUAGAAGGGACUCAAGGUAUAUUUAAAAGAAAUAAUAAUGGUUCGGAUGGGGCUGAAGCCCACUCAUGAAAAAUUUAAAGGCUUCAACAUAAUUACCAAUUGUUUCUUCAUCCAAUUUUCUAAUAGAAUAUUGCCAGAAUUCUGAAAUAAUAUCUUAAUAUUUUUCUUCAAGUGUUUACGGCACCCUCGUAUUGGAUUGUCAAUUUAAUAACUUGUUAAAUUAUUUAAUACUUCAUCUCACGAUCUAAUGGAUAUAAAUGCUGGAGAAGGAUCAGUUCCCAGACUUUUUUUCUCUCACUAGUCUUUUGGUGAAAUAAGUGACUAAGAUUACAUUUUAUUUUUUUAUAUUGACAAUUAAAUUGGCUUGUUUCACAUUAUUAACAAUUAAGCUAGCUUUCUUUUUUUCCCCCAACUGGAUUUGGAAGGUUAUGAGGGAGUAGGUGAGAAAACACGAGAAGAACGAGAUCCUAAUUCAUAAAUAGUACCUUACUUGGGAUGCUAAAGAAUUUAAAGAUUGGGGUGAAUUCCAUUUUAGUCUCUAAAAUUUUGACCUGCUAGUAACCAUACUUUUAGUAUUUUUAAAAAGAAUGGGAUUAUUUACAUUGUAAAAUCUAUUUUGAACACUCUUUUACUUAACACAGUCAUUCAAUAAAUUUUAAAAAAUAAUUUUUACUAGGGUUGGCAAUAAACUCUAGAUCUGGCCCAGAUCCGAAAUUCGGAUCCGAAAAAAUCAGGGUUGGCAUGUUAAAAAAUGCAGAUCCAGAUCUUAAAAAUCAAGAUUCGUACGGAUCUGGAUCCACAUGCAAGUGCAUCCGAAAAAUCGGAUACCUGGAUCCGCAUUAUUUUAUAAUUAAAUUAUUUAUUUAAUUAAAUUUCAAUUGAAAAAUAUAUAAAUUAAAUUAUUUAUUUAAAUGUAUAAGCAUUAUUAACUCUAAAAUCUUCAUUAACUAUGAAAAAUAUGUUAAAAUAAUAAUAAUAAUAAUUAGAGAAUAUUGUAAUAAAUCGGUUUACCUUAGAUUUUUUUUAUGUUUGAUUUAUAUUAUGAAAUUAUUGUUUGUGAAUUUAUGGUGUUGAAUUGAUGUUAAAUUGUCGAUUGUUAAGUUAUAAUUGAAUUUUAUUUAAUAUUAUUAUAUAAAUUAUUAAAUUUCAAAUUAAAAUUAAAUUUAUUAUUAUGCAGAUCCGAAUAUUCGGAAUAUCCACCCACAAUCCGUGCGGAUAUUACCCGCAUCCAGAUCCGCAUAUUUUUUUUACGGAUCUGAAUACAGAUCGGGAUGCCAAAAGCUUAAUCUAGAGCCGAAUUCGGAUGCACCUACAUCCGGAUCCGGAUCUGGAUUUUGCCAUCCCUAUUUUGUUACUUUACACACUAUUUCAAAUGUCAAAACUGUCCUUCAUUAGGACCAUUCAUUAACUAAUUAUUUUCUAUAAAAUAUUCAUCAUUCUUGAGCCAUGUGGCGUUAAUUAAUGAUUCCUAAGCAUUAUCAAGGUUCAAGAUUUAUGUUGAAACUCUUUCAGUUGAGAUUUGAGCCUAGGCACUAGCUAUAUACAUACAUACUCUUUCAAAAGCAGUUCUGGGAAUAUUUUGUGACUAAUUUUAUAAAAGUGUUUUAGUUACAUUAACGCAGUGAAACAAUAAAGAGUACGUGGCUUGAUGAUUUCCAAAUCAUGUUGGGGAAAAAACAAAGGAUUUUCUUUUAUAAUGGAUUAGAUUAGACGAUGAAAGGAAAAUUAUUUACGAUUAUUACUUGUUUGUGUGUUUAGAGUAAUAAUAUUUUCUUAAAUUAUACUAAUGUCCCUAGUAGUAAAUUUGAUUAAGGUUAUUUUCGUAAUAUAAAUUUUUAUUAAAAUUAAAGUGUCUAAAAUAGAAUUUAGAGUGAAAAUAGCUCUUAGACGUCCAUAUCAUUACCUUUAUAACUAUUGAAGAUAUGAUUUUUCAAAUGUAAAAUAACAUUUCUAUAUGAUAUAAAUUGAAAUUCAAUCAAAUUUAUCAUGCAACAAAUGAAAAGUAAAGAAAAUUAAAUAGGUUUUAAUAGAAAUAAAAGAAGCUUCUAUGUUGAAUUUAAAAGUAUUAUAUUAGUAGUAAUCAUAUACGUAUCGAACUUUUUAAUAAAAUUUAUUUAGAAAUUGGCCAAUUGGGUUUUAUGAAGAAAAUAGAGGGGCACGAAUGGCGCCACUUUUAAUUAUUGUUGCUGUACAACUGAAAAUUGAAAUGUUGUAUUUAAAAAGUACUUGUUUGAUGUGUAAAAUGCACCAACUUGAAAUGGCACGAGAGCAUAAUGGAAUUUUGUUGGGAAAUUUACAAAAAUAACCAUAAAACUUUUACUAUUUUCACAAUUAACCCUCCAAACUUUUUUCUAUCAACAUUAACCAAACACACAAUUUUCUCCCCAAAUUACCCUUGUGUUUGCUAACCAACCUGUCGCACAUAGUUUGGUGCGAUAGACACCUGUCGCACCAAGCUAAGUGUGCCUAUCGCACCAAACUAUGUACGACAGGCACCUGUCGCACCAAGCUAUAAAUACCCAAAAAGUAAGGCUUUUUGACCAAAGCCCCGUUGUCACGGCAAGGUCAAUGGAACAAAAGCGGGGAUGAUGGUUGUCGAAGCCAGCAAAAAUAAAUACAUACUCUAAAUAAAUUGUAUAUAGUGAUUGAGCAGGAUCGUGUCCACAGAGAUCGGUAAUUAUUUAAAUCCUUUUUGAAAUAUAAAAUGCAAAAUGGGGGAUUUGUUGACAAUAAUAAAAAUCAAAUUAAAAUAACAAGAAUGCAAAUUAAAAUUGUAAUUCAAAUUGGAAAAAACUCUGGUUGAAGGAAUUAACUCAGCUUGAUUUGACUACUGAUCAUUGAUUCAAAUAUAAAUUAUUACUACUUAUGAAUAGACCGGUUAUAGCUACUGAGACCCUCUAAUAGCCAAUCUCUCCUUAACUAGUCGAUAACCAAGGUACGACCGUUGGUUAUUUCCCUAAUCAAUAGACAACCAUAGAUACGAUCAUAGGAUUUAAUCAAUUGACAGCUUGAAAAACUAGAGAGACCCAAAUCCUAAUCAACAAACGCAUACGAUGGUUCAUUUAAAUUAGAUUGUUUAUUCUCAUAACACAACUCACUGCUAUGUUAUUUGUCACAAACAUUAAAAUAUUCAUACGAUGAAUCCUUUAAUUGACAAUAGAUUAAGUUGAUAAUUAAAUAGUGGCCAAUUAUCUAAUUAACAAACAUAAUCAUGAUAAUAAUUCAGAGAAUAAACAAAUACCCAAAAAGUAAUAAAACAAUUAAAGCAUAAGAAAUAUCUCAAAGUGGUGAUGAAUCAAAGUUUCAUUAACCUUCAACUAGAAUAAUAGGUUUAGCUCUUCAUAGAGAGAAGAGAAAAGUUUGAAAUACUAACUAGGCAACCCAAGAGGGGGGUGAAUUGGGAUUUUAAAAAGGGAAAAUAUCCACCGUCCACCUAUUUUUUACACCUUUUUCAAAAAUACACAAUUCCUUCAUUUUUUGGCUGGAAUCCACCCAAAGUUAUAUUUUUUUUCACUUUUCCACUUCCGUUUGGAAUCCGUUAAGAAAACUAACGGAAAUUUUAAAAAAUGACCAUUUUACCCCCAAAACGAAAAUUAUAAUUUCACCUUAAAAAUUACAAAAAAUAAUUAGAUUAAAUCUAAUUAUUUUCCCCAUCGGUCAAUAAAUAAAUUAAUUCCAUAACCAUCAAAUGCAUGUUUUUUUUUUAAAUAUAUCUGUAAUUAGAAUGCUAAAUUAUAACAGUAGUAUUAAAAAUAGCCCAAUUUCACAAAUCAUCAAUUGAAUUUAAGAUAAGUAGAGUUUUAUUAUUAAUUGAGUUAUAAUCUCUAGUAGUUAAGAUUUUUUUGUACUUCAUUAAAGUACCAAUAAUGAUAUUCAUCAUUAAAUCUUAUUAUUUUUGGUAUUUUUUAAGGUGAAAUUGUAAUUUUCGUUUUGGGGGUAAAAUGAUCAUUUUAUUAAGUUUCCGUUAGUUUUCUUAACGGAUUCCAAACGGAAGUGGAAAAGUGAAAAAAAAUGUAACUUUAGGUGGAUUCCAGCUAAAAAAUGAAGGAAUUGUGUAUUUUUUAAAAAGGUGUAAAAAAUAGGUGGACGGUAGAUAUUUUCCCUUUUAAAAAUUAAGCUAAGCAAACCACACAACAAUCCAAUCUAAUGCCUUAAUAAAUUCGAAAACAAUAAAUUCAAUGAAAGCACAAUAAUAAAUGAGCAAGGGAAGAGAAAGCAAACUCAAGGAUUUUUACGUGGUUCGGCAAUCCCCGCCUAUGUCCACGCCUCCAAGCACAUCGGGCUUGAGGAUUUCACUAUCCGAGCCUUUCCAAGGCUUCAAACGUUUACAAUUGACUUCAAGGUGUCAAUGAACCUUUACAACAAGAGAUUAUCUCUCCAAUCUCUUCACCCCAAGUGUUUCUCACACUUGUACACCGACAAUUUGAUGAGAAAUGAAAAUUACAACAAUGAAACUCUCUUUAAGAGUGGAUAUACAAAUUGAUAGCUCAAUAAAGAUUUAAUCUAUGAUGAUUUUUGAAUUUGAAGCUCAAUAUAAGUUGUGUGCAUUUGUUUAUGCUUGCUUAGAUUACCAAAAAUGAAUUGGUUUUCAGUUUAUAUAGUUUGAGUUAAAAAACUAGCCGUUAUGCACAUUUUGGUCGUAACCGGCUUACCGUUUAUGGAAUCCGGUUAGCCGCUUUUAUGUUACCGUUAAGGCAAAAAUUUGAAUUUCAGAAUAGCUGGCAUGCCGCUUUUCAUAUCCGGUUAGCCGCUUUUGAAAUAUGGAUUGCCGCUUACGAAAUUCGGAUAGUCGUUUAUGCUCCAAAAGUUUACUGCCCAAAAUCCAGAUUGUCGUUUACCAUAUCCGGUUAGCCGCUUGCUACAGUAACUGCUACAAUGAAAUAUUUUCCAAAUUUAUAAUUUGACCCCAAAACGUUAUGAAAUCUUUCAAAUAGGUCCAAUUUUAGAAUUUCAAAAUAAUGCUUUGUCAAUCCCAAAACUUUAUGAAAUUAUGAUAUGGCCCAAAAUGAUAUGAAAAUUUUCAAAUAAAUCUUUUUCCAAAAUUUCAAGCAAUAUUUGUUGAUUUCAAAGUUUUCAAAAUUCUUCCAAUUAAACCAUAAACUUGAAAAACAACCAAUUUCAUAAAAUCAUUUUUCCAUUAAAUAUGAAACCUUUAUAAUGUGAAAAUAAUGAUUUAUUUAAAAAGAAAAUAAUUUGAGCAUAAAAGAAUAAUCAUUCUUAAUCUUGUUUGUUAUCAUCAAAAUCAACAUUUGGAAACAUAUAUGUUAACAAAGUUUAGAUCUAGGGUUUCUUUCUUUUCAAAAAUCUCCUUUUUUCACAAUAGAUUCCUCCCUUAAAUACUCUCUCUCUCUCUUCUCCUUGAGAGUUCUAUUUAAAAUAAAAUAUUAAUAUCUGAAAUAUUAAAUUCGUAAUUACAAAAAUACAAAACACGUUAAAUUAAAAACUGCAGGUCCGUAGUUGACAGCACGCGCCCAUGCCUUAUCAACAAAGUUCUUCUGACACUCAUAAUUUCUCCAAAAGAACAAUCAUCCUUAAACAUCAUCUUGUAGCUCAAUUUUAUCACCAAUCAAUAGAAUUGCACCUACAAAAGUAAAACACAAGUAAAUCAUUAUUAUUAAGUGCAAAACAUCGAUAUUAAGGGAAGUAAACAAUGCAAAACUAGUGCAUAAAUUGCACUCUAACAGGGGAUCCUUGCACUGGAGCUACCAUCGAUGAUUCCAUUGUCUUUGAUAACCCCGAUUACAAUCCCUUCAUCAAAUGUGACUGCUCUUCCCAAAAUGGCACCGUGUGCCACAUUACCCAGUUGUAAGUUUUUUUAUUUUAUUUUAUGGGGACACACUUGCAAGAAUUAUUUGAUCAUAUCUGUAUAUCUUUCUUUUCAUGCUUGCUUGUUAUUAUUUUUUCUUUCUUUUUGAAACUUUUGUUUACAGGAAAGUUUAUGCGCUAAAUGUGGUUGGUGUGGUACCAGAUGAACUAUGGAAUCUGACUUCCCUCUUUAAUCUGUAUGUUUUCAUUUUUUUUCCCUUAAGUGCAGACAUAUUUUAAAAUGCAAAAUCGAGAGUAAUAUUGAUUCGCAUGGCUGGCCUUGAAUAAUUUGACAAUUUUCCACCUUGUAACAGGAACCUAGGCCAGAAUAUUGGUGGGAGAAUAGGAAAUAGAAAUUUAGGGUUUUUGACCUAACCUUUAAUUUCAACUUUUGACCGGAUCUAAGUAAGUGUUGGCUGCCGAGAAUGACUCUGGGAAGCCGCCGACGACGAGUGAAUAAGUUGGGAGUGAAUUCGGCGAGGAGAAAGAGAUGAAGGAGAGGAAGAGGAGGAAAGAGAGGGAGAGUUAUGGGAGGGGUAUUUUCGGUACUAGGGAUGAUUAUUGGCUAAUGUUGAUAGGAAAAAAAAUUGAGGGGUUAGUUGUGAAAAUAACAAUUUUUUUUAGGUUAUUUGUGUAAAUUUCCCAAUUUUGUUGGGAUUGAAAGACAAGGGGCCAGAUGGUAGUCCGGUGGGAAAUAAAAUCAUUUUUUCUUAAAAGACAUAUAAACUUUAUUGAAAGUUAUUAGUUAACAUUAGCCACAGUUUUUUUUUUUUUUUUUGAGAUAAGAGAUAGGUAAAGGCUAAAUCUAUUUUUUAGCCCCUACCUCCCAGGCUAAGAUCUAACUUGGGUGGCAAAUUAAAUAAACUUGUUUGAAACUACUCAGCCACAUCUUUAGGGGUAUUAUUGUUAGUUGUCUUAACUACUAAAUUAAUAAAAUUUGUAAUCUUUUCAAUAAAGAUUUUCCUAUAAUAUUGUAUAAGCUUGUAUAGUAUUAAUAAUGGGACUGUUGUGGACCCAUGAAUUUAAGUGUUUUAUGGUGCAUUCGGUAUUGUUUUCAAAUUUCAUUUUCUAUCUUCUAAAUUCAAGAAACAUCAAAUACAUGUUUGGUAGAUUGUUUCUAAAUAUACUUUUGAAAAUUUAAAAUUUAUUUAUACUUUUAACAAAGAAAAUAAGAAAACAACAUUUUCUUGUUUUCUUUGUUUCCCAAUUCAAUUUAAGCUUCAAUAUGAAAAAUUUUCUUCCGCCAUCUCUCAAAAUAAUAAUGACAUCAACAACAACAAAGACAACAACAACAUUGUUGUUGUUGUUAUUAGACCACCUAAAAAUCAACUUCCAUUACAAUAAUCUUUUCUUCUUUUAUGCAUUAUAAUAUUUAUGCUUUUAUAUAUUAAUUAAAUCAAGUAUGCAGAGUUUAUCAUUUUUCUUUAAACAAAAAAAGAUCACCUAAUUUAUUCUUAAAGUUAAAAAAUAAACUAAUUAAACAAUAAAAAUCACCUAAUUACACUACUUAAUAUUAAGUUUAUGGAAAUUAUUCUAAUAAUAAUUAUUUAAGAUAUUCCUAUCGAGAAUGUUUUUCUUUUUUCUUACGUUCAAGAUUAUUUUCGAAAAUGAUAUCGAACACAUUUAAAAAUGUUUUAAAAUAAAUUCGAAAAUAGCAUUUUCAUUCUCAUUUUUUUUAAUGAAAACAACAAUUGAAAAACAAUACCCAAAUAUGAUAUAAUGAUAAAAAUUUAAUGAAAUAUAUAGUAGUGGGUAAUGUUCAGGUUAUAAGUGAAUGUAGAUAUAUAUAUAUAUAUAUAUAUAUAUAUAUAUAUAUAUUACUUUCAACUAAUAGAUAAAAGAAAAUUUCUAUGGUGUUGGGAUGAAAAUCCCAUUAUCAAUGAUGAGAUUAUUAUUGAUCAUUAGAUUUAAAUAUUAGAAUCUUCAACCUUAAUUUAAUUUUAAUAGUAAGUAAUUGUGUAACAAGUAAUUUGCAUGUUGUGAUAUUUCUUUAUACAUUAAUUUAUUUUUAUCCAAUCAAUUGAUAAACAUUUUUAGGUCACCAAAAAAUUGUAAAAAAAGUAAAAGUAAUUCUGAAAUUAAAAACGUUAUAUACUGCCUAUAGCUAUAUAAUUUUACUGUUUCUUCUUUCACAAUUAAUAUUCAUAUAAAAAUAGCUUCUAAAUAAAUGUAAUAUUAUUCCAACAAUACUUUAUAGGGACAAUGACACCUAUACCCUACAGUUUAGGGAAAUGUUCACAAAUAUCUCUAAGUUUUUAGGAAGGGACAUCAACACCCAUUUUAACCAUAAUGCCCUUUGAAUUUAAUAAUUAGAAAAUUGACUUUAAGAUUUUUUAAUUGACAAAUUUAAUAUAAAUAAUAUAAUCUAUCAAGUAGACUAAUAAUACUAAAUUAAUUAUUUUUAACAUUAAAAUAAUAUUAAAAUUUUAAAUUAUUAUAUUUAUUUUAAUAAUAUAUUUGUAUAUAUUAUAAACAUUUUCAAUAAAUCUUGGGUUGAAUAGAUUUUACAAUUAAAAAAAUAUACCCCUAUUAAUAAUAUGAAAAUUAUUUUUACAUAAUAUUUAAAAUAAUUUUAAUUUUAACUCAUUUAUUUUAAUAUUAUGUUUCUAUUUGUUAUUAAAAGUUAAUUUAUUAUCUUAAAUUUGUGUUAAUUAAAAAACUUUAAAGUAAAUUUUCUAAUUCCUAAAUUCAAAGGACAUUACGAUUAAAAAGGGGUUUCGGUGUUCCUUUUUGAAUACCUGGAGAUCUUUGCGACCAUUUCCCCAUACCUUAGAGGUGUAAGUGUCUUUUUCCUUACUUUAUAUAAAGAUAUUUCAUAGAUCUUAUAAUAAUUUAUAUUGUAUGAAUUUAAUUAAAUGACCAUUAAUACUUAAACAUUAAUAAUUAUAGAAGGUAUUGUAAUAAAUUAUUUGAUAUAUAUUAUUAAUGAUACUAUAUAUGUGUGUAUAUAACUACAUGAUGGCUUGGAUAUAUAUUUUUAGUAGUAAGUAUUUUAACUUAAAUUUUUAAAACAAAAUUUAUACUAUUGAUUUCAUGUAAUUCAAUGGUGGAUGAUUUAACAUCAUAAAAUAUUGUUUUGAUGUUUAAUAUCAAUCAUUAAAUUGUGAGAGAUUAAUUUCUCAAAUUUUGUGUUAAAAUUUUAAGUUAAAAUAUCCCAAACCAAUUGUUUUAUGAAAAUACAAAAAUAUAUAAAGAAUUUUUCUCAUUAAUUUUCAUAUGAAUAUUAUUAUAGGUAAUAUUUUAUAUAUUGUCACCAUUAAUUACCAUCAUUAAAAUAGUGACUCUUAGUAAUAUAGAAUUUUAUAAUAAGUUAAUUGCAACCAAAGUAUACCAACAAAUAAUAUUUCACGAUUCAUGAACUAAAGCUAAUUAAGAAUAUAUUUUAUGUUUAACUUUUAUGAAAUCAACAAAAUGAUAUUAGAAAAUAAAAUGAAAAUAGACUAGUGAAAGCUUUGAGUAAUUUUCUGCAAUGCAAGAAUAUUAAUUGUAAUAUAAACCAUAAUUUCAUCGUAUAGCUACGCUAAAUGGGAGUAACAAAUAAUAUAUACUUUACGAUCAACUAUUAAAUGGUCCUUAAUAGCAUAUAAAGUAGUGGGUAUUUUAAUAUAUACUAUUAAACUUUUUUAAAACAUAAGUAGUUAAGUAUAUGAUUUUUAGGAUAUAAACAAUCACGACCAAAAGUUUAUUGAUGUAAAUUAUAUGGCAUUCAGUUAAAUGUACAUACUUAAUUCUAAUUGGUAAACAAUUCUCUUUCUUUCUUUGCUCUCUUACAACUUGAGGCACAUAACCAAACGCGUGGCUAUUAGCAUUUGCCACCAUGUAUUUAACAACCCCAAAUGAAGAUAUUAAUUUUUUUAGUUCAAUUGCUGCUUCAAAAUGGGGUACUGAAUUUGGAUUUUGUUAUCCAAAUACCAAAAAUUUCUCACAUUGUGUUGGACAGUUUUUGGUUCUAAAGUUGAUGACUGGUUUUGCGAAUCAGGCUUCAAAUGAGAACUUCUAAACAAUAAGACAAAUGGGUUUUGAGUUUAUAAUCUUGUAAACUUUGUUCUAUUGUAUAAGUUAUGAAAUCGCUGAAACAUCACUACAGCUACAGAUCUUUAUGUGUCAAUGAACUGCAGAAGCUAAUGAUCUACUUGUAGUAGACUUCUAUUGCCCCUGCCGUUCUAGGAAGACAAACAAGUUCAGGAACUACUUUUGGACCAAACUCAUAAUAUUGCCACUGCUUUGUGCCAAUCUGAGACGGAAAGAAGAUUGAAGUUCCUAAAUAAGGCACAUCAUGAUUUGAUAGAAGUACCACUAUGAGGAACAAUUGAUUUCAGGAAAGCACUAAAAUAUGACAUAAUCUCCCCCUAAUGGUCUAAAGUAGUCAAGAAAUGAUAUCAACCAAGCAAAAACACAUAAACUAGUUGAGAUACAAAAUUAUUGUAAAAGUCAAUUUUGAUCACAAAUCCAUUAAAAUUGAAAGACAUCAGAAACUUAGAGAACAUUAUAAUUUAGGACUCAUCUAAGUUGCAGAUUCUGUAACUAACAGCUGAGUCCACAUUGGUCUUGCAUCAGCUGAGUUUGGGUUGCUUUUCCUCUCUCCUGCAACUCGUACGUGGAAGCGCCCCAUUUGCUGUGUUAUAUACCGAGUCGAUACCGUAACAAGCUACUAUAAUUUAAGUUUGAUUACUGUAGACAAUAGUCUGCCCUGCUCAAAAGCUAUGCAGCAAGACAUAACAUCUUUGCAAUGUUAUACUUUCUAAAAGUAAUAAGAAAUGAAACCAAGGGGUAAAUAGAACACCAAAAGAAAUUUAGUCGGCCAACCACAUUAUGUUCCCACACAGUCCACUAAUUAAGUUAAUAAUUAAAGGGAAUCAAAAUCUAAGAAAUCUCAUCUUCAAGCAAAAUACAAACACACCGGGAUUGAAAAUCACAAAAUCAUAAAAAGAAGCUGACUUGAAAAGCUCAAAUAUACGUUCAUCAGCCUCUCAACUUAUAUCUAAGAACAAAUGCUUGCAGCUUGUGAAGACAUAGAUAAUUGAAGCUGAUGAGGCACAUUUAACAGAUGAUAAUCAAAACUCGUGUGAUUAAAAUUGUAAUUCAAUAAUGGAGCACAUAAAACAAGAAGUAACUAGUUGUAUAUAUACCAAACAACUUUCUGAAGUUAAGGCGUAAAACAACAACGUAGAACAAAUUAAUUAAAUAUACCAGCACCAAUACUCUUAUUAUUAUCCAAAUAUAGAAGACAAAUGUAUCAAACAAGGAAAAUGAAAUAUUGUUAAUAACUCAAAAACCACUAGUGUCAAGAAAUAAACUAAUAAGUAAAACCCAUAAUCAGACACGACCACUUCAAAAUCUCUGAAAAUUGAGGUCUAAACAUUGAAAACAAUUAGACAUAUAUAACAGUCAAUCGAAACAAAGCCUUAAAAUAAUAAUGAACUAUAAUAAGACAGAAACUAAAUUAUAAACAACCGCAUACCCAGUAACAGUAAUCAAGUAACAAGUCAAAACCAUAAUCAAAUGUAGAAUUUGAAAUCCAUACGAACUCUAACGUAUUAGAAUGAAAGAAUAAGGACGAUCGAUAAACUAGACUAAAAAAAAAACAUGCCAAGUUAAAAAAUGAAGGUAAAUAAAUAAAAAUGGUAUAAAACUGCGAAAAAAAUUAAUGAAAUGAAGAGAAAAUCACAGGAAUCCUAUGAAAAGGAAGGUAAACAAAACCUUCGAGAGCCGAGAAGAUGCCUUUUUUGUUCACUUUUGUGCCCUUACAUACAAUUUUUUUUGGUAAUUUUGAAGAAAGUAUUGGUUAAAUAUUGUCAGAACGAAAUAUUAAUAGAUGCUGGCAAUUUCAAGAAGGACAAUCUUCGAUUCAAAUGUAUCCCUAUGAUAAAGAAAAAGCCUACUUGGCUAAAUUUUGAGCACCACAUUACAAGAUCUAGGUGUAUGUAACCAUGCAAAAUGAAACAUCUAUUAAUUGUAAGUCCCUUGACCUCUGGAACCAGCCAACCAGUCUCUUUUCUGCUAGACAACCUUCUAUCGAUCAGACUAAUAAUAUUUACUAAAUCAUGUUCUACAGUUAAUGGAGUUGGACCCAAGGCAAUUGUUAGAAGUCCGCCUAGACAUAGAGUGCGCUUAGACGUGGGAUGCUUAGAAAUGAGCCGCCAACACAACCAGCCAACUGUAGUGUGCUUAGCAAAGCACCCAAGCACGGCCCAAGAUCUAGAACUAUCUACAAAUUGUAAAUAAGCUAAAAUUUUAUAAGUUUCUCCACAUAGGUCCCUAGGAUAUUUAUGGAAGUUGCUAGGAAGUUUCCUCCCCUAGAACUCUAAUACCUAUAAAUAGGGGUAAGACCCCUCAUUUGCCCACCAACCACACCACACACACAAACACUCUAGCACACACACAGGCACUCUAGCUUUUGUAAAAAGCUCUCUUGUAUAUUUUCUCUUUGUGAGUAAUAAAAUCAUAUUCAGCCAUAUUGCUCUACUUCUCUCUAGCAUUUUCUGCAAGUGUUCUUGCUUCGCUAGUUUGAGGAGUGUUCUAGGGUUGCUUAACAACUUGUUCGCUAGAAGGACAUCUUGGUCACAAAACAUGGACAUGCAAGAAAAAAAUAAUAUUGAUACGUUCUAAAAAUAAUAUGCGUUCUUCUACAGUGAACCAAAAAAUUUAGGCUAAUGGUAGCAAGUGAAGAAUUGUGAUUUCACGUGCAUUUUUUUGACAUGAACGUAAAGGACUUUUUUUAUAGUUUAUAUUGUUUAAUAUAACAUUUGAAUUGCAAAAUAGGGGUACAAAAUAGAUACACGAAGUGAUAAAACUAAGCUGAUUAUAAUAAAUAUUGAAUUAUAAGAUUUAGGUUUAAUCAAAAAGACAUAAGUGGCGCACAAAGUCAUGAAUUGAUAUCAUCCAUAAUGCAAGUUCAAACAACUGCAUAAUAAGUUGCCCCAAGCUAAACUAUUAAUCUAGUAACUAUUCCAGUCGAUGUGGGGCUCCGAUACUAUAUAGAAGCCUAUGACCCAAAAUUAUACUUAAAGGUUAUCUCAAGAUUUGAGGGUUGCCUCAAGCUAAUAUUAUUUUUAGCCUGGUAACCUUUUUUGUUUGUUGAUAUGUGAUAUUUUCCCUAUAACUUUUAUUAAUCUUUAUGCUUAUGUUUUGUCAUUUAUCCCAAAAUAUAACAUUAACAAAAGUUCCAAAAUUUCCUUCAAGAGAUAUAUUUGAGACAAGUAAUUUGUGCAAUAACUUUGUAAAUUGAUGAGCAAAUUCAGAGAAAAGAAUAUAUGUGCCAAACAUAACGUUUAUUAUUGUGUUUAUUUGUAGAGCUAUUUAAAGCCCAAAAAAAAAAAAGCACCGGUCCGCUAUGAUUUCAAAUAAGUUCAAGCCCUAUGUCAUCAUUGGUACAAAAAUGUAUUAAAAAGGUUAAAAACUAUUUUUAAAGGUUAAAAACUAUUUUUAUUUAACUUAUAAACUUAGGAAAUUAUCAACUGUCCGCCCUUAAAUUGUGCUAUUAUAAAAAAUAUUACAAUAUUUUCAGGUUGUGUCAUUCAUCUACCAUAAAUUUACAAUCUGCAUCAUUUAUCCACCAAAUCAUUAACUUCGUCAAAAAGUGAUAGACGUCACAAGGGUAAUUUAGACAUUUAACACAAAAAAAUAAAAGAGAAAUUAUCUAAGCUUACCAUGUUAUCAAAAUUGCUACAAAAUUUUAAAUUUGUUCAAUUUUCCAAUCUAAGUUUAUGACCUCCAAGAUGUUAAUUGCAGUUUGUAAUUAAUGACUUCAUAAGGAUAAUUUAGACACUCAAUAUGCAAAAUAAAAAAUAAAAUAAUGGCUUAAAACAUUAAAACAAAAACUACUUUUUAUAAUUGAUAUUCAAUUAAAUACACAUAAACUCUAUUUUUUCUUAAUUAAAAAUAUUCUAAUUUAUUUUCUCAAUUUAUCUUCAUAAAUUUACAUUAAUAAACUAAAUCCACAAAUUACCCUAAACCCUAAUUCAUAAAUGCCCAAUCAAUAUAAUAGUUUAAUUCGAUUUCAUAAUUAAAAAAAAGCUAAAUUUAUUAUAUUAGUUAUGGUGCAAUGUCAAAAAUGUCCUUAAAUCCAAGGGUAAAAUAGCAUUUUAUUUAAAUUCUAUGAAUUAUUCUAACAAUGUUAACAUUUUGUUGGACGGUUAAUAUAAGUUACAAACUUAAAAUAGAAAAUCAAAUAAAUUCAAAAUUUCAAACUAUUUAGGGCAAAUUUAGGAUAUAUGGUUAAUAAUUUUCCUAUGUCUUUUUACAUUGGUUGAUAUAAGUUACAAACUUAAAAUAGAAAAUCAAAUAAAUUUAAAUUUUUAAAUCAUUUAGGGCAAACUUAGGGUAUAUGGUUAAUAAUUUUUCUAUUUUUUUUACGUUAAGUUGAGUUUCAAAGACAUAAUGGUCAAUUUAUUAUAAAUCUAUUAAUUUUUUAAUGGAAGCAAAUGAUAUAAUGGACGAAUGAUAUAAAUUGUAGAAUUAAGGUGCAUGAACGAUAUAACUUUAAAGUAUUGUAGUACUUUUAAUAAUAGAACAAUUUAAAGGUUGAUUGGCGAUAAUUUAAACUUUAAUGAAGCAACUAAAAAAAAAAUUUAACAAAGAAAAAUAAUUGAAUGCUUUGUGAAACCAAAAAUAUUUGAAAUGUUUUAAGAAAAAUAAAGGAAAUUAAAUAUCUUUUUAAAAAACAUAAUUGAGUAAAAUCAUUUUACAAAAUACUCUUUCAAAUGCACAUUCCACAAGCCAAGAAGAACGGGUGGCUAACAAAAAUCUCACUUUUUAUGAGUUUAUAAAAUCUCACUUUCACAAAAUCCAAAAAUAACCAAUACUAUCACACAAAAUAUAAAAAAGUAUUGCUGUCACGACAUUACACACUUUCUUCGCCGUCUAGAAAGGUAGAACAUUUUGAAGUUCCUCAAUACAAAAUGCGUACUAUUACUAAAUUGGCCCAAUUAAUGCCCCCCCAAAGGCCAUCAAUUUAGCCAACAAAUUUGCCAAAGUUUUAACAAUUGAAGAAAUAGUGAGCUCAAAAGGAACAGAUAAAUUUUGAAGUUGAACAAACCUUAAGGUACAUGCAACAAAGCCUUGAAACUUUAGUCUUCACAAUUUAAGCACGCAAUAAUAUUAAGUAUCCACCUAAAAAACAAGUAUAGAACAAAGCUUGUUAGCUUCUUGGGCAUUAACUAUGAAUGAUGAGUAAAAUUAAAAAAGCAAACAAAGAAAAUUAUAGGAAGAAGAAAAGCAAACAUUUAAAAAAAAAAUUAUGAGAAGGAAAAUUUUGGUAGAACUCCGUGGCUCAUCUGUGAAAUUAAUGUCAAUAUGUAUUUUUAUGUAAAUAGGGUCUCUGGAUUUUAGGAUGAAUCAAUCAGCUACCACAAACGAAAACAUGAACCAACUGUAUAUAGAGUCAAUUAAUUAAAGUUCUCAAGAGCUUACCUCUGCUCCAGAAUUCUCGGAAUCAUCUAUUUCCUUCUGAAUUUGCGCGAAGCUUGGGACAACUAAGAAAGCGUCCAUGUGGAGCUGGGAUCUGAUAACCCGCAGGCCAAAAGUUGGUGAGGUUUGGUAAAUCUAACAGUGUCAAGUUCCAAAAUCCAUUCAUAACAAUUUCAUUGUAAUCCGUGACAUCUGCUCCAUCUUUAUGCCAGAAUACUUCUUCUAAUUCAUAAUUACUUUCUACCCAUAGUUGAGUUAGAUUUUGAAGACUUGGAGCUACGCUAAUAUGAAAUAGAUGCUUUAGUUUGGGGCAAUUGUAGAAAGUGAUCCUUCUGAGUUUUGGGAAACAUACAGGUUGGAGAUGAUCCUCAUCCUCAUCCUCAUCAAUGAUUUGCUCUAAUUCCAAGCAUUUCCGAACAGAUAACUCCUCCAAUUGCAACAGAUUUCGAGCAAGUGUCGAUGAGAGGAGACGUUUCAACUUAGAGCACCGGAUCACGAGUAAACGGGUAAGAUUUUGCAGGCUAAAAAUAUGCGUGGGACCUUCAUGAUAUAAUACUUGCAGUUCUGGAAGAUUUUUCAAUUGCAACGACUUCAAACAUGGGAAUAGUUUGUUUUCUUGUCCCUCAGCGAUAAUAGCUUCCAAUUGAAACACCACAUGUACUCCAAGUUGGCUAAUUUUCAAAUCUUCCAAAUUUUUUAAGUCGUGCUUCAACAGUGCUGGAAUCGUGUCACUCAAAUGGGAACAAUUGUCCACAUUUAGAAUUUUUAAGUUCUGAGACAAAUAAAUAAAUAACUUGAUGUAAUUAAAAUCUAUUAGUAGCUAAGAUUAUCACAUGAUAAGUGAUGAACACCGCAAAAAACAAAAAUAGAAACAAAAUCCAUACAAAAAUAUAAUAAUACAUAUGUAAACUAAUAAAAUAAUUAAAAAGUAAUAUGGAUUGAUCAUGUGAAGUGAUAUAAAGGUGACAUUAGAUUGUUUGAGAAAAAUUAGUAUUCUAUUAAUUUCUAUGGAUUGAUCAACUAAUUAAUUGAAUUUGAGUAAUAUUAUAUUCACUUCAGUAAGUGUUUGUAUCAAUUCUUUCUAAACCAAAAUGAGAUAAGACUUCCAUUUGAACAAUGAUUUUAGGCCCUAAAAUAAAGAAAUUUCCCUAAGAUAUUUGAGCAUUAUUACUAUGAUCACCACAUCCAUGAUCAUCAUCAUCUCCAUAGGACCAAAUAAUUAAUGGCUGAUCAUAAAAUUUAUUGCUAAAUUAUCAUUUUGAGUAAAAUUGAAGGAAAAGAAAAAAUAUAAACACAAACAAACAUACCUCUUCAAGAUACUGCAAAUUGGCUUCAAGUUCAGUACUGCUGAUGGUCAAGUUGGGACAGUGCCUAAGGUGUGACUCUUCCAAUGCUGUCCAAAUUGAACAAUAAUUUUCUGAACAGAAGCUCUUGAGUUUUGGGAGAUUGUGAAGUGUUAAUUUUGUCAACAAAGGGAGGGCAAGCAUCGAAUUUCCAUCUCCAACACUUAUUUCCCCUUCAUUGUGAUCAAACUUUGCUUCGACAAUACAUUCCAUUCUCCAGCAUCCACUUACAUAGAGACUUUUAAGCUGCUUCAAACUUCUAGCUUGUGACAACGUGAAGAUAUAUGUCAAAUUGUUGCACCCACACACAGUCAAUUCUGUAAGAGCUUGGAGGCUGAUCACAUAUUGGGCGGGCGCCUUCCAUAUCCACUUCAGUUCUGGUAAUUGCCACAUAGAUAACUCUGCUAAUCUUGAGAGCAUCACAGGAUUCCCACUCUUUCCAUGCGGCGACUUAGAGGCAUCCAUUAUGCAUUCUAAUUCUUUGCACUCGUUGACAGAAAGACAAGUCAACUCAUUUAAGCCCCUUGGAUCUAUGCUUGGCACAAUAUUGUGACAACCUAUAAUCGUUCUUAAAUUAAGAAUUUCCAGUUCUUGAUACAAUGCCGAAAAAAUACCGAGCGAGGUUGCUUCACAAUUAUUAAUCUUUAAGCCCCUUCUCUGUCCAAAAAUUUCAUCUUCUUCUUGCAUUAGAAAUUCAAGUUUGUUACCGUUACUGACGUGGUGCCUUUGCAAUUUCGGGAAUGUAAAGUCUUUUGGAAGACGUGCAAUUUUUUUGUCAGUAUGUAAAGUCUUUCCAUCGUCAUUUUCUUCUGAACUCAUCCCUUCAGCCUCCCAAUCUUUUAUCCGACCAUAAAAUUCUUCUAAUUGAGGAAAUUUUUUUAUCGUAAUGGGAGAAAUACAACCAGAAUUAAUGAAUAUAAGAAGUUUCAAUCUACUAAGUUGAUCCCCAAGUUCUUCAGGAAUUUCAAUGGGAGACUCCUUGACACAAAGAAUUUGAAGUCUCUUCAACUUUCCAAGGAAAGAUGCGUCACUUACUUUACAUUGAAUCAACUGCAGAACUUGGAGGUUGGUCAGGAAUUGAAGCGAUUUAAGUGAAAUGACUCCACCUAUUACAGUAACAACUUUCAAUGCUGGCAUCCCUUCGAAAAAAUGCUCUGGAACAUGAAAUUGAUAGUCAUAACCACUAGGAAGCUCUUCUUUUACAUAUCCCAGGAAAGAGAUUCCUUCAUAUUGUUCCAUUGCCCGUUCCGCCAAUCCAUCUGUAGUAACAACUUUCAAUUUGUAGUUAUAUACAGUAUUCUGCAGUUGCAAAAUUUGAAGGUUAGGACAUACCAAACUGGUAGGAAGCUCUUCUUUUUUAUUUCCUACCAAUGAGAUUCCCUUGCAUUGUUCCAGGCUUUCUUCCACUACCCGUUCUGCCAAUCCAAUGCCAACUUUACUAGUAAAAUAUUUCUUUCCCACUGAGCCUAUCCAUAAGGAAACAUCACGAACAAUGUCAUGCAUUUUCACAGAUCUAUCAUUACCGGUGUCUAACAGCAGUGAAGAAGCUUUGAGCUCUUUAAUCGUUCCACUCACUAGGAUCCUGGCUUCUUCGAUUGACUCAACUUGAUACCAAUCCAACGCCACUGCAUAUCCAACCAAAUCAUUCGAAUCUAUCUCAUAAUCUUCUGGAAACAGCGAACACAACAAAAAGCAUGACCUGGAAUCCUCACCAUUCAAAUUAUCGUAACUAAAUUUGAGACAAUGGUAAACGUCUUGGUCAUCCUUACCAAUACCUUCUAUUGUAUUGAGUUUUGCAUUUUUUAGUUUAUGUAGAGCUACUUUCCAUUGACCAAAUCCUUUACCUCUUAGCGCACUUCCAACAGCCUUAAUAGCUAAAGGCAACCCCUUACAUUCAUUAGCAAUUUGUUCUGAAACACCAAUCAAGGUUGAAUCAGCAUCAAUGCCGGCAUGCUUUCUUAGUAAAGCCAAUCCUUCUUCUCGCUUUAGAACACCUAGUUGAAUCUGCGUGUCACAACCCAUGCGAUCACAAACUGGCUGAAGGCGAGUGGUUAGAAGGAUUUUGCAACAAUUGUCUCUAUCACCAACAGGAAUACCUACUGUCUCCAAGUCAAGUUCAUUCCAGACAUCGUCAAGGAUUAUGAGGAUCUUGCGGCUUUUACUCUCAGAGAACAUCAAGCGCAAUCGAUCUGCUCUAUCCUUCUCAUCUUUCUCCGUUAAUGCCCAACCUAACGACUUUACCAGCUCACUUUGAACAUUUAUUAUAUUUGGAUCCCGAGAUAUAGUGGCUAUCCCUACGUCAUCGAAAAUCUUUUGUUGCCGAAGUUGAUUGCCCGCAAAUUUUGCCAAGGUCGUCUUUCCAACACCACCGAGACCAUGCAAUCCCACCAUCUUUGUGCUCUCUUUUUUCAGUGCUUCAAUGAUCUGAUUACAAGCCAAUUCUGUAGUCUCGAAAGACAUAAAAUGUCUUGGUGCAGGCAAUUCUUUGUUCGAUGAUAGAGGUGUAGGAUGGGCAACAGUGCUGAAUUUGCCGCGGUCUAGUAGAUCGGCCAACUUGCUAGUCUUCUUUAAUGCUUUUCUGCCCAGCCAAUAUCGGCAACCCCAAUUAGGACACCAUCCAUUAAGACAACUCUUGUUUUCAUCUAUCUUUGCUUUCAAAUUUUGAACAUUGGCCAUUUCUUUGACUACAUCCGCCAGCCACUUCUCUACAUCUUUCUCCACUACUACGGCGCGGUGUUUUUGUCGAUCUUGUUCUACUUUUUCAUUGAUGCCAUCUUGUGCCUCCUUCAAAUUAGUUUCUUUAUCCCCAAGUUCUUUAAUAAUGCUGUUGAAGCAGAACAAAUAGCGAGCUUGGUUUAUGGUUGCGUCCGCCAAUAAUUCUCCAAGUUUUGAUGCAACACCUGAUAAAAUUUCCAUGCUAUUUAUCUGCAAUUAAUGAAAUUGAUCUCAGUAUGCUAUAAGCAAUUAAAACAACAUGGCUUGAUCGCAAGAUCGAACGUGAACGUUUAAUUACUUUAAUUUUUUUUCUUUUGGCUUAUUAACGCCAGCAUUGAUCAAUAAGAGCAAAAUGCAAAACAAAGGAGAAGAAAUAAGGUAAACGUUAUAUAUGAAGGAUUACAUUGAAAUUAGAUUACUUUAGAAAUUUUUAAAUAAAAAUUUAAUAGAAUCCGGAUAAACCUAAGAGUUUGUUGUGCAUUGCGAGUGAAGACAGGCAGUUGCGUGGGGAAUAUGAUAAAAGUGAUGAAUAACUGAAAGGGUAAAAGCUUGUUUAGUCCUUAUAUUAUGAGGUUAGUGUCCAUUUUGUCCCUGUAUUUUUAAAAACACCUUAAAACGUCCCUGCUACUAAAUAUUGACACUUAUGCCAUUAUUUUUUUAUUAUUUUUAACUUGUUUUUACAAUAUUAUAUUUUUACAAUAAUAUUUCUUUUUUGGAUAUUAAUAAAAAAUUAAAUUAUCAAAUUAAACUCAAAAAUAAAAUAAAAACAAAAAAGGUAUAUAUUAAUUUUUGUGGAAGCUCACGUAUGUCUAAAAAUUUAAUAUCGUAAAAAAUUACAUUAUCAAUUUUUUUAGAAAAAUUAAUAUUUUAACUCAAGAGUGUGUUCCACAAAAAUUAAUAUAUAUUUUUUAUUUUAUUUUAUUUUUUGGUGUUAAAUUGGUAAUAUAUUUUUUUCUUUUUAAUAAUGUCUAAAAAAAUUAUUAUAAUAGGGUUAUUUUUUUUCUUUUUAAUAAUGUCUAAAAAAUUAUUAUAAUAGGGCAAUAUUAUAAAAAUAAGUUAAAAGGAACAAAAGAUAAUGGCAAAAGUGUCAAUAAUUUAAUGGUAGGGAUGGUUUGAGGUAUUUUAAAAAAUAUAGGGACUAAACGGACACUAACUUCAAAAUAUAGGGACUAAACGAGCUUUUACCCUAACUGAAAAGCCACCCAUAAUAACAAUUAAAAAGAGUAUUAGAGAUUCGAGGAGUUCAACAUCCUAUGCAAGCCCACUAACGAUAAAAUUUGAAUGGUUUCAACAGGAUUACCAUUUUUUGACCUUUAAUAAAUAUUCUAAUAAAAUAAUACCAUAAUUCCAAACAAUAUCUGAAUUUCUUUUUCCUUCAAAUGUUCAUUAAACUCACAUAUUGGAUAAUUAAUUUAAUUAUUUUUUAAAUUAUUUAUUACCCUAUCUUAUUAUUCAAUAGAUAUAAAUGACACCUUAUUUGGUAUGGUAAAAAUUGGAGUAAAUUUUCUUUUAUUCUCUAAAGUUUGGACCUAUUACCAGUUAUAUAUAGUAUUUGUAUUUUGUAAAAUUUUACCUAAAUCGUCCAUAUCAUUACUUUUAUAGCUAUUGAACAUGAAUUUUCCAGUGUAAGAUACUAUUUUUGUCUAUUAUAAAUUAAAAUUCAAAUAAAUCUAUCAUGCAACAAACAAAACGUAAAGAAAAUUAAUUAGGUUUUAAUUGGAAACAAAUAUAAAAUAUUGAUUUUUUGAUUAAUUUUUGUGAAUUCUUUUAUUGUUCGAAUUAGAAUUAAAUAAUUUGUAUAAGGAUAAUUUAUAUGAAGAUAAUCUGCAAAAUAAGCUUAUAUGCCGAAUUUAAAACAUCUCCCGUCAUCGCACCAUCCGAUUUUCUUUUGUUUAGUUUCUCACUCCACGUCCAACCACAUCCAACGGCUGAUGCUGCAGUCUGUACCUUACAGAUUCUGUAACGUAGUUUUGUCCUUAAAAGAGUUAUAUUAGCAAUCAUAUAUUUAUCAAAUUUUUUUAAUAAAAAUUUUGUUUAAAAAUUGGCCAAAUGGGUUUCAUGAAGAAAAUAGAAGGGCAUGAACAGCGCCGCUUUCAAUAUUUAUUGUGGUUGUACAAUUGAAAAGACGCAUUGAAAUGGACCAAUUUGAAAUGGCAGGAGAGCAUAACGGACUCAUGUUGGGACUUGGGUAGGAAAAUUGAUUUUAUUUUUAAAGUAUGGUCAACAAUACUGACUUGGAGGUGAUUGACGUUAAGUUAAAUUAAUACAAACAAAUGGCAAAAAUAAUUUAAUGAAAAUUAAUUAAUAAAAAAAUGUUUUAAAAAUAAGAACUUAAGUUCUUGAUCAUUAAUAUCCGUAUGUUUUUAAUCCAACGGCUCAGAAUUGGCAUAAAACUAGCCAUUGGAAGUAAAACACAAAAUUCAAAUUAAGGGCCUAUGAAACAAUAAGAUCUCAUACCUUCUUCGUUAUAAAUCCUCAAUUACUGCUGAAAGCUCCAGUUAAGAGAGUCGCACAAGUUCGGAGAAAAUUAAAAAGCUGCAUAUGGCAAUAUAAAUAAACAUCAGAUCAAAACGACAUAGGAUAUAUCUGGCUAAUUAACAUCUUAUAUAAGUCCUUGUUCUCAGUCAAAUCUUUCAUACUUAGAAAAAAAAAGAUUGAAAUAAUAACUGUAUGUUUUUAAUCCAACGUGCAAAAUUGGCAUAAAACAAACUAAUAUAGCAUAAAAACGAACAUCAAAUUAAGAGCCUAUGAAACAAUAAUAUCUCAUACCUUCUUCCUUAUACAUCCUCAAUUACUGAUGAAAGCUCCAAUUAAGAGAGUCGCAUAAUUUCCCAGAAAAUUAAAAGCUGCAUCUAGCAAUAUAAAUAAACAUCGAGUCAAAACAACAUAGGAUAUAUCUAGGUAAUGAACAUCAUAUAUAAGUCCUUGUUCUCUAUCAAAAUCUUUUCUUCUUGAAAAAAAAUAAUAAUAACAAUAAUAAUUGAAAUAAUAACUGCGGGUGAUACAGGAAGCAAAAGUAACAUACCGAAAUGAGAGCAGCUCACAUAUCUGGUGACUUCCAAGAGAAUGAAAAAUGAAUGACCUUAGGCAGCAAGAUCCAAAUCAUGUAUCACAAAUUGCUAGUUUGCUACUGACUUCGUGGCUUCACUUUCCUUUUCUUUUUCUUUUUCUUUUUUAAUUAAAUUUUAUAUCACAGUGUGAAUUGAAAGGUGAAAAGUGAAAUGGUACACAUGCGUAUGAUGAGGGGGUAAUUUUUAGACACCUCCCCGAGGUUUAAGGUCUUCUGAAUUAGAUGGAUUGUAUUUUCGUAUUAUCAAAUACCUCCCCUGCCCGUUUUUAUUCCAUUUAGUAUUUUCUAAAUGGCUGAAGGUAAAUUGGUAAAAACUCAUUUAAAUAAAAAAAAAAUCAAAGAAAUUCAAGAAGAAGCUUUGUAUCUGCCAUUUGUAUUUGGGGUAUCUUUUUGGUUGUUGAGUGAAUGAGCUUAAAUCUUAAAUAUUUAUUUUCUUAUUAUAUAUUUCUCAUUGGAAAGAAUUUGAAUCUUAUUCUUAUUAAACUUAUUCUCUUUAAAUAAAAGUAGAUUUCUCUCCAUGUAUUUAGCGUGUAUUUUGAAAUUAAUGUUCAAAAUAUCUUUAGAUCCUAUUAUAAAUAUUCAUAUCUAAAAUCUCAACAGAUUCCAACAUAUAAAUAUAUAUAAAGAGAGAGAGUAACGUUCUAAUAAGAAAUUUCUUAAAUUAUCAAAUUAAAGGAUAAUUCAAAAGAUAAAAAAAAAUACAUAAUCUAAUAUAUUAUAUAACAAAAUAUACUAUAUUAAAAUAUAUAUUUUGCUUAAUUUUUUAAUAUAUCCCAUAAUAACUUAAGAAACCCUUUAUUUACCUGAUAUAUAUGUGUGUGUGUAUAAUUUUUUACAAAAUAAACAAUUUAGAGUAAAACAAAGGACAUUCUGGGGGCCUUUUGCUAGACUACCAAUCUACCAUUUUGGAUUGCAAUAAAGUGAAAAUACUGGACUACCAGUCUACUAUUUUGGAUUGCAAUAAAGUUAAAAUGGUUUACACCAAAAAAGAAAAAAAAAAGUGACAAUCAAUCUUGUCGGCCAAUACAUCGACUUUUAUUAUGCAAAAACAAAUUAUUGCAAGCACUAUUAAAAAGCAAUCGAUGAUUUCGCAAUUUGGUUGUCAAAAAGCAAACUAGAUCACGAUUCCUCAUUUCAAAAUGGGACAAAAUUAUGGUAUCAUAAUGGUACCGUACUACGGCUGGAUUCAGCCUACACUUAUUUUUUUAAUUAAAUAAGUGAAAAUUAAACUUAUAAUUCAAAAUAGAGGACUGUAGAUGCGUAUAAAUUGAAGAAGGUAAAUUUUGUGUGUACAUAAAUAUUUUAGUUAACAACAAAAAAUUCUAACAAGUUAAUAUAAGAGUAUCAUAGCAGUACAAGAGAAUUUUUUUUUUUUAAUGUUAAGAGUUAUCGAGAUACCCAAUAUAUAUAUGUGUGUGUGUGAGAGUGGAGGAAGAAAAAAAAUAUUAAGAAUAGUUUUGGCAUUUUGAUGGGUUUUAUAGAGUAAAAUCUAUAUUUUCAAAUAUGAUAAUUCUUUAAUUUAAUUUGGUGUUAUGAAAAAAAAGGGCAUUUUAAAUAUGUUUUAAGUUAUAAAUAACUCCAUCCAAAAUUUAAAAAUGAAAUCUUAGGGGGGAAAAAAUUUCACCCGAACUAAGGCCCAAAGUAGCCGCGGCAUUUUUCACCAAUUCUCCAAUUCCCAAUGUGGUCUAAUUAUUUACAAGGAAUAUGAGUAGGGGUGGCCACGGUUCGGUCCGGUUCGAUUUGGAUCAAAAUUAAGCAGAACUGAUUUAAAUCGGUUAUUUUAUAAAAAGAACUAAAUAAGAACCGAACUCAAUAAAAACCGAACAUAAAUGGAUCUUUUCGGAUCGGUUCGGUUUUUCGGUUUUGGGCUUAUUGGGCCUAUUUUGAAUUUCUAAAUUGUUAGCCCAUUAGGCCUCAUGAAUGUAAUAAUUUUAUUCAAUAAUUAAUUUAUCCUAAUUUCAUUACAAAUAUUAACAAUAAAUACAAAGUAUUCAAAACACAUUUUAUCACUAAUAUCUUACUAACUACUAAUAAGGUACUUACAAAAUAUGAAAUAUUAAGAUUUCAAAAUACAUAAUCAAACUCCAAUACUCCAUCUACAUAAAUAUAAUGUUGUAAAGACAAAUAAAAAUAACAACAAUUAAAACUUACAACACAAAAUAAAAAGAAAAUUUGGAAACAAACACCAACAACAAUUUUUAAAUAUAUAUAUAUACCUGUAAUCGUGUGUGUGCAUGCCUAUUUUAGUUAUCUCACGCAACCGAUUAAAAUUUAACACGUGUCUAUUUAAAAAAAAUUCCAAGAAUAACUCGGUUUUUCGGUUUGGUUUUUUGGUUCAGCUGAGUGAACCGAAUACCGAACCUGUAUUUCGGUUUUUUUACAAACCAUAUAUUUCAGUUAUUUUUUAAAAUUAAAAUUAGUCCGAACGGAAUGGAACGGUUCGGAUCAAUUUUUUCUAGUGCACGGUUUUUUUGCCCACCCCUAAAUAUGAGAUUCUCUACCACUCCAAUUUAUCCCAUUGUUAGCAAUCCUAUUAGCUGUUUUAUAUCCUAUUUUUAUUAUGCUCCCCAAACAAAUAUGUUUCACCUAAAGGUGCCCAACGGGCUGCACCGUCCGUCUGAAUGAGCGCACGAGAGGCUCCACAUGACACGGCAAUCUUUUUCUUUUUAAUGAGGGCGUGUCUGAUAUGCUCUUUCAAGUCUACAUACUUAACGUUCUUUUUUUAAGUGCAUAUAUUUUUUUUAAAGCUCAUGUGAAAUUCAGUAGUAAGAGAAUGCGAUACUAGUUAAUAAGUUAGAGCCUACAAAAUAAUAAUAAUAAUAAUAAAAAAAUUUUCUUUAAGGGUUAACAUUUUGUUGUUAACUUGAAUUUACAUACAGUUAUAGAUUAUAGUCCAUCAUAAUAUUAAUACUUACAAGUUUCAAAUGAAAAUUUAAUAAUUAACAUUUCAUUAACACAACUAUAUUAUCUAAUUUUGCAAUAACAAAUUGUAAUACAACAAUACAUAAUUCUAAUUUCAUAGACAAUAGUAAUAAAAUCUCUACGUUAAUGAAAAUUUUAUUUUGAUAUAUGUCGGUUUGCUUGCUAUUGAUGGCCGAUGGUCGUAUGCUAGCCUGCUAAUGAAGCGUGUUUAUUAUUGGUUUUUUCAUGUGUCUUGCUUUACCACAUCUCUUCCACAGCCUAACCUAGCCUCUAUGUGUGUCCUGCCGUGCCAUACUAUACAAACACGUAUCCGGUACCAUGCCAAGUACCGGUCGGCCGGUCAGCCCUUAGCCAUCUCUAGUUUCACGUUCACACUUUCACUUUCACCCCUAAAUGAAAUCUAAACGGCUACUGGCAAGUAAGAAAACCUGUUAUUCUUUAUUUUGAAAAUAAAAGGAAUUGCUUAGUUUGAUAUUGUUUUUGGUAAGUCAUUUUUUGUUUUGAAACAUUUUUCUGAGAUGUUGUUGUAUUUGGUGAAAAAUAAAUUAUUUUAUUUUAUACUUUUAAUGAAGAAAAGUAGAGAAAAACAUUUUGUUGUUUUCGACAACAUUUGCCUUAUAAGUGCACCCGUGCCACUUUUUUCUUGUUUUAUUUGUAUGAUAAUUAUCAUGGACCCACGUAACUUUCUUUUGCAUUUAAAAUUUCAUAAUAAAUUAAAUUAGACAAAAGAAAUGAGUCCCACAAAUAAUUUAUUUUAUAAUUUUUUAAAUAAUACUAUUUUAAAAUAAAUUAUCAAAACAAAUUUCAUAUUCACUAAAAUUAAUCAUAUUCAUAUUAUAAAAUAAAUAUAAAAACAAUAUUUGAAAAGUAAUGCUAAAUACACUCUUAAAUUUUAUGUACGUCAUUAGAAUUGAUGAACAAUAUGACAAAGAUGCUACGACUUAAGUAGGGAUGACAAUUAAAGCUGGAUUUGGAAAAAUUCAUGUCUGCAAAUUAAAAAAUGUGGAUUCGGAUAUGGAAAUUUUGAAUUCACAUGGAUCCAGAUAAAUUUUAUUUUAAAUUAAAAAUUAAAUGAAAAAAUAAAAAAUAAAUUUUAUUUGUGGUUUUAUGAUGUUGUUGUAUAUUAUUCAUGUUGAAUUAUUAAUGGUUGGAUUAUGAUUGAAUUUUAUUUGAUAUUAUUAGGUAAAUUAUUGAAUUUUAUUUAAAAUUAAAAAUAUAUAUAUUAAAAUUAAAUAAAAAUAAAAAAUUAUAUUUUAUUUGUAGAUUUAUGAGAUUAUUGUAUGUUAUUCAUGUUGAAUUAUUAAUUGUUGAAUUAUGAUUGAAUUUUAUUUGAUAUUAUUAGGUAAAUUAUUGAACUUUUAAAUUAUAUAUUAAAUUAUUUAAUUUUAAUUUUUACGGAUCUGGAUCCAGAAUAUCCUCCAGUAUCCGUUGCGGAUAUUACCUGCUUCUGGAUCCGCAUCUUUUUAUGCGAAUUCAAAUAUAUAAAUAUGAAUGCGAAUCCGAAUCUGGAUUUUACCAACCCUGAACCUAAGCAUGAAUGGGCCUAAAGUUUUUACAACAAACAUGGAUCAUUCAAUGACACGAGAUGUUUUACAGCUNNNNNNNNNNNNNNNNNNNNNNNNNNNNNNNNNNNNNNNNNNNNNNNNNNNNNNNNNNNNNNNNNNNNNNNNNNNNNNAAAAAAAAGAAUCGUUCACUUGAGGAAAAUUCCAAAUUCUCCACGUAGAAUUUAGAUUCAAAGCAUAGCAAAUUAGACAUAAUUCUAAUUUAUAUGGGAAAUAUAAUUAGCGAAGACACUCUUUAUAUAAAACAUUAUUGUCACAAGAUGCCAAACCUAAUAAGAUUCAAGAUCUUAACAUACUUCAUAUGAAAUUUGAUCUUGACGCGUACCGACACGCAUAACAUCAAGACUCUACUGCAUAUAAUGUAACUUCAUGUGUUUUUCGCUCUCUUGUGGGUCUAUCGUUUGUUUGCAAACUUUUCCAUUUUAAAUUGACAAUUAUAGGCGCUCUCUUGUGGUACAUAAAAUAAACGUUUAUUUUUAGAAUAUUAUUAUUUGUCUCAAUUUUUGAUUUUAAUAGUUAAUCUUAAUCAAUUCUUAGACUGCCAUAAUCAAUUAAUUUUUUACAUUAUGGCAUCUUAAAUAAAUUUAGGAUAUGUAAUAAAUAAGAACUGGUAACGUUUUGUUCUUUUAAAGCAUAAAACAACCGUAACAUUGGUUUUUACAUUUUGAAUUUUUCUUGCAUCACUAUUUAGAAAAAUGAUGUUAAAUCAACUCACAAAAUAUAUCAAGCCAUCUAAAAUCCAAAUAUUAUUACAUUUGUAUUUGCAUUGUUAAAUUGUUGGAACGACGGCAAAGCAAUUGAAAAGAUAUUAACAAAAAAGUAAAGAUUGGCCAAGGAUUAUUCAUGUUUAGGAAAUGCCUUAACUUUUGAUAUAAUCAUUGUUAUAAUUAUAUUGUAGAAAUAAUCAAUUACCUAAUGUUUGUGGUGGUAAAUAUUAUUAACUUGUUUUACUAUACCCGUGUUUAUGUUGGUCUCCUUUCUGUCCAUUUCUGUACAACGAAAUAUUCGCAUGUUUUGAUAGAAAUUGGUUUAAAUGACAUUUAAAAUAGCAUAUCCCCAGACAAUUAACAAAAUAUUUGGAUGGUAGGAUGAAGUAAUAAAUAGUUUUACAAAUUACCAUAUUAGAGGUAAAAAAAAUCGAGAGGUUACUUGACAAUUAUGACGUUACUAACUACAAAUUUAACACAAAAAGUUUAAUUAACUUUUCUUUUUGAGAUGGCAAAAUCUCUGGUGUUGAAAACAAUGAGGUUUGAGGUUCAAGCUUGAAUAUCAAGUUACAAUUAGUAGAUGGUCUUAGGACAUAUCAAAGAUUUCUUUAAAGACAAAAUAAUUAUUAUAAGCAAUAGGAAUUUAUGGUAUUCAGAACAUGUAACCUUGGCACAUGAAGCUUGAGUCCAGCAAAAGAUGCAGCUAGCCAAUCCUUCAACUUCCAAAACCCCACAAAAUCUCUGUCAACAUAUCUGCUCUACUUCAAUAUUAAGCACAUUCAUAGCGGUAUCAACAGCUUACAGCGCCAAAAUAUUUUCCCCAAAAAGAGUGAGAGAUUUCACUGAAGCUAAGUUGUGACUUGUAACUGCUCAAAUGUUCUAUAACACGAUAUGAUUAUUCUAGUAACACAAAUCCAAUAGCAUGCAACAUAAUCUACUCUCUAACAUUGUGCAUUAGUAAAAUAAAACAGAGUAAAAAGAGAAACCAUGCCUGUGAAUCUCUUCUUUUCCCCCUGCCACCCCUUUUUUUGGUGAAGUCCAUCAAAUGAAAAUGCAGCAUGACCACGUUGGCCACUGCCACUGCCAUUGCUUCUUCAACUGUGCCUUUUGUUGCAGGAAAUAUUCAAGUGAAAGAUUGGAUUAUAUAAUUCAAGAUUCCAAUAAACCUGAGCUGCAAAGGUUGCCUUCCACUAGCCUAUCAGAGACUAUGCUUUCUAUUUUCCUAGUUUUUUAAUCAUAAUUUUGCAAGAUUUAUUUAUGGAAAACUGGGACAAAAUUUUAUGUAAGAUACCAUAAAGCCAAACACAAUCUUUUUAAUUCUCAGCAGCAACAUUUAAAGUUAAAAAAGGGAAGCCAUAUAAAUAUAACUAUGUUUGGUACAAGCAACAAUUAUUUCAAGCUUUCAGAAAUGCUAGCAAGAGAUUGUAAGAGAACUUUACCUAGUCACAGAAUAUGUCAAACAUACUACCACCAACUGCCUUCAGCACGAUUGUUAUGAAGUAGCUUUUGAAUCGGAAGAUUCCAGCUUCCACCAGGCACCAUUAUUUUCAUUCUUGAUACAAUCUGCAUCACUGGCAUUAGUUAUAUCAUCAACAUUUGCAUCCUCACUCUCAUCAUCCCAAUCAAGGCUUCUUCUCCAGCACUGGAUUAUAAGUCCACUCCGACGUCUUCAAACAUCUCGGUCCUUCCAUUUGCCAACAACCGAUAUGGCUUCCUUCCUUUCCUUCCCCAUUAAUAUAUCACUCGAAGGAAAAAAAGCAUCAGCAAUUCUCUUCAACGUCUCAUCGUUUAUAACCCCCCAAAAAAAGGGUCUUCAGACACCUCAACUUUGCCUUGUGCAAAACCUCCACAAAAUCUGAAUUAUCCAACACAACAGCCAGACACUCAAUCCUUCUUUUGUCCAUCAUAUCCACCGUAUGAUUCCUCAACAAAAUAUCUACAGCUUGUGGCUUAUCUAACACUGUCUUGAUCCAAAACCCCUCUGUUUUCAACUCAUCUGCCAAACCAUAACCCACUUUUGGAGUCAAAAUUGUCCUUGCAGCCCUUUUAUAUUUUUCCAUCUCCAUCGAAUACUUGCCACUCAAAUGGAAUUACCAGACAGGAAUCCCAGUAACAAGUCCACUCAACUUCUUCUCAUCUGAUCCCUCUUUCACUCUGGCGGAAACAUUAAUAACCAUUCACCAGCCACAAAUUACCCAAGUAAGUACUCGUGUCGUCAACACUUACCCUUCACUUCAUCUACGCAAACAAGAAUUCAAAUUGCUUACUAGCUAGUGCUCGAGCAAAAGCCAGAAUAAUUUAAAUAUGCGUGUGUGUGUGUUAAAAGAGAAACGGUAGCGAAGUUAUUAUACAAUAAAGCAAACCAAAAUAAAUUCUACACUCGUGUGGGUGUUUCGCUCGCAAAAUCUGGACAAGAAAAAAUAAAAUUGAUACAAUCUCCAAAUAAAGAGCAUUCCUCUUGGUAAAAUAGACAAAUCCUAUAAAUUUUGAUUAAUGGUGCCAAAUGAAAGAGUUGUCAUUUCAUGUACAUUUUGUUAACAUGAAUAAGGGUACAAAAUAGAUAACAAAGUGACAAAAACAAAGCUAAUCACAAUGAAUGAUAAGGUUUAGAGUAAACAUAAAGUUAUAAUCUUGAACAUAAGUGGCGCUCAAAGCCAUGAAUUUGAUAUCAUCCAUGAGGGGAGUUCAAACAACAGCAUGUAAGAAGCAACAAGUGUUGAGAAAAAAAAAAUUCAUUCUAACACAACACUUCUCUUCUUGCUAUCAACAGAAGCUUUUUGCUUAGCUCCCCACAGACGGCGCCAAAAUGUUGAUGCUGAAAUCUGCUCGCCCUUUGACCGACCAGAUUCUUUCACCAACGUUUACGUUAUCAGCUGUUGCUCGAACCACUGGGGUUGGAAUCACUCUCCUCUCCCUUACCAGACCUGCGUUCACCAAAAACGGAUCAGAGACGCCGGUGGCUUUGCCGGCGUAAACCCUCCGAUGCCUAAGUUAGCACAAGGUGUUUACGGGAAAACAGUUAAAUUUAGAUUCAAGAAUGGUUUCUAAUUUUCUCGAAGUUUGUAAGAAAAUAGCCUGAUUUCAAUUUGGCAGCGUUUUCCCUCUCUCAGUUUUUCUGUCCUUUUCUUCAUCGAUUUCUUCUUCUUUUAUAGCCGCUGUCCCACGUUCCUGUUUAGCCUUCAUUCCCCUUUUUUCGGGUGGUGGCCGCCCCUCAUGGGACUCUAACUGCUACAUUGUGGGCAAACGUGGGAUCUCGCAUCUCUCGCAACGGUUCUGGAAAAAGCGCAACUACCGUGAUUCUGUGGGAUCGUGUUCCCACUUUUUCGGGGGAUGAGUAUCGGCUCGGAAUAUACCUCUGGUUGGUACUCGUCUCUGGUCGGACCAUGUUCGUCUCCGUGUUCUGCUCGUACCAUUUGGUUGAGGUGAUUCAUGCCAGCGUGGAAAUAAUAGCAUGGCCGACCUGAUGCUUUUAUUUACUUAACAAUAAGCACAACAAAAUUUGACUGAUUAUUAAAAAUGAGAAAUGAGUUAUAAUGAGAAUUUUGGCUUUGUGGUGAAAUAAAUUGGGAAGUAUCAAAGUUCGCAUGUAAACAAUAUAAAUGAUAAGAAGACGAAGGGAACAAAAUGAUAAUAAGCAAGCCAAAUAUUAAAAUGCAGAUUCUACGCUUCCGCCCCCCCAUACUUCAAGUUAGUGUCUCGCUAAUCAUUUUAGAUGUAUCAAUUACAAAGGGAGGCCAUCUAUUUAUAGUAAGCGUACGCCUCUAAUGCUUUGCCAAGUGUCCAUUGAUAAUAUCACAAGGGCAAUUAAAUUGGUGUAUGUGUAUUACACCUCCUAAAGUCAUGUUAAGAUAGUUAGUGAGCUGAUAAAGUUUGUUGCACGUGUGAGUUGGUUAAGUCUGCUAGAAUUGAAAACGUGUAAAGCUGAGUCAGCAAGUUAGUUAAGGUUAUUAUGAAUGCUUAGAUUCAGCUCACGUGUAUUGUAUGUAAUGCUUAGAUUCAGCUCAUGUAGAUUGUGUAUACAACUUUCUAAUAUUAAUGAUUACCGAAGCUAUAGAAGUAUCAAAAUCGGAAAGCAAACAAUUGCAAAACACAUCAAUGACUGGAGGUUAGGUUCUAAAACUUCCGCAUUUAAUUUUCAGAGCAUGUUAUGUAUUAUUCAGAAAUAUGCAUUCACUUCAGGCACUUGACCAAGACGCAUUAAACAUAAAACGCGGCGUUUUCAUGGACUAGUACAUUCCAUGCUUCGAAAGUUUAUGUUUUAGACUGAUUGGUUUGAUACAUUAUUUGUUUAUUGUGUUUUUCUUGCUUUAAAUAUUAUGUUGGAUUGAUAAGCUUUGUACACAUUUAUAUUGCUCGCAGUAAAUAAUUUAUGACAUUUAAAAAACUAUCAACCGUCGGUCAAAAGAUUUCUACUAUAAAUAUAUAUACACAAAAAACUUUUAAUUUGGUCAAUUUGUUCUCUUAUUUAUUUUUGUUCUAUUUCUCUUUUCCUUUCAUUUCAUUUUAUUGUUUUAUGCUACAAAAUAAAAAAAAUAACCUUAAAAUUUAAGGGUAAAAUACUCAUUUUACUAAAAUUCCGUUUAAUAUUAUAAAGCUGUCAAAUGUCAAUGGCAUAGCACACGAGUGAUACAAAUUAAAAACAAUAAAUUGAAAGUUUUUAUGCAUUUUUCUUUUUUUUUUUAUAGUCGAUUGAGAUUUCCCUUCAUAUUUUUAAAUUCAAUAGGUUUAGACCGUUUAACAAAUCUUAAAUUAAAAAAACCCGCGGUGUAAUAACAAACUCACAUCAAACCCUGUACACUGUCAUGUCAUCCCUAAUUAUAUUUACCACUUCAUACUCACAGUGAUAAUAACUGUGUAUCACAAUUGUUUUUUUCUGGAAUUGUAAGGGAAUCUGAUCCUGUGUUUGUGCAUAUGAUUCAAUUACUUAUAGGUGAUACUGUUGUGUCACCGCAAAAUCUAAUUGGGAAGCUUCAGCUGUCAAUUUUUUUCCAAGGGUUAAUUAGGUAGAACUUUCAUGUCGUCGAAUUUAUUUGGAGAUUCUAAAAGUAGUUUCCAUAUAAAGAGAUGGACCAAAAUCAACAAUGUGACAAAGAUACUUUAGAUUUUUUUUCCUUGUGGGACACGAAAAUUGAUGCAUGUUCCAAUGCAUUGCUCUAUCAGAAUUGGAAUUAAACUUAGUUUGUAUUCUCCUAUUCCGAAAGCAAAACUUGUAAGUGAUAUUCUAAGAAGAAGAAAUUAAGAACCAUAACAAAUUUGAUGAUUCUAAUUUGCUAGAAAUAUUGCAAUCCAAAACUAAGAAAGUUCAAACCAAUUAUUAGAAGAAAAAAGUAGGACGGAAGCUCCCAGAAUAUUGUUAUGUGUUGUAUGUUUUCAGUUUGUAUUUCCCAAUCAAUAAGGAAAAGUAAGUACACAUGUUACAAAAAUUUAAUAAAAAAGAUUGGAAGUGACAAAACUGUCAAUUUUCUAAUUAACUUUCUCUCCUUUCGAAUUUCCUAAGUUUGGUAGAGACUACUUAAGUGGUGUAUCUAUUAUAAAUGCCUGAAGUGAAAGUUAAUGUUUUAAUUGUUAAGAAAAGUUAGAAGAAUAAAUUUUUGUGUAAGAGAAUUGGGUUUAAAUUUAGAAUUCCUUGGGAGGAAAUGAGUCUAAAUUCCAAUAAUAUAAUUCAACACUAUUUAUAUAUGUCAUUGGUUGGGUGAAAAAUUAAUUUACAUCCUUUGAUGUGAAAAACUCUCUUGAUCGUCUAUUUUUAUAUGAUGGUAAUUUUUUAUUUAAAGUGAAGUUAUUGGCACCCUUUCAUUAUCCUUAUAAAAUUCUACUUCAAAUAAAAUUACACUUAAAGACAAUAGAAUUAAACAAUAUAGUUUUUUCUUUAAAACAAAUUACUCAUCUAAUUUUCUACAGGUUGCUUUGUAUCUAAUUAAAAUAAAUUGUAUAAAUUUAAAAUAAUCUAUUUUUUUUCAAAUUUCUUAUUGAUUAAAUAUUUGUGUGCUUAAGAUAGCUUUAAAAUUAUAAGAUAAUAUAUAUAAUUUAAGCCAAUGAUUAACAUUAAAAAAUUUAUCUCUCAUAAAAGUUUUUAAUUUGUGCGUAGGGUAAUAAUAAAAUUGCAAAAGAAAUGAAAAAUAGCGUAGCACCAUUUUGAGUUUAAACAAUGAAAAAUUUAAAUGAAAAAUUAGAAGUGUAUUUAAAAAAAGGAUAUUUUUGAAAAUAAAAUAAAUAGAAUUUAAAAAAAAAAGAGUUUCAUGAGGGGUGCAAUAGUUCAACUCUUUUGUUUAUAAGUUUUAAGAUGUUGGUAUCCGUAGCUUAGCUUUUCCCUAAUUAUUGUAUUAAAAUGUUACAACAAUGAUGAUCAACCCUAAUUAUUGUAUUAGUUCGGUCAUACUUUCUACAAAUUUAUUUACAUUUAAUAAUUUGACCAAGACUAGGUAAGGUGCCGCCUGGAGUCAUAUAAUUUUUUAUGUCAAAAGCGCGUUUCACUUCAAUUAAGCCAUAAAUCUCGUUUAAUAUGCUCAUUUGUAUUUUUUUUUAAAAGUUUUAUUAAUUUUUUUUGUUUUUAAAAAUAUCAUUUAUUUAUUUUUUAAAAAAUUUUUUAAAGGUAAAGAAGUGGGUAAAGUUCAAAUUCAAUUUUUAUCCCUUGCCCCUAAGAUUUGAACUUUGGUGACCAAAUGUAUAAUAAUAGGUAUCUCAAGUUUCAUUUCAAAUGAUAUGCAAUAUAUUAAGUGAUUGUUAAUCUUUACAAGAUUUGAGUUAAUUAAUUGUAUUAUCUCACUAAUUAAUUGAUGAGUAUCAUAUUAUUUGGAAUAACUUUUGGAUAAAAAAAUUGUGACGGAUGAAAUAUUCUUUUGAGAAUUUAUUGACUUAACUCAUUUAUGACUUAUUGUUGCAUUUAAGUGAUAUUGCAAAUAAUUUUUCCGAUAAUAUUAUUGUUUUGAUGAGGAAGUUUGGAGUAAAUAAUACAUAUGGCAAGUGUGAGGUUUGCUAUUGCAUUUAUUUUGUGGAUCUAUUUUAAAGCCAAAAAAAGACAUUUCGAUUCAUUAUGAUUCCAGAUAAUUUCAAGCCAUAUGUCAUUAUUGGGAUAAAAAUGAAGUAAAAUGGUUAAAACUAUUUUUAUAUAAUUUAUAAAAAUUAAUGAAGCAACGACAACAUUUUUUUAUCAUGAAAAACAAUUGAAAUGUGUGCGGAAAAAGAAGAAAAAAAGAAGGCAUUUAAAUAUCUUUUUAAAAAAUAUGAUUCAGUAAAAUCAUUUUACAGAAUACUCUUCCAAAUUAGGAAUGACAAAAUCCUCCACGGGUUUAGGGCCCCAUGAAGCCCCACCCAAAAUGGGAAAAAUUUUGAAUAAUUUUUUGGGAAUGGGGUGGGAGAAAAAUAAUCUCCAAAUUCUUAAUGGGGUGGGGUUUGGUUUUGUACUCCCCACCCCACCCCCACCUCAAUCCCCAUUAUAUAUAAAUAUGUUUUUAAUUCUUAUUUAAUAAUUUUUAUUUUAUCAAUUAUAAUGUCAAUUAAUAAUUUUUUUUAAUUUUUAUGCAAUAUAAACAAGAUAUGAAUGAAAGAAAAUCCUAUAAAUUUUUCAACCCUGAAACAUUAUUAUAUUUUAUUUUCUCUUUUAAGGUGCUACGCUCUUUAAAUAUUUUUCACUUUUAAUAUCAUUUUAAGAUAUUGUUUCAAACUUUUAGAUUUUUUUUAAAAGAAUUUAAAUACUUUAUAAUAUGAUGAUGAUUUUAUUUUAAGUCUCUAAUUUUGAACUUACUAAAAUAAUAUAUUUAUACAUAUUAUAAAAUAGAUAAAUAGGGAAUGGGGUGGGGAUGGGGAAAUCAUUCCCCACAUGAGGAUUCUCCAUUCCCACCCCCACUAAAUUUAUUAGGGAAUGAGGUGGGGAAUGGAGACAAAAAUUUCUAACGGGGUGGGGAAUGGGGUAGACCUCCCCACCCCCACCCCACCCCGUUGCCAUCCAUAUUCCAAAUGCAAUUCCACAUUUUUUUAUUACAUUGGAAUAUUCCAAAAUUGGCACAGCUCAUCAAGAAUUCGGCAACUCAAAUUUUAUUUAUCUCUCUUUGCAUUUGACAAAUUAAAAAGAAAAAAAUUCAUAUAUCUUCUGUUAAAAAGAAACCUUGGUAAAAAUUGUAAAACAAAUUACCAAUUUUUUAAAUUUAUGCCAUUAUAUCGUCGCUAUUUUCUCGCCCACUUUCUUAAAAUAGAAUCAAUAUUUAUUGAUGGGUUGGGUUCCAAAGUAAGCACCAAUUCAGCAAAAUGGUUUUAUAGCAGAAAAAGCACUUGUAAGACAUUCAAAUCACAUUUUUCAAUUUUGUCUUCUGAAAUUGAGUCUUGAGUUUCCACAAGCCAAGUAGAAUGGCUAAAAAAUGUAUGGUAUCAAAGAAAGAGAAGCACACACAGAGAUUAUUGGGGAGAUAUAUGAGUGUGUAAUUUGUAUAUGUAUCCCCAUUAAUUGUUGAUAGUCCAAUGGGUAUAUGCAAAAGGAAAAAAUUGGCUGUCCUUUAAGACAAAAUUGACUGUCACAUGAAAAUGUUAGCACACUUGCCACGCAACGAAAUAAAGAUUCCAAGAACAACUUUAUCGUCCCCUUUCUGUCCAAACGUAUGCGAUAGAAAUUAGUGUAAACGACACUUGAAAUAUAUAUGUAGAUCCUCACACAAUUGAUUAAAUAUUUAUAGUAGGAUGGAGUGAUAAAUAGUUUCACAAAAUUAUUGGAAUUAACUAUUUAAUACAUGAGAUCUAUCUCAUUAAGUAUAAAAGAUUGAGUGGUACUUCAAAAGCAUGACGUUGCUGGCAACAAAUUUAAUACAAAAGUUUAACUAAUUAUCCUAGUUGAGAUAAUAAAAUCUCGUGUUGAAAAUAAAAGGUUUGAGGUUCGAACCUUCUCAUUCAAGAAAAUCAAGUCAAAAUAUUACAUCUUCCAGCACAUAUCAAAGAUUUUUUCAAAGGCAGACUGAUAAUUCAGGGUAAAACAAAAAAAACAAAAGGACUAUUUGCUAUUCAAGACAGGUAUACCUUGGACAUGAAGUCUGAAUCCAAAACAAGAAGCACCUAGCUGAUCUUUCACUUUCAAUUUCCAAAACCCAACAAAAUCUUUGUCAAAACAUCUGAUCUAGUCCCAUAUUGAGCACAUUCAUAGCCGUAUCAACAGGUUCAAAAUAUUUUCCCCAAAAUGAGACAGAGAUUCCACUGAAGUUGAGCUGUGAAUGUCCCAACGUUCUGUAAUUAUAUGGUUUAGGAUACCAUGCCUAUUAAUCUUUUUUUUUUUCCUUUUAAAAAAAGGAAGCCAUAUAAAUAAUGCUUAAAGCAUUAUUUGCAACAAGGAACAAUUAUUUCAUGCUUUCAUGCAUUAGAAACUUUCCAAAAAUUCUAGCAAGAAAAUGAAAUGGAACUUUACCUAGUCACAAAAUAUGUAUUGCUGUUAGCCCAAUUGUUAUGAAGUGGCUUCUGCAUCAGAAGAUUCCAGCUCCCACCAAGCAUUGUUAUCUCUCUUCUGAAUACAAUCUGCAUCGCUCGGCAUGAGUUAUAUCAUUAAUGUCUGCAUCCACUUACAUCAUCCCAAUCAAGUGCUUUUUCUCCACAUCUGGAUUAUAAGUACCCUCUAAUCUCUUCAAAACAUCCCAGUCCUUCCAUCACAACUAAUACGACUUCCUUCCUUACUUCCCCAUUAAUAAAUCGCUCCAAGAAAAAAAAAGCAUUAGCAAUUCUCUUCAACACCCCAUCAUUCAUAUCCCCUACAACAACCACCAAACACCCAAACCUUCUUUUGUCCACCAUAUCCACCAUAUAAUUCCUCAACAAAACAUCGGCAUCUUGUGGCUUAUCUAACACCAUCCUAACCAAAAACCAUGCUCUUUUCAACUCAUCUGCAAAACCAUAACCCACUUUUAGAGUCAAAAUUGCGCUUGCAGCCAUUUUAUAUUUUUUCCAUCUUUAUUGAAUAGUUGCCAACCAAAAGCACUCUCACCUUCCCUCUAGCUGAUUGUAUUUGAUUCGACCUUUUCUUUUAUUCGCCCUCAUGAAUUUGCUUAGAAUGAUUAACAAGCUUGUCAUUAUUAUAAAAUCUCUUUCCACAAUCACCAAUACAUACGGCUUAGCAGGCCUAAUUACACCCUUGAUUUCGGUUAAACAGUUCUCUUUCUUUCUUUGCUCUCUUACAACUUGAGGCACAUAACUAAAUGCGUGGCUAUUAGCAUUUUCCACCAUUGAUUUUUUUCAGUUUAAUUGCUGCUUCAAAACGGGGUACUGAAUUUAGAUUUUGUUAUCCAAAUACCAAAAAUUUCCCACAUUGUAUUGGACAUUUUUUGGUUCUAAAGUUUAUGACUGGUUUUGCGAAUCAGGCUUCAAAUGAGAACUUCUAAACAAUAAGACAAAUGGGUUUUUGAGUUUCUAAUCUUGUAAACUUUGUUCUAUUGUAUAAGUUAUGAAAUCGCUGAAACAUCACUACAGCUACAGGUCUUUAUGUGUCAAUGAACUGCAGAAGCUGAUGAUCUACCUAUAGUAGACUUCUAUUGCCCCUGCCGUUCUAGGAAGACAAACAAGUUCAGGAACUACUUCUGGACCAAACUCAUAAUAUUGCCACUGCUUUGUGCCAAUCUGAGAGGGAAAGCAUAUUGAAGUUCCUAAAUAAGGCACAUCAUGAUUUGAUAGAAGUACCACUAUGAGGAACAACUGAUUUCAGGAAAGCACUAAAAUAUCACAUAAUCUGCCCCUAAUGGUCUAAAGUAGUCAAGAAAUGAUAUCAACCAAGCAAAAACACAUAAAUUAGUUGAGAUACAAAGUUAUUGUAAAAGUCAAUUUUGAUCACAAAUCCAUUAAAAUUAAAAGACAUCAGAAACUUAGAGAACAUUAUAAUUUAGGACUCAGCUAAGUUGCAGAUUCUGUAACUAACAGCUGAGUCCACAUUGGUCUUGCAUCAACUAAGUUUGGGUUGCUUUUCCUCUCUCCUGCAACGCGUGGAAGCGCCCCAUUUGCUGUGUUAUAUACCGAGUCGGUACCGUAACAAGCUCCUAUAAUUUAAGUUUGAUUACUGUAGACAAUAGUCUGCCUUUGCUCAAAAGCUAUGCUGCAAGAUAUAACAUCUUUGCAAUGUUAUACUUUCUAAAAGUAAUAAGAAAUCAUUUCAAAAAAAAAAGUAAUAAGAAAUGAAACCAAGGGUAAAUCGAACACCAAAAGAAAUUUAGUCGGCCAACCACAUUAUGUUCCCACACAGUCCACUAAUUAAGUUAAUAAUUCAAGGGAAUCAAAAUCUAAGAAAUCUCAACUUCAAGCAGAAUACAAACAGACCACGAUUGAAAAUCACAAAAUCAUAAAAAGAAGCUGAUUUGAAAAGGGGUGGGCCGCCUCAUUUGCCCACCAACCACACCACACACACAAAUACUCCGGCACACACACAAGCUCUCUAGCUUUUGUAAAAAACUCUCUUGUAUAUUCUCUCUUUGUGACUAAUACAAUCAUAUUCAGCCAUAUUGCUCUACUUCUCUCUAGCAUUUUCCUCAAGUGUUCUUGCUUCGCUAGUUUGAGGAGUGGUCUAGGCUUGCUUAGCAACUUGUUUGCUAUAAGGACAUCUUGGUCACAAAACAUGAACGUGCAAGGAAAAAAAAAUAUUGAUACGUUCUAAAAAUAAUACGCAUUCUUCUACAAUGAACCAAAAAAUUUAGGCUAAUGGUAGCAAGUGAAGGAAUUGUGAUUUCAUGUGCAUUUUGUUGACAUGAAGGUAAAGAGCUUUUUUUAUAGUUUAUAUUGUUUAAUAUAACAUUUGAAUUGCAAAAUAGGGGUACAAAAUAGAUACACGAAGGGAUAAAACUAAGCUGAUUAUGAUAAAUAUUGAAUUAUGAGAUUUAGGUUUAAUCAUAAAGACAUAAGUGGCCCACAAAGUCACGAAUUGAUAUCAUCCACGAUGCAAGUUCAAACAACUGCAUAAUAAGUUGCCCCAAGCUAAACUAUUAAUCUAGUAACUAUUCCAGUCAAUGUGGGAUAAUUUUCCUAUCACCAUCUAUCACGUGCAAGCUGAAUUUGUUGCUUGGUCCUUACAUGUGGUAAGGUAAUAUGAAUCCACUUGUGCAUAAAUUUGGCUCCGAUAUUAUAUAGAAGCCUAUGACCCAAAAUUAUACUUAAAGGUUAUUUCAAGAUUUGAGGGUUGCCUCAAGUUAAUAUUAUUAUUAGCCUGGUAACCUUUUUUUUUUUUUUUGUUGAUAUGUGAUAUUUUCCCUAUAACUUUUAUUAAUCUUUAUGCUUAUGUUUUGUCAUUUAUCCCAAAAUAUAACAUUAACAAAAGUUCCAAAAUUUCCUUCAAGAGAUAUAUUUGAGACAAGUAAUUAGUGCAAUAACUUUGUGAAUUGAUGAGCAAAUUCAAAGAAAAGAAUAUAUGUGCCAAACGUAAUGUUUAUUAUUGUGUUUAUUUGUAGAGCUAUUUAAAGCCCAAAAAAAAAAAAAGCACAGGUCCGCUAUUAUUUCAAAUAAGUUCAAGCCCUAUGUCAUUAUUGGUACAAAAAUGUAUUAGAAUGGUUAAAAAUUAUUUUUAUUUAACUUAUAAACUUAGGAAAUUAUCAACUAUCCACCCUUAAAUUGCAUUGUUAUAAACAAUAUUACAACAUUUUUAGGUUGUAUCAUUCAUCUACCAUAAAUUUACAAUAUGCAUCAUUUAUCCACCAAAUCAUUAACUUCAUUAAAAAGUGAUAGACAUCACAAGGGUAAUUUAGACAUUUAACACACAAAAAAAAAAGAGAAAUUAUCUAAGCUUACCAUGUUAUCAAAAUUGCUACAAAAUUUUAAAUUUGUUCAAUUUUCCAAUCUAAGUUUAUGACCUCCAAGAUGUUAAUUGCAGUUUGUAAUUAAUGAGUUCAUAAGGAUAAUUUAGACACUCAAUAUACAAAAUACAAAAUAAAAUAAUGGCUUAAAACAUUAAAACAAAAAACUACUUUUUAUAAUUGAUAUUCAAUAAUACACACAAACUCUAUUUUUUCUUAAUUAAAAAUAUUCUAAUUUAUUUUCUUAAUUUAUCAUCAUAAAUUUACAUUAACAAACUAAAUCCACAAAUUACCCUAAACCAUAAUUCAUAAAUGCCCAAUCAAUCUAAUAGUUUAAUUCGAUUUCAUAAUUAAAAAAGCUAAAGUUAUUAUAUUAGUUAUGGUGCAAAGUCAAAAAUGCCCUUAAAUUCAAGGGUAAAAUAACAUUUUAUUUAAAUUCUAUAAAUUAUUCUAACAAUGUUAACAUUUUGAUCAAAAAUGCCCAUAAAUGCCCAAAAUGUGUGCUACUACUAAAUUGGCCCAAUUAAUGCCCAUCGAAAAGGCCAUCAAUUUUGUCAAAAUUUAAACAAUUAAAGAAACAAUGAUCGCAAACGGAACAUGUGAAUUUUGAAGUUGAAUAAAUCUUGAGAUACAUACAACAAAACCUUGAAACUUUAUUCUUCACAAUUUGAGCAUGCACUAAAUAUUAAACAAGUAUAGAACAAAGCUUAUUUUUAGCUUCUUCUGCGAACUGAAGACGCUGAACGAAGCUUUUUUUUUUUUGGAUUUUUGGAAUUUUUUAAAAUCAUUUAUGUUCGCUGCCAUCUUUUUCUUCGCUGGCGUCUUCAUUGGCAUCUCCUCGUCUGUAGUUUGCUGUGCCUAUAUAUCCAACCAAUAAAUUGGGCAUUAAAUAUGAAUGAUGAAUAAAAUGAUAUAAAAAAACAAACAAACAGAGAAAAUUAUAAUAUAACACAUAUAUAUUGAAAGAGAAAUUUUGAUUUUAGGAUAGAUCAAUUAGCUAUCACAAACGAAAACAUGAACCAACUAUGUAUAGAGUCAAUUAACUAAAGUUCUCAAGAGUUGACCUGUGCUCCAGAAUUCUUGGAAUCAUCUAUCUCCUUCUGAAUUUAGACGAAGCUUGGGACAAUUAUUAACAUCUACAGACUUGGCACAUGGAAAUGGGAUCUGAUAACCCGCAGGCCAAAAGUUGGUGAGGUUUGGUAAAUCUGUCACUUCCAAGUCCCGAAGUUCAUUCAUAACAAUUUCAUUGUAAUCCGUGACGUCUGCUCCAUCUUUAUGCCAGAAUACUUCUUCUAAUUCAUCAUUAUCUGUUAUCCAUAGGCACUCCAGUUUUUGAAGACUUGGAGCUACGCUGAUAUGAAAUAGAUGCUUUAGUUUGGGGCAACGACGGACACAGAUAACUGUGAGUUUUGGGAAACAUACAGGUUGGAGAUGAUCCUCAUCCUCAUCCUCAUCAAUGAUUUGCUCUAAUUCCGAGCAAUUCAAAAUAUAUAACUCCUUCAAUUGCAACAGAUUUCGAGCAAGUGUUGAUGAGAAGAGACGUCUCAGCAUAGUGCACCCGCUUACCAUUAAUUCGACAAGACUUUGCAGGCUAAAAUUAUGCGUGGGACCUACGUGAUAUAAUACUUGCAGUUCUAGAAGACCUUCCAAUACCAACGACUUCAAACAUGGGAAUAGUUUGUUUUCUUCUCCUUCAGCGAUAAUAGCUUCCAAUUGAAAUACCACCUGUACUCCAAGAUCUCCAAUACGCAAAUUUUCCAAAUUUUUUAAUCCGUGCUUCAACAGUGCUGGAAUCGUGUCACGCAAAUGGGAACAAUUGGCCACAUCUAGAGUUUUUAAGUUCUGAGACAAAUAAAUAAAUAACUUGAUGCAAUUAAAAUCUAUUAGCGGCUAGGAUUAUCACAUGAUAAGUGAUGAACACCGCAAAAAUAUCAUAAUACAUAUGUAAACUAAUAAAAUAAUUAAAAAGUAAUGGAUUUUUAAAAAAAAUUGAAAUUAGUUAAAAGAGAUCAUGUGAAGUGAUAUAAAUGUGACAUUAGAUUGUUUUAGAAAAAAUAUUAUUCUAUUAAUUUAUAUGGCUUGAUCAACUAUUUAAUUGAAUUUGAAUAAUAUUAUAUACACUUCAGAAGUAUUUGCAUCAAUUCUUUCUAAACCAAAAUGAAAUAUGACUUUCAUUUGAAGAAUGGUUUUAGGCUCUAAAAUAAAGGAAUUUCCUUAAGAUAUUUGAGCAUUAUUAUUAUCAUCACCACAUCCACGAUCAUCAUCAUCUCCACAGGACCAAAUAAUUAAUGGCUGAUCAUAAAAUUUAUUGCUAAACUAUCAUUUCGAGUAAAAUUGAAGGAAAAGAAAAAACAUAAACACAAACGAACAUACCUCUCCAAGAUACUGCAAAUUGGCUUCAAGUUCAGUAUUGUUGAUGGUCAAUUUGGGACUGCUCUGAAGUUCUAACUCUUCCAAUGCCGGCCAUGUUGAAUAAUAAUUUUCUGAACAGAAGCUGAUGAGUCCUGGGAGAUUACGAAGUGUUAAUUUUCUCAACGAAGGGAGCACAAGUAUUGUAUUUCCAUCUCCUACACUUAUUUCCCUUUCAUUAUGAUCAAAUUUUGCUUCGACGAUACAUUCCAGUCUCUCGCAUCCACUUACAAUGAGACUUUUAAGCUGCUCCAAACUUCUAGCUUGUGACAACGUGAAGAUAUAUGUCAACUUGUUGCACCUAUGCACAUUCAAUUUUGUAAGAGUUUGGAGACUGAUCACAUGUUGGGCGGGCGCCUUCCAUAUCCACUUCAGUUCUGGUAAGUCCCCCAUAGAUAACUUUGCUAAUAUUGAGAGACUCUUUCCAUGCGGCGACUUAGAGGCAUCCAUUAUGCAUUCUAAAUCUUCGCAAUCGCCGACAUCAAGACAAGUCAACUCAUUUAAGCCCCUUUCAUCGAUGCUUG
rnacentral:lncRNA from 1 species